rnacentral:lncRNA from 1 species
UGUAAGUUCAAAGUAUCAUCAUUUUACCGACAUAUAUAUUUUUAGGGAGAUUACAAUUUUUCCACCCUACAGAUGGCAAAAAUUUCAAAUUUACCAUUUUUAUGCCAAAAGUUUUCAAAAUACCAUUUUUAUAUUCAAUUUUUGGAAUCAGAAAAGCAUGAAUUAUGAUAUUCACUAUUUUGUAAUUUAGAAAAGCACACUCAAUUAGUUUUUUUGGAUGUAAAUUUUAGAUAUUGGAAUCGUCGAUGUACGAUUUUCCCUCUGCUUUGCAAAUUAAUUUUUCUGAUAAGUGAUCUUUCAGACGUUUGGAGCCCUAUGGUACUAUUACGCCAUAAAAAAAGCGACUGAUUGCUGGAGGGAAGCCUACGAAAAUCAUACCAGACGCAGUCAUAGUUACUUUUUUUGUAAGAUUUGUUUCGCAGACUACAAUCUUCUAAAUGAUUCUUGCCCUAUAAGUACAGGAAGUACUACCAACUAUAGUUUUGGAAUAUAUGAAGAUGCUCUUCAGAAUGGGAUUGUGGUGGAGACAGAUUUUCCUAAGAAAUUGUUGCGUUGUUUACAUUGGGGCCUGCAAAAACUCAGGUUUGCCGUUUUUCAUUUGGCUUGGAUAAUCAUUACCGUGCAUGUUCAUUUUGUAGUUCUUUUUGCAUGCAUGUGUUUUUCUCUUUCUCUUCAUCAAUUUAUUCUUUUCUUUGUAGCUAUAUGCAUACUCUAAUGGGAACAUUUCACUGAGAGAGGGCUAUAUCUGAUAACACCAAUUAAAUCAAAACAUAUAAGAUUAAUCAAGUUUAUAUAAAAUUGAAGCAAAUUUGUUAUUUUUAUUAAAUUAAGAUGAUAUGUGAAAGUUAACAUGGGGCGUAAAAAAUAUUGGUUAAAAGUAAAAUGGAAACUAAAUUAAAGAGUAUUGAUUACUCAACCUUAUUUAAAUAAUUUUUAAUUGAAAAAAAGUAUGUCAAUGUAAUAUAACAUUGUCACUAGUAUUAAAAAUACUUAAAAAACAUAUAAUAACAAUUAUUAACAAUUUCAUAAAAAUUUUAUGUGAAUGUUGAGAUUUAUUUAUUAGUUACAUUAACUAAGAGGAUAAGUUAGAAAGUAAAAUUUGAUAGAAGAAUCAUUAGCAUCUGAGUUUUCAAAGAGAGUCAAAGUGCUUGGCAAAGAAAAAUAACGGCACACAAAUACAUUUUUGUUGGGUUAGAGUUUAGUUUAUUAUUGAAACUCUUGACUAAUAAUAUUUUUAUAAUUUAAAAAGAUGAAUAGAUUUUAAUUGUUUAAUUUAUUUAAGCUUGGUAUUUAAGUACUUUUAAGAAUAAAAGUUCUACUUGCAAUUUUUAAUUGAUUAUAAUUACAUGUAUUGAUUUAUUUAUUCUAACUUGAAAUUAUUAAUUAUUUAUUAAUUAUUUAUUAAUUCUUAUAUAAUUCGAUGUUAUUAUAGGUUGUAGUGUUAGAUUCCAUAAUUGAAAAAUAAUAUUUCUAUAUUUGAAUUAUUUUUUGUUUUCUACUCUUUUUGUAUCAUUAUUUUUGUUUAGAGUUCAUAUUCAUAGGGUUUUUCGUAUCCACCUUAUUUGAUGUACUUUUUUUUUACUCAUGAAUGUUUAUGUUCAUUUCAAAAUAUAAAAUUUUUAAUUUAGCCUGGGAUAAUAUAAAGUUAUGGGUCCACUCAUGUAUAGGGGUUUAUUUCAACCAAAACUCUUUUAUUCAACCAGAAGGGGAAAAAAAAAAGUAAUAUUUUUGCUAAGGUCUCAAAUAAAAAUUUCACGGGUUAUACUGAAAAUUUUCUUUCCACCGGACUGGUCAUUAGGUAGGUCCUCAACGUAACAAGGUGUUCAAUCCUGUUGAUCGUGUUAAAAAAAAAAAAAAUGAUGUCUGCAUUGGAAAGAAACUCUAUUAUUUGUUUUCUAUCAUUUCAAUUGUUGUUAAAUACGCAGGAAAAUAUAUAUAAUAAUUUUCAACUGAAUGAACCUUUUGCAGUGCGUUUGGUCAGGACCUUGAAACAAGUGAUGAUGUCGGGGAAAACAUCUUUGCAAUUUGCAUGACCAUCUACGGCGUACUGCUGUUUGUCUUUUUAAUUGGAAGGAUGCAGGUAAUUCGCAUUCAUUUUUCUGUUUCUUAUCGAUCCAUCAAUUUAUAUAGUUGCUCACCUCUAAAAAUCCCUGAUUUUUAUAAAAUCUGGAAUGAGUUGACAAUGAUGUUAACAGACUUUUUUACCGUUUCACAAUAUUGUCAAACAGUUUACAACAUUAUAACAUUAUGUUCACAUUGGUGUCAACUCGUCUUGGAUUUUAUGUUCUAAUUGAAAAAAUUUCAUAUGUAUAGUUUUUAAUUAGAUUUUAAACCUAGAAGUUACUUGUGUCAAUGUAUUAAUGACUAUAUGUACGUACAGUCUGAGACUACAAGAGCACAAAAGAUAAACCAGAAGUUGCGGCAGAUCAAGCAGUGGAAACACUUUAAGGAUAUCUCCACUUUUGUCCGUGCCAAGAUAAGGGAAGCCAAGCGUGAAAAUUUGCUAUUCAAACAUGAUAUUCACAUAGAUAGUUUGGUAAGCGAUCUCCCCGAUGACACUGCAAAGCAAGUAAAACUCCAUUUCGGCAGAAAUCUGCUUGGCCAGGUGAGUUUCUAUUGCUUUCUGUACAAUUAAUAAUCCUUAUAGUUAUUUAUCAAAAAAGAUGUCAAUUUUGUUACAAAUAUUUUGAAUGGGCGUCUUAUAGCAACAUCCAGAGUCUUCGUUGUAUGUGCUUGAUUGUUAGGAAAAAAAAUUAGAAAAUUUAUAAUAAAUUAAUUAAUUAGUACCUAUUAACCAUAUGUAUUAAAUGAUUAUUAAAGAAAAAAUGGGGCUAUUUGCAUUUUAAACAUUACUUUAAAUACUCUUAUUAAAAUAUUUUAUUACAAAAAUCUAUUAUAACUGAUAAAAUAGUUUAUAAUUCUUAAACCUUAAAUCCUAAAACUUCUUGUUCUAAUAAUAACUAAAUUUGUAUUACAUUUUUUUUUUUUACUUUUUUACAAAUUGUAAACAAUUAUCUCCUGAUUCAAGGGAAUGAAUAAACCCAACGGCUGGAAAAAAUUUCUUGGGAGAAGUCGUUUGAUCUCAUCAUGUAAACGGGAAAGAAUUUUGAAAGUCAAAAUUAUCAGGAGGUAUGCUUGGCAUAUUUUAAAGAGUGUAUAAAUUAAGUAAAACUUAAUUUUCAGAAUUUAUUGAAUGAUUGUAAGUGUUUAGAGUAAUAUAUAUAUAGAGUGCAAAUAGCCUCACCCAUUACAAAAAUACUUAUAAUGUAUUUUAUAUUUAAGGACAAUUUAUUAGUAUAUUAAAUAUAAUAUUAUUAUUUUAGACACCCAUCAAAUACACCCAUUUAUUUAUAAUUAUUCUUUAUUUAAACCCUAAAACUUGCUUCUUCAUGUCUAAUAAAACAAUUUGAAAAUUGUUCACAGUGCAUGUAUGAAAAAAAAAGAAAAAAAAAGGUAGUACAAUUGUCGUAGUACAAAAUGGAAUAGUGAAAACGAAAAAAAGAAAAAAAAAAGAAAGCAAUUAUAUGAACGAAAUGAAAGAAAAUGCUAAAUAGCAAUGGAUUGAAAUUAGUUAAGAAAAAUGUGAUUGAAAUUGGAGUCCUCUCAAUAUAGAUGUAAAGAUGUACCGAAUAUUCUCAUAGGUAUAUAGCGUAAAUAAAGAUGAUUAAAUUAAAGAUUUAAGUAAGGACUUUUUUGGUGUUUUAAAAUAGUGGAUAGAGCUAAGCUCAAAUAUAUAAAUUUUAGAGAUAAGUGUACAAAGUAAUAAUCGAGUACUCAAAAGUAAUAUUUAGAGUACAAAUAGCCUCACCAUUAAAGAAAAGAUUAACAAUAAACAUCUCUAAUGAUGAGAGUUCUAAGUAAAUUAAUUAAUUAUAUAUUAUCUCACAAUCGACAAUCCACUUCAUACUAUGCGACUAGCCAUGCAUUAUCAAAUUGGUGAUUAUGACGAGUUGUGAUUUUUAAGUAGUAACUUAGUUAUUUAUAACCUUAUGAUAUAAUCGUUGCAUGAGUAUUGACGGCUCUGAUUCUCAUUAUCAAUUCUCAUUCAUUCUUGGAUGUACAUCAAGAUGCAAAAAUUUGAAAAUUGGGAAGACUACUCGUUGGAUCAUCUAUGUGGUUGUCUAAAGCCAGUCUUCUUUAGUGAACGUUCUACAAUUAUUUCGGAGGGAGAGUCAAUUCAUGAGAUGCUCUUUGUGUUGGAAGGCCAGAUUUGGAUCUACUCAAAAUUUAAGUUGAUUGGAUUGAAACGUCAGGAAGAUGGUAACUAUUGCGGAGAAGAAAUUAUAGAUUGGGCUGAGAAUCAGAGCUCGUCUCACGGCCACCUCCCUAUCUCAACCAGAACCAUUAUAGCACAUACUAAUAUUGAAGGUUUUACUCUCAAGGCUGAUGACUUGAAACAGGGUGUAGCACUUCACCGGCGUUUCGAUCAGUUAGUAAGAUUCGUACAAUCAUCCUGGCGUUCUAAGAAGUCCAAGCAAAUGCAGAUGAAGAGAAGGCAAAGCCGAAGUCAUGAGUAACUAUUUGGGAUUGGACUUGUAGUUCUUAUUAUACUACUAUGUCUACUGUUUACGUUGGGUUUCUGUUUACUUGCUUAGGUACCAGAAAAUAAUCUACUUUUGUUGUGACAUAUUAGACUAUAAUUAUCUGGUACAUGAUUUUAGAUGAAAAUAAUAAGUAGCACCAGGACAACCUAUAGAUCACAGUGAAGAGCUGAAGCAGAUCAUCUCAGGGCAAUCCUAAGUGGGUCACGUGGGUAAAGUGAUGUUUUGCCAACGGUGUUGAGGCCACAGAAAAGCAUCACCAUGAAGAGGUGCACCGUAUCCGAAAAUCAGUAUCAAUCAUAACACAAGGUUAAACAGAUUUUAAAGAUUAACAGAAUGCUUAUGCAAACAUAAAGCGACACAUCAAGCAACAAACUAUAUUUCUUCUCGCUUAAGUACAAACUGAUAACUGUUUCAGAAUAAUCCAGCAUGAUCAAGAUUAAAAUCACUCAGAAAAAUCUAAGCCAAAUGCAUGUGAAAGCUUUUAGAGGAACACGGGUUGAGCUGAUAUGCCCUUCGCGUAAUAGGCUCGCGGUUGUUAGCAACAAGAUCGAAGAGGUAAAAUCAAGGUGACAAGGUAACAAUACCUGAAAGGAUCAAUAAAUGUUGUUGAUAUUGUCUUGACAUAUGAAUGCCACAUGCCUGCACGUUCGCUCUGCCAAGAACUCUGGUAGAUGAGUACAUUGAGCACCUGAAAUUAUCUUUUCACCUGAAAGGAAGGAACAUAUGCACAAAUUCCAAUCAACUGAAUAAUCACUGGAUAUUUUCAUCCAACAAGUGAUAGUGAUUAUAAAAAAUAUAAAAAUGAAAACCAAGCAGAAAAUUCUUAAACACAAGUAAGAUGACUGUGAUUAUCAUUAUUAAGCAAUCAACCUAGUACAACCUUCAACCAGUGUUUGAGACAAUGCAAGUAGUAUCAUGAUAAUAAAUCUUUACUUCCAAACAGAACAUCAUUUCUUCAUGUAAUAAAAUGAAUGAAGAUAGAUUUCAGGAAGACAGCAGCACGAAAUCAAAUAUAUGUGCACAAAAAAAGUAGAAGAAAUAUUUCAGCGUCAUCUAUUAGCUCGAAUAAAAACAUCAAUGCGGUGUAAAACAAACUGAUGAAGAGAUUACUGGGCAUGAAAGUGUACCCAAAGUGUAAACAUGAGUUUCAACUUUUGAUUUUGGUCGCUUCACAUUCCGGAAUGCUCUUGUGAGAAUUAGUUGUACAAUCAAAUCCCAUUCCAUAAAAUAUCAGAUACUCCCUGAAAAUGCCAUGCCACUUGAUACAGCCAAUGGCCGUGGUAUCUCUAAAACUUUUCCCCUUUGAGGAUUGCAUAUAAAGAGUUCCACUAGAUGCCAUUUAUUUCAAAAGAUCAAUAAACAUUAACACUGUUUUCGCCAGCAUUACAUCCCUCAGAGAUCUCAAGAUCCUUGAUGACAUUACCAUUGCAUAUAAAUGAAUGCAUGGCGUCCUCAAGAACAAGAAGCAGAAUUUGAGGUUCUUCAGCAGCAGCCGCAGCCUGUGUUGAUAAACGCUUGUUAGCAAAAGAAUGGCUGUCAAUUAUGUCAUUCUAGAAUUUAGAAACAGAUCACAAACGCAACUGAUUAUGCGGGGAAUCUCAGAAAGAUACCAUAGAAAAGAUAAUCAGAAACUUCUUCCUUCAUGUGUCUUAUACAAUUUUUAGCAUCCUUUCGAUUAUCUUCGAUUGAAAAUUUAUUACUUCCUGCAUGUGAAAGUUAUUUGAGUGUCAGAAAGCCUGCAUUGAAUAUAGAUUUGAGGGAAUAAUUUUGACAUAAAAAUUAACAUGAAAGCUAAUACAAAGAAACAGUUCUUAUAUGAACAAAAUUAACAUGAAUCGAGAAACAGAGCGUAACAGGGUAGCUGCAACUAAUAACUCACAAACUAACUUCUAAAGUGACCUACUGGGCAUCAAAUCUAAGGAUUAAAGCACUAAUUAUAGGAUUUAACAAAAGAUCAGCCAAACAUUAUUUAUUUAUUUUCUCUUUUAAAAAAAAAGGUCAGCUUUUUCGAGAUUUCAGGAAGACAACAACAUAAGAUCAAGUAAGUAUAUGUGCACAAAAAAUGAAGAAGAAAUAUUUCAGCUUCGUCGAUUACCACAAAGAGAACAUCAAUGCUGUGUAGAACAAACUGAUAAAGAGAUUACUCACCAUGGAGGUGUGCCCAGAGUGGAAACUUCAGUUUCCACUCUUGACCUCGUAAGCGACGCGAUAAACCAGUCCUUUGCAAUUCACGUACCUGAAAAAUCUUGAAAGAAUUGGUUGAACUAUCAAAUCCCAUUCCAAACAUGUUGGUGUUAAUAAGUUGGUUAAUGAUCUUCCUGACGAACUUGGCAACAAAAUAAAGCGCAAUGUCUGCAUUAAACUGUUCAAGAAUGUGAGUCCCUUCAUCAUAUAUUAAUUGUUAAAUAAAGUUCCGGAUGUACCCUUUAUUGGUCAAAUAUUCUACCCUUUUAGUUGUUUGAUGUCUGUGACACAACUUAAAAGUAAUUUUUAACUUCCAAGUAUAAGAGUGUCUUGUUGUAUUAUAACUCGGUGAGUCCGAGGUCGAUCCACAGAGAAAAGAUUUAAUUUGUUUAUUUUAUUUUAACUAAAAAUUGAAAUUAAAACUUAAAUAUAAACAACUUAAUUUAAAUGAAACUAUGAAAUUAAACUAGUUAGGGUUAUGGAUCCACUCAUAGAAGUAAAUAAAAUUUAAUAAAUUCUUUUUGCCUUUUUUUUAGAUUUAUUACCCAAAAGAUUAAUUAUAUAAAUUAUUAUUAUUUUCCCUUUAAUUUUAUGAUGGAUUAAGAAUUUAUUGUGCCAAAAUUUAAUUUGUCUACAAUAAGUCAAAAUACCAUUUUACCAUACCUUAUAUUAAGAUAUUAAGAAUUUAUUGUGCCAAAUUUAUUUGUUUGUUCACAAUAAAUCAAAAUUUCAAAAUAUAAAAUUUGUAUAAAAUUAAAUAGAAAAUAAUUUAAUUUAUAAAAUUAAAAAUAGAAUUUGCUUAAAUCAUAUUUAUUUCCUAAGAGUUUCACCUUCCUCUAACUAAUAUUAUUUAGUUAAGCAUAAUUAAAAUACAAAGAAGUAAUAAAAUUGAAUUACUUAUAAUUAAAAGUAAUAAAAACAACUAAAAUUGGAAAUAAAACUAAUUUUAUUUAUAAAAAUAAUUAUACAAAAUAUUAAAAACACACCUGGAAAUGAAGAUUACAAGGAGAUGGAGAGAAUUUGAGAAGAAGAGAGUUGUAGAGGGAUGAUUAAAAACAUAAAAAUGAGGCUCUAUUUAUAGAAAAAUAAAUUCAUAAUCCAGUGCUUUGUGGUCCAUCAUAAGCUUCAUGCAUGUGCUCCUCAUACCUUUAGAUCAAGAUCCAAUGGCUGGUCAAACUUCAAAAGUCAACAUCACACGUGGCAUCGUUUGACUCGUCCGAUUUGCCCAAAGAACGGUUGAGAUUUGGCGAGUUAAUGGGUGGAUCGGGUCGACCCGAAUACAAGGAUUUGGAUCCUACAACUUGCUUUACCAACCAUUGCCACGUGGCACAAUCAUAGCCAUUGAAUCAUGAACGGUUGAGAUUUAGUCAAAAUUGCCAGCUAUCCCAUACACUCAUAUAUAUUGUAAGCUCAUUUCAUCAUCCAAUCAGUGGUCGGUCAACAGGAAAAGUCAACUUUUUUUACACAAGCCCAAUUUUAAGCCGAUCUUGAUUGAUCUUAAGGUUUUUCGGACCUUUGGAAUCCAAAUUUGACCUCUGUUUAUCUGUUUGGAGCCUCGAAUUACGUGAAAUUAAUAUUUUUCCUAAUAAACACAUAAAAAUACACAAAAUUAAAUAUAUUUAAAACAUAAUUAAUAAUUCCUAAUAUAUUACAUAAACACAAAUAUAAAUUAUAGCAUACGCAUAAACUAACAUAUUAUCGCUUGAUAAUUAAACAAUUUUUAAUACUAAUCGGUCUGAUUUAAUUUUGUAAUUCUCAUUCUCAAAAUUAAAUGUAUAUGAAGGUAAAAGAGUUUAGAAAUUUGAGCGAAAAUCAUUAGGGUAUCUGUUUGAAUUUCUGAGGCCAUUCUUAUUUGUGGAGCAUACUCGCAUUUUUAAGGAGGGUGACCCAAUUGAUGAGAUGCUAUUUGUGUUUAAAGGCAAGGAGCUACUCCUACACCUCCAGGAAUUUUAAUGUAACAACAACAGCCGCUUCUAGAAGAAAUAAUCGUAUGAAAGAUCGAUGGUGACUAUUUCAGAGAAGAACUUAUCACGUGGGCUCAGAGUGAACGCUACUCCAAUCUGUCCAUCUCAGCCAGAACUAUUCAAGCGCUUAGUGACGUUGAAGCCUUUACUCUUAUGGCUGAUGACUUUAUCACUCAGUCAGACAUUUCGAUUGGGCGGCUCUUUUGUUACAGUCAUACUGGCUUUUUAGAAAGCUUUUACGGGACUAAAGGAAGGCUAAGCAAAAAUCAUGCCUGAAAUAUUGGACUUGGACAACCAAAGAAAAUAAAUAACGCGGGACAUGUAUCAGCGAUACAACGCAAAAAAUUUUAACACUUGUGAUAGAAUCAUUGAUGACAAAUUUUUUUUUUUUGAUAUAAAAGGGAGCCAAACAAGGCUAAGCCGAAACAAAACGCAGGAAAGCAUUCCCGUACAUGUUGUGAAUUAAGCAAUUGACAACACCACAAGGAGGAUUGUGAAGGAAAUGGAAGCCAAGAGGUUGAUUCAUUGCGAAAUUCGCAAGAAAAUCCGCUGCAAAAUUUGCUUCACAAUAAAUAUAGUUAAUGCACACAUUCCAGUCCCUAUCAAGGGGCCUCCUGAUGCUUUGAAUCACUGAAGAAAAACUGUUAGGACUGUUGCUUGUGUUUGCAAGUAGAUCAAUGGUGCACUUACUAUCAACUUCAACCAACAAAUUCCGAACCCCAAGCUUCCAAGCCAGAUCAAGACCAUAGAAUAAACCCCAGAGUUCAGCAUUAGCAACCGAACUAAUGCCAAUGUUCGUACAUAAUCCAGGAACCCAACUCCCAUUAGCAUUUCUUAUCAACCCACCCGUAGCUGCCAUGUUCAUCUUCUUGCAGGCCCCAUCGGUAUUCAAUUUGAAGGCAUUUUCAGGAGGCGGUUUCCAUCCAAAGUGUUUCACAAUCUUUGAAGAUCCAGGUUUGAUCAAAGUCAUCAUAGUUUUAUGGGAAUUUUCAGCUCUAGUAAUAAUAUCUAAAAUAAUGUUGUGAUUACUCCUCUGCACAUUCCUAAACAGAGCUUGGUUCCUCCAAAACCAAAAGCUCCAGAUUGCUAUGCCAAAAAUUACAGACCAAUCCACUCCAUUACUAUCAUAACGAUUAGGCUUUCAAUUAGUAAGAAUCCAAUCCUUUAAGUCUAAAGAGAAAAAACUAUCUCGUAGGCUAAAAGGGACAAUAUCUAGCCAAAUAUACUUGGCUGCCACACAAUCUCUAAGGGCAUGAAGAGAGUCUUCCACGCAAACUCUGCACCUUACACAUUGAUUCUCUGCCAAAAUAUGUCUUCUAGUAAGCUCAGCUUUGGUCUUUAACUUAUUUUGAAUAGCAAACCAAAGAAAAGUUUUAACACUUUGUGGUCCUUUCCAGCUCCAAAUAAGGUCCCAUUUUGAGCCGAUACGACUGGAGGAUUUGCUUGAAAUACUUUAGUAUGCUGAUUUUACUGUAAAGUUGCCCUUAGUCGAGAAGCCCCAAAAGAUUCGGUCUAUACCCCCCUCGACACAUGGAGGCAUAAUGGCAGUAAUAGCAAGCGCUAAACUGUGAGGGAGAUAAUUGCUGAAAGCAACCCAAUUCCAUUGACCAUUACUGUCAACAUAUUCCUUAAAAGAGUUGUCAAGCAUAUUACUCGGAACCGGCAUCACAACAUAAUCCUUCAAAAUGACAUUUUGCAUUACCCAACAAUCUUUCCAGAAACGAAUCUUUAAGCCAUCUCCAACUUGCCAACGAAUACCAUUCAAAACUUUUUGCCAAACCGUACCCACUGCACGCCACACAUAAGAACCAUACUUUGUAGGUAGUUCUGUUUGGGGAGAUUAUCAUUCUUGACACCGUAUUUAGAGCAAAAAACUUUGAUCCACAGGCUUGUAGGAGAAACAAUAAUAUUCCACCCAAUCUUCAUCAAUAGUGCCUAAUUGAUUUGGAGAAGAUUUUUUAAGCCAAGACCACCUGCCAUUUUAAGUUGACAGAUUUUAUCCCAGCUAGCCAUGGACAUGUUAUUCCCCUCGUUAUUCCCACUCCAUAUAAAACGAUGAGAAAUGCGAUUGAUUUUUUCUUGAGUGCCUCGCGGAAUCAUUGUGGUUUGCAUAGAAUAAAUUGGCAAGGCUUGGAUUACCGCUUGAGCAAGUGUAAGCCUUCCAGCAAAAGAAAGAUGCUUCGCAUUCCAUCCUGAGAGACGUUUAUCUACUCGAUCUAUAAUCUCUUGAUAGGUUUUAUUGGUAAUUUGACCAUGAAGAAGCGGCAUACCCAGAUACUUCCCUAAAUUUUUUGAAGUUGAAAAGCCACUUAGAUAACUGAUUUUUUUUUAUAAAGCAGGGUCCACAUUUUUUUAGAAGUAUAAUCGAGUUUUUUCUGUGCUAACUUUUUCUCCCGACAUAUUGCAAAAGUUAUUUAGAGAUUUGAUCACCAUCUUCGCCUGCUCAGAGGAAGCUUCUGCAAGAAGAAGAAGAUCAUCAACGAAAAAAAGGUGAGUCAGAUGUAUACUUUUCGGAGACAGCCUUAUGGGUUUCCAUCGCUUCUGUUGCACUUCUCGAUUAAUGAUGUGGCUAAGUCUUUCAAUACAAAGAACAAAUAUGUAAGGAGAGAUUGGAUCCCCCUGGUGAAUCCCUCCAGAGGUCUUGAAAAGAAUCAGUAAGUUCGCCAUUCCAAAUAAUCUGCAUGGAAUAAGAGGUGAUGCACUCCAUGAUGAUUCGUAUAAAAUUCGUAGGAAGACCCACAAAAACCAAAGUCUCAUUGAUAAAAUCCCAACUUAAUCUUUCAUACGCUUUUUCCAAAUCUACUUUGAUGGCCAUGAAUCCUCGUUUGCUCGUCUUCCGUCUUAUACUAUGAAUAAUCUCCUGGGUGAUUAUAAUGUUUUCGAUGAUGUGCUACCUUGGAACAAAGCUAGUUUGAUGCGGACCUACAAGAUCAGGGAGAAAAGUCUUUAAUCUACUAGCGAUGAUUUUAGUGAUAGUUUUGUACAUAAUCGUGCAAAGACUAAUAGGUCAGAAAAACUUUAAACUAGUUGGAUUGUCAAUUUUUGGGAUAAGAACGAUUAAUAUCUUCAAGAAAUCUGCAGGAACGGUCUCGCCAUUGAAAACAUCUUUGAUUUGCUUGCAAACCGACUUGCCCACCACCUCCCAUUGAGAUUGGUAAAAAAUAGCAUGUAGGUUGUCAAUUCCCGGCGCCUUUAAAGGUUUCAUGCUAAAAAUAAUGUCUCGAAUUUCCUCAUCAUCCACUGAUUUUUUCAUGAUAUGGUACUUAUCUGUAUCAAGGCAAGGAAAAUCAUUAGGAAUAAAAUAAUUUUCAAAAGAAUUAUUGUCAGCCGUGUAUAAAUUAGUGAAAAAAUUAAUAGCAUGAGCCUUAAGCUCAUCCUCAUCCAAAAUCCACUAGCCCCCGUCAUCUUUCAUCCAGACAAUUUCGUUUUGUCUUCUCCUAGUCAUUGUUUUCUAGUGGAAAAAGGAAGUAUUUCUGUCCCCAAAUUGAAUCCAGUUGCUGCGAGAUUUCUGAAGCCACAAAAGUUCUUCUUGAUUGAGAAUAUCGUUGAGCUCCUUGCUGAGAUGAGUCUCCAACUUUAGUCUCCAACUUUAACAAAUUAUCCAAAUGGUGACUCUCCAAAGCUUUUUGAAUUCCACCUAGUCUAGCUAAGAUUUCCCUUUUUUGUUUAAAAAUAUUUCCAAACUCAUUCUUGUUCCAAUUAUCAAUUUUGUCAGUAAACUCCUUCAUCGAAACAUUAUAAUCAACAUCCUUCUUCCAAACUUGAGACACAAAACCAGAGAAACGAUUAUCAGUAAGCCAAGAUGCAAAGAAUCUAAAUGGUUUCAAACCUUUGUUCCCAGUACCCUCAUUAUUCAAACUAAGAAGGAUAGGCCGAUGGUCAAACCCCAAUCUUAGUAAGUGAAAAACUCGUGCCUUGUUAAAAGUGUUGAACCAAAUAUCAUUGCAAAUGGCUCUAUCCAAGCGUUUAUAAAGCGAUCCCCUUUUCCAAGUAAAUUUUGGUCCAGUAAAAUGGAGAUCGCAAAAUCCGUGUUUGUGGAACCAAUUUUGAAAGUUUUUACAAGGUCGGCUACGACUAUUAGUACUUCCUUUACUCUUUGAGGUUGAAAGAGUGGCAUUGAAGUCGCCUGCUAGCAUCCAUGGACCUUGAAUAGUCUCAGCCAAAUAAUUUAAAUCCUUCCAAAGAAAUUUCGGAGAGAAGUAACUGGACUGGCAUAAAUCACGGUGACCCAGGUAAUUAACCCCCUUGUAUCAGACACUUGGAAGUGAAUAUAUUGCUUAUGAUUAAUAAGGAUUGUGACAUCUAAACCCGCUCUCCAUAAUAACCAAAUUUCACUUGAGAAACCAGCCACCUCAACUCGAUGGGAAUGCUCAUAACCACUGAAACGAAUAAAAUCAUCCGUUUUAAUUCCACUAAUCCGAGGUUCACAAAAAGCCACAAGUUUGGGUUUAUAGUUUUGAACAGACAUCUUGAAAGUUCAUCUAAAGGACUGCGAGGCCGCCCCCUGGUAAUUCCAAAACAAGCACGACAAAUUCAUUAGCAAAAAAAAUUGAAAGAAAAGCACAUACUUACUCCAAAUGCUCAGAGCCUUGCUGAUUAACAUCCAUAUGAUCCUCCUCAACAAAAAAAUGAGACUCAUCUGAUGUCUCAGAUUCGUCAUCCUCUGAUUCCUCCAUAUAUUCACUAUCUGAUGAGUCCUCCUCCACCUUAUCCAUUUCCCUAUCGCCUAUAUCAGGAGGCUCCUCAUUCGGGUUUGGUUCGGGAGGCAUCGAAGGGGGGGCCUGGACGGUCCCAUUUUUUGAAUUGUUUUUUAAUAUUAUUGCUUAAUGAUAUUUAGGAUCCAAAGAAGUUGGGAUGAAAGUUGGUUCAAGAUAAUGGGUUAUAGAUGACUUGGAUUUGUUACGUGAGAUAUUUUUUUUCCAUGGGCUCAAAAGGGUGUUGAUUUGAUGAGCUAUGACCACUUGUGGGGGGGGUGUACUGUGUAUUUCCCGUGAAGGUUUGAGGGUAGUGUGUUCAGAUGUGGCAACCUUCUUGUUUCUUGUCACGGGUUUUCCCUUGCUUCCAAAUAUCAUCGUUUGGGUGGAGCUUUUAGAGUCACGUGAGAUCAUCUUUUCCAUGUUUUUAGGAGGAGCAACAGUCUUCUUGUGAUUAUCCAUGGUGAUAGCUGCGUUUGAAAUCUCCCUAGAAUCAUUGUCUAACUCACUUUCCUGUCGUAAGACAUCGAAUCUGGAACCUAGACUCUGUUUCCCAAAAUUAUUUUGAUUAGUCUCCUUUGCAUCUGCUCUUCCCUUAUUUCCUCUAUAAUUUCCUUUCCUAGCCAUGAUCAUCCAAGGACCAAAUCUUGGAUUGUCCAGAGUAACCACCGCCGGCGAGACAUCUGAAAUUCCGUUGAUAGUUUCACCUGAAGCCAUAUCAUUCAUCUUCUCCCCUCUUGCCUCCAAAAUCAAUUUAUCCGGGCAUGAGGAAGAGGUGUGUCCAUACUUUCCACAUCCAAAGCAUAUUGUUGGAAGCACUUCAUAUUCAAACCUUUGGAUUCGUCCAUCCAGUAAAAAUUGAGAGAUUAAAGGACUCUUAAGGGAUACUUCCACUGCAUUACGGGUAAACUUACCCUUCGUCGCCAAUUCCGUAUUAUAAUCAAUUUUGAUUACUUUUCCAAUGACAUGCCCCAACAUUCUAAUGAUCUUUUUAUGGUAAUAAUGUAGAGGCAUACCUGGAAGCCUUAUCCAUGCAGUGAUUUCAUCAAUCUUUUCAUUCGAGCUAUCGAAAUGAGGCGACCAUAGUUGAACGGUCAGGUAAUGCCCCGAAACAAUCCAUGGCCCUUAUGUAAGAACAAACUUAGCAUCACCUUCCUUCCUGAACUUAACGAGAAAAUAGGCAUUAUCUAAAUCUAUAACAGAGUAUCCGCCAAUAUUAGGCUACAAGAUUUCCAGCUGUGAGCAAAACGCUUUGUAUCCAAUCAUGCGGCUAAGAAGUUUCACCACCACAGUAGAUUGCCAUGGUUUUAUGAGUUGCUCGUGGACUUUUUGUGAAAAAGAAAUCGAAGGUAAAAAGCCUUCCCGUUCAAUGACCACAUCCUCAUUUUCAAUUUCAUUAUCAUUUUCCUUCCCCAUGAAUUCUUCUCUACCGACUUCAGCAUCAAUCACCCCCCUUUGUUGUUCCAUUAGUUUAUCUCGAAAGAACAACAUAGAUGGAUUAUCUCCAUCCUCCCCUUGUGCUUUGAAUUUGGUUUUCUUGGUCGAUCGAUCAUCCUCAAGGGGAGGGGGGUUGUUCUUGUUAAGAGAGUUUUUGGUUGAGAGCAUUUUCCAACGACUAGUUUUUUCUUUUCUUUCGCAGAUAAUUAGACGUUUAAAUCACCGAAGCUGUGGAUUUGUCAUUUGGUAGUUGAUAGUUACAAAUUGUUUAUUCUUUAUAUUUAGAUGUGCGCAGAAAAUGGCCAAAAUUUAAUUUGAAAUUUGGAUCCCUCUAAGUUACAUGUAAUAUAACUUACACCCACUCACAUGAAUAGUGAACAGUGGGUGAUGUGAGGCCCACUCAUUGUUCAUGUGAGUGGUGUAAGUUACGUUACAUGUAACUUAACACUUGCCUUGAAAUUUUAAAUUUGAAUCCCUCUAAGUUACAUUACAUGUAACUUAACACUUGCCUUAAAAUUUUACAUAUGAAUCCCUCUAAGUUACAUUACAUGUAAUUUAGCACUUGCCUUAAAAUUUUACAUAUGAUUCUAUCCGGCUUUGUCAAUUAAUUCACCAGUGAUGAUGAAUAAUGAUAGAUAUUAAUGUUUGAAUUCAAAUUGAUUUGACAUUCAUUUAUUAGAUGAUAUAAUAAUAAUUUUAUUUUUGUCAUAUAAUAGAUGUGUGAUACUUAACAUUUACACUCAAAUUAAAAUUUAAAUAUUGAAAUUCUAAUAUUAGUGGAGUUAUAUUGAGUUGGGAUACAAAUUUUGACUAUUAAUGGUGUAACACUUGAUGUGAUGGUAUUAAAUUAUCUCAUUAUGAAAGAAAUAUUAAAAUUGAGUAAAGUUUAUAGGGAAAAUCAUUUUGUGUGAGUAUUCUCAAUUUUCAAUAUAAAAAUUACGAGACAAAAUUAAGGAGGAGAAUGACACAUUGCACUGUUUACAAGCUAUUGGAUAAUUUGGUCAUAUUUCAAAAAGCGAUUUAACCACGGAGGUCCAUCACAGAAGUUUAAAGACCUUUCGUUGAAAGAACAAAUGUGAUAAUUGAUAUUAUUAAUAAAGAAAUAAAUAAAUGGGAUAAAUCUAAUUUUUCAAAUUUCUCCGGAGGAAAAGGCUGCGAAUUAUGACUCUCCAUAAGAAAGACGUCACAUGAAUUUAUUUAUUUAUUUAUUUUCUUGUAAAUUUUACAUGAUUGGAAGUGUGGAGGUGUGUGAUUAUCAUUUCUGUCCUAAAAUACCUGUCAACCUUCCACAAUUUUUGAGAUUGCCAAUUAGUUUGUUGGUCCUUCAGGUAUUUGGAGGCUUAUGAUACUUAUUUGCGAUAGAAAAAGUUGGCGGAUGUCGAAGGAAGCCUGCAUAAUUAAUUAAGCCUUAUGGUACUCAUCUGUCAUAAAUUAGGAUUCGUCUAUGAUGCAACUGUGGUGUGCUACCACAAUUUUUGUCCUUAACCCAACUAACCGUUGGUUCAAAAGUUAAAUAAUCUAACAUGUUUUUAAUUGCCACACAUAUUUUCAAGUAUACUGGUGAAAUUAGGACAGUUAUGACUUAAUUUUAAAGAUCUCUUGCCUAAUAAAACUUACUUUCAAUUAAAGGGUAUUGCUACCUUUUUUUUUGUAUUUGGUAAUUCAUCAAACACGAACAAAUUGACGAACACAUAAUUUCUUUUCUUUUUUACAUUUUGCUUUUCAUCAAUUCCUUCAACGUCCUCUGUACAUCAUCUUUCUUUUUUUCUUUUUUUGUUGUUGCUGGAAUCAGUUGGUCGUUGAUGGUAUUGCCCCAAAAUUUCAUCUUUACAUCUUCAAGUCCUUCAUCUUUUUUUUUUUUUUCCUGUCUAAUCCUUCAAUGUAAUGAUCCAUUUCACUUAUGCAACUUUUGCUAGGACUUCAAGAUUGAUUUUUGUGUGUUAACUUACAUUUGAGUUGAAAACAACUUGGAUGUAUUUCAUGCCUGCUACCUGUUUGACGAAAUUCCUCACAGAAGAAACAUACAGUUUCAGAUGCUAUUCUUGCUAAAGAGUUCAAUAAGAGAGAUAUUUCUGGUAUUGAACAUAAAAAAUAGAGCAAUAAAUAGAAAAUUAAUUAAUGACAACUUCUUCUGAAAAAAAAAAAUUAAUUGAAUUUUGCUAUUUUUGAUUGAUAUGAUGAUGAUGGAAGUCAAGUGUGUUAUGUAAGACGAAAGACGAGAAAUCAAUGGUUAAUUUCAGCGCUCAAAAGAUUGUAUUUCAGUAUAAUGCACGCACCGAGGACGAAAAUGAAAAGAUGAAGUCAAUUAAUUGCAACUCACUCAAAAGGUUACCUGUGUCAGUCCAAUUUAUCCAAUAAUUAAGUCCAGCCCUUAGAUUAAAGAAAGAAGUAUCCAACGGUUUUGUUUGAUAUAUACAAAAGAAUGCGGUAUGGUGCAACUGUUGCAACAAGACACCAUAAAUUAUCUCAUUAUGACAGAAAUAUUGAAUUGCACGAGUUAAUUAGGAAAAUAAUUUUUGUGUGAGUAUUCUCAAUUUCCAAUAUAUAAAUUAAAAGAAAAAAAUUAAAAAGCAGAAUGACGCUUUACACUUGUUUAGAAGCUACUCGAUACUUUGGUCAUAUUUCAAAAAAUAUAUUAACUACGUAGGUCCACAUAUAAUAAAAGUUGUAAGAGAUUUUUUGUUGAAAGGAUAAAUGUGAUAUUUUAAAUAAACAUAUUUAAUAAAUGGGAUAAACCUAAUUCUUCAAAUUUCUUCCUAGGAAAGGCUGUCAAUUAUGGCUCUCCAUAAGAAUGACGUCACCCAGAUGAUGUAAUCAGAAACUUUUUCCUUCAUCAGUUACUACGCAAUUUUUAACGUCCAUUUGUUCCACUUCAACUGAAAACUCAUCACUUCCUGCCUGCAAAAGUUAUUUGAGUGUCCAAAAAACUAUAGUGAAUCUACAUUUUUAUUGUUAAGGGAGUCAUUUAAAUAUGAAAUUGACAUGACAGCUAAUACAAAGCUACAGUUGCUACUUGAACAAAAUUAACAUGAAUAAAAAAAGUGUAGCUGCAACUAAUAACAUUAAAGCAAAGGAAUAAAGUAUUAACUAGAGAUUUUAAACAUAACUGUUUGGUUUAAAAUUAUGGGAAUUUUAGAUUACACUUACAGUUUUUAUUGUUUUUUAAUUUUUGAAGAGAAAGAAAAGAAAAAAAAAGAUCAGCUAUAUGAUUAAAGAAAGAUAACAUGGUUAUGCAUGGAGGGAACAAAAGAGUAAUUGAAGUGAGUUAUUUAACGGACCACCGCAGCAUUGAUCGGCGUGUACGGUGCCGCCGGCGCGGUGACGUCGUCAGAGAGGUGGCAUCGUCGGCGUCAUUGUAAGUGUGAGUGUGACUGUGCGAGUGAAUAUGAGAGUGACUCAUCGUGGUUUUAAACUAGAGGCAGACUCAAAAUGUACAGUUGUCAAUAUAUAAUUGCAGUGCCCUUGCUCUCAUUUAUGAUACAAAUUAAUAAAAACUAUGAUUCAUUCAACAUUCACCAACCUUCCUCCAAUCCAAUUUUUUGGUCAUAUUAGGAUGGCUAUAAAUGCCAUUUAAUCGAUCGAUAACCUUAAUUUUCGAGAUUGCUAUGGCCGAAACUUUUUAAUUUUUUUUUUAAGUCUUUUAUUUCGUGCAAAAAUUAUAUAUCACGUUUUUUUAUUUCUCAUUAAUGACUGUAUUUUUGUGUCAUAAUUCAGGAACAACUUGUUGUUUCAAAGGGGCAGCAACAAGGAAUAGCUAUUUAUUUAAAAUAUGAAGUGGGGAAAAACUGCAAUACUUCAGAUCAUGAUCCAUAAAUUAUUCUCCUUUUUUAUCUCUAGAAAAAAUUGAAUUAAUUUCUUGAAAAAAGAUCCAACAAAUGAGUGCUUUAAUUUCGUAAUUUAUUAUUAUUAUUGCUAUUUCUGUUUAAAUAUGAAAAAAGAAGAAGAAGAAUUGGGUUAUUUUUAUUUUGUCGUAUAUCAGGGUUCAUAAUAGAUGUACUCGUGUCAAUAUAUAAUUGCCUUUGCCUUCCCUCUGGUGAAUUCAUUGAUAAUUGAAAAAGAUGGUAGCUGCUUGUGGUUGUGGGACGCUCUCGUUUAUGGUACAAAUUAAGAAUAAAAAUUUAUAUUUAAUUAACUCAACUGCUUGUGGUUUUGGAGGUACUUGGAUGUCAUUUAAACGAUAACCUAGAUUUUCUAGAUUGCUAGCUAUGGCCGAGUUUCUUAAUCUUUCUGAAGUCUUUUCGCGCAAAUAUUAUAUCCACGUUUUUUUCAUUUCUCAUUAAUGCAUUGUCAGUUCAAUAAAAAAUCUAGUGUGGAAACUGGAAAAUUUGGGAGGAAUCAUUAAUGCGUUGCACGUGCAACCUAAUCAAGAAUGUGCUUGUGUAUUAUUUUAAUAAAUCUAUUUCCAAUAAACCGAAAUAGUCAAAUUCUUAGUUCUCCCGUGCUAUAUAUUUGGUCUAUGGAUAUAUUAAUGUUUGUUUCUUUUAAUUAAAUUUUUUUUUUUUUUGCAUAUCAUAACCUCUCAGAUCACUGUCUAACAAGAUUGCCUUUAAAUUUGAAGAAUUUCACAUAAAUUGGAUACGGGUGAUUAUGGUGUCCUUCCAUUUUCUAACGAAUUAAUUUUCACUGUCAAUUUGUAAUUUGGCUAGCUGGAAUGACAGUGACCUGACUGAAAAAUAUGUUAUCUUGACGUCGACUGACCAAGUCAAAGUCUUUUAAGUGCACAAUCCAACCCUUUUGAAGUGGCGAUUCAGUUCGGCACUUCAAGGAAUAAGUUACUCGGCCGAAUUUGCAGAAAUAUUCCGAAGUUUAAUUCUUCACUUGGAUUUUCAUUGCUGAUCAUGUAAGUUAGUUGUUAUUUUUAAUUUUUUUCGGCGUUGUCACCCAUGUGCUUACACUUUUUGCGGAGCUAGUUUUAUGUUCUUAAUGUUCUAAUUUUCAAUGAAUGUAUUUGGACAAAGCCAUGAGCUAGUCUUUUAAAGGACUUAACUUGUAUUAAUAUUGCUGAUAUAUUCCUUAUAAAUCCAAAAGAGCAAACAAAGUUCUUAUAAAAAACGCAAGGAUAGCAGACAGUGAUUUAAUUUUUUUUAUUUUAUUUUGAUGUUAUCUCAAUUUUAAUAAUAGAUGAUUGAUUGAUUCAAUCUUCUUCUUGUCCAUAAUUAAGAUAACUACUUUCUACUUCCUAAAAAAAUCUCUAAUAUGUCGAAAUAAGUUUAUAAACAUUUGUAGAAAUCAAUAUCUUGGGAUUGUUGCUUGUUAAUUAUAUGUAAGUUAUACCAUUUUUAUGUUUUUUUUAAUCUGCUCGGCAUGUUUGAUAUAUUUCAACCCAAAUCCCCCUUGAUUGGGAAAAUAAACCAUUUCCUGCUCAUAUUUUGAAAUCCUACUCCAAAAUUCUCAUUUUAUUUGGUGAAAAUUUUCUAGAUGUUGAUAAACUUAUGUUAACUGUCAACUAAUGUUAAAUUAAGUCAAUUUGUUUUUCAACUAUCAGAUUUGGUAAUUUUCCCCUUUUUCCAGUGUAUGCAAAUCCACGACAACCACCCUACGCCUCCUUCCCUUAUUUUUUUAAGGAAGUAUGUGAUUUUUUAAACUGGGUUUUGAUUGCUGGCAACUGUAAUAUGUUGGACUUCCGUGAUUGGCUUGUUUGUACUCUACAGAUAUAUAUGUAUAAAAAAAAAAGGAAAAAAAUAUGACAAAACCUUAACUUGCGUUUCGAUCAUAUCAGGUCUCAGGAUCCAGAAGCAGGUUCAAAAGAUGAACAGUAUUCUAAAGUGUAUGGUACUGGAACGAUGUCGGCCGAUAAAAAACAAACUACAUGCUUAGGUUGCUUUAAAAAUCUUCUAGUUAUUAUACUUCUUUGCGUUAAAAAUCUUCUAGGUAUUAUACUUCUUUGUGUGGCGCUAUUAUGCUUUAUAAUAUUUGGUGGGACAAUAAUGCUAGUGCUUUAUUACCUGUUGAUUACAAUGAUUGUGUUAUAUCAUAAAACUGGUAAAGCGAUAGCGAGAGCAAUACGCAGGAUUAAAACAAUCAAGGAUAAAGAAUAUAUUGAUCGUCUAAUGAAUGUGACUGCAAUGAUCCUUGAUGUGACUGCAAUCAUCCUUGAUCCUUUAUUCUUCUACAUUCUGGUGCUGGAUGAUGAAAAGAAAUGCAUUCACUGGGACAAAACCUUGGGGAUUACAGCUACCGUCAUCCGUUCCGUCCUCGAUUUCCUUAAGCUAGGCCAUUUUAUCUCUCACUCUAAGCUGCAUAUGGCAAAGGGGAACCGAAGAGAAAAAUUUAAGGCCAUUUUCAAGGUGUAAUUUACUUUCGCUAACUAGUUGUUUCUUCAACUUCCAUAAUUUAUAUAAAUAUAGUCUCCGUUAUCUUCUUUGCUCCCUACGAAGUAUUUGCUUUUUUUUUUUUUUUUUUUGGCCUUAAAAGGGAGAAGGAGAAGUACCUGAAGAUCCAAUGGGACGAAUGCGGAAGCUCUUCCUCAUUGAUUGUUUGGCCAUCCUUCCCAUCCCCCAGGUAAAGGCACUAUCUAAUUUACAAUUACGUAAAUUCUGUUUAUUGACAUAUUAUGUAGUUCAAUCCUUCCCAUCCCCCAUGUGCAUAUCGUAAUAGUCUGCUUGAUUCCUGUCAUAUGUACAUCACAAAGUGGUUUUGAUUGUGAUAAAGAUAGAUCUUCAUACGAUUCAUGUCAAGGAUAAUGAUUUCAAUGUCAUUUUUCCCUUUACUUUGAUUAAAGUUGUAUUUAGACAUACAACCCUAAAUGUUUUGCAUGGAUAUUAGGGGUGGCAAUUUUCGCUAGUGAGUAGUGUUAAAUUUCAGCUAUGGGAAUUCGAUACUUUAUUAAUCUUGUUAAUAAUUUCAAACACCAACUCCACCUGUCUAUUAAUAAUUAUGUCACAUGCUUAAUAUGCUUUGAAAGUAUAUUUUUAAAUUUGACUUGUUUACAAGUUUUUAAGAUAUUUGUUUAAUUAAGAUAUUUAUAGUACUGCCUCUCAAAUUCAAAUCAAUUCUAGUCUUAAUAUAACUAGAUAAUUUUGAAAUAUAUACAAAUAGAAAGUAGUUCAAUUGUAUCCAAAAUCUAGUCGUACAACCAUUAUUGAUCAAAUAGUUAAUUAUGUCAUAAUUAAAUAGGCUCACGUGACAGGAACUUAAAACCUGAAGAAGUGAACACAACACAAAAUAUUUGUGUUCCUUUUCACCAACGCGAACAAACUAUUAUUUUCAUGCCAUUGGAAUCAGUUUCGCAGGUCAUUUCAAAAUUUGUCACCCCAGCUAUACCAUCGUUUUGCACAAAAAUAAAUAAUCAAUUUUGUUCAUAUUCAAUAUCCUUCAAAAUAUUUAUUUCCAUUAUUCCAUAUCAACUAAUAGGACAAACCGUCCAGGUUUUGGUGAUUUUUGGAAUAAGAGGCCCAGGAUUUUCAACGGCAAUGACCUUCUUUGUUUUACAAUAUUCGCUAAGGGUUAUUCGAACGUACUUUCUCUUCACACAUGCUACACGGGUUUCAGGGAUACUUGCCGAUGCUACAUGGGCCAUUUUUGCCUUCUAUCUUCUUCUUUAUCUGCAAAGCGGUCAUGUAAGUUCAAAGUAUUAUCAUUUUACCGAAAUAGUUUUUGGGAAAUUACAAUUUUUCCACCAUAUAGAUCGCCAAAUUAAAGGCCAAAAACAUUACAAAAUUUUGAAAUUUACAUUUUUAUACAAGAAGUUUCCAAAAACACCAUUUUUAUAUUAUAUUUUUUGGAAUCAGAAAAGCAUGAACUACGAUAUUCACUAUUUUGUAAUUUAGAAAAGCAUAUUCUAAUAAAACUAGAAUUUUAGCAACGCCCAGUUAUUACACAUAUAUACGCACAGUCAGUUAGCUUUUUUUUAUGUAAAUUUUAGAUAUUGGAAUUGUCGAUGUAUGAUAUUCCCUCUACUCUGCAAAUUAAUUUUUCUGAUAAGCUAUCUUUCAGAUGUUUGGAGCCUUAUGGUACUAUUAUGCCAUAGAAAAAGCGACUGAAUGCUGGAGGGAAGCCUGCAAAAAUCAUACCGGAUGCAGCGGUCAUAGUUAUUUUUCCUGUAAUAAAAGUUCCAGAGACUACAAUUUUCUAAAUGAUUUUUGCCGUAUAAGUACAGGAAGUACUACCAGCUAUAGUUUUGGAAUAUAUAAUGAUGCUCUUCAGUCUGGUAUUGUGGGGGAGACAGAUUUUCCUAAGAAAUUGAUACGUUGUCUGCGAUGGGGCCUGCAAAAUCUCAGGUUUGCUGUUUUUUAUAUGGCUUGGAUAAUGAUUAUUGUGCAUGUGAUCAGGUCCGUUACAGGUUCUCUUAGUCCGGUGCAGGUUUAUUUUGUAGUUCUUUUCGCAUCCAUGUAUUCUUUUUUUUUUCCCCAAUUCUCUUUUAUUCUUUUCUUUGUAGCUUCAUGCAUAUUGUAAGGGCUAAAUUUUAUUAAAACCCACUAAUUAGCCAAUGCAGACCAAGACAUUUUAUUGAAAGGGGCUACAUCAAAUAAUACCAAUAAUAUACAUAACAUAAGGGAUUAAUUAAGUUUAUAUGAUAAAAUUAAGUAAUUUCAUAUUUUUUUAUUAAAUUAAGAUGACAUGUGAAAGUAAAAGAGGGAUAUUGUUAUUAUUUUUAAAAGGUUUAACAAGGAGAGUAAAAAAUACUGUUUAAUUUUUUUAUAAAUUCAGAAUAAUUGAGGGGUACGUUUUUAGGGGUUUAUUUCAAACGAACUCUUUUAUUCAACUCAAAUAUUUAAAAAAUCAUUGGGGGUUUAACUAAUAUUUUCUGCUAAGGUCUCGAAUGAAAUUUCAGAGGGGUUAUAUGAAACAUUUCUUUUCUAUCGGCUAGUCAUUAGGUAAGUUCGAUCUUGUUUGUUCUCAUAAAAAGAGUACGAAUGUCGGGGCCACGCACAUUAUUUAAAUACGCAAUUAUGGGCUUUAGUUACCUUACAUUAUUAUGUAAAUUUCAUAAUUUUUUGAUAACUAUUUGAUGAAAAUCUAAUGGUUGUGAGAAUAAUAUGAUUUUAUUAUUUUAUAUUUCCAUAACCGUUGGAUUUUCAUCAAACGGCUGUGAAAAAAUUAUGCAACUUAUAUAAUAAUGUAAGGUAACAAGCUCCCGCAAGUAUGUAAUACUUAUGAACUGAAUUGAACUUUUUGCAGUGCAUUUGGUCAGAACCUCGAAACAAGUAACGAUGUCGGGGAAAACAUCUUUGCAAUUUGCAUGACCAACUACGGCGUAGUUCUGUUUGUCUUUUUAAUUGGAAGGAUGCAGGUCACAUACAUUUUUCUGUUUCUUCUCGAUUUCUCAAUUAACUUUCUUCUCGGGCUGUUAAUUAACUUUGAUCCUUUUAACUCAUGAAACACGAUAUAUAUAGGUUUUAAUUAGAUUUGAAAACACACAAGUUAAUUAUUUAGGUCAAAUUAAUUAAUGGCUAGAUGUACAGACUGAAAUUGCAAGGUCACAGAAGAUAAACCAGAAGUGGCAGGUGAUAAGGCAGUCGAAACACUAUGCGGAUAUCUCCCGUGAUCAAAAUGUCCGAGGGCAGUUCAAGAAAGCCAAGCGUGAAAAUUUGACAAACAAACACGUUGAUGUUCGCAUAGAUAGUUUUAUAAGCGAUCUCUCCCUCGACGCUCAAAAAGAAGUAAAACGCCAUAUGGGCCGAAAACUGCUCAGAAAAGUGAGUUUCUAUUUCUCUGGAUAAUAAUAAUCCUUAGCUACGUACCUGCCUCUUAUUAAUUAGUUAUUCAUCAGAAGAUGUCGAAGGGGGAAGUUUGUUAGAAUUUUUUUUGUGUUGACGUCUUAUAGCAACAUCUAGAAUGAUUCUUCAUUGUAUGUCCUUGAUUGUUAGAAAAUUAAUGGCAAAUGAAUUAGUAAAUAUGAACCAUAUAGGAGCAACAAUACAUAUAUAAGGGAAAAGGACAUUCAACCCCCCAACGUUUAGGAAAAGAGACAAAAAAACCCCUCAACGUUUCAAAAAGGACUUAUAAUCCCCUUUCCGUUAACAAACACCGUUUGUUUUAACAGUAAAUUUAUUUUUAAUUUUUAAUUACUAUUAUACCCUUAUAAUAAAAAAAUUAAUAUAUUAAUUUGAGAUAUAUCACAAUUAAUAAUUUUUUAAAAGCUUAAAAUUGAGAUACAAUUAUUUUUUUGCCAAAAUUAUUUACUAUAAAUUAUACCUUUCUAACAAUAAUAAUAUGGUUUUGAUUCCUCAAAGAAAAAGGGUUUAAUCAAAUUUCGUUUUAUUAGUAAUAAUCACAUAUGAAAGGUUUGAUCAUUAGAAAGGUAUAAUUUAUAGCAAAUAAUUUGGGCAAAAAUGUAAUUGUAUCUCAAUUUUUAGUUUUAAAAAAAUUAUUAAUUGUGACAUGUCUCAAAUCAAUAUAUUAAUUUAUAUUUAUUAUAAGGGUAUAAUAGUAAUUAAAAAUUAAAAAUAAAUUUACUGUUAAAACAAACGGUGUUUAUUAACGGAAAGGGGGUUAUAAGUCAUUUUUGAAACGUUGAGAGGUUUUUUGUCCCUUUUCCUAAACGUUGGGGGGUUGAAUGUCCUUUUUCCUACAUAUAAUGACAAUUUUUGAAUGCUGUCAAGAGGGCACCGAAUACGAAAGCAUUUUUAUCUUAUUAUCAUUUUCUUCUUAGUAAAUGAUAAUUAAGGAAAAUAGUAAUGACAGAGAGUACUGAUCUGGUCCAAGAUUUUGAAUCUUAUUAAAGUUUGAGAUAAUUAUUAAGUUAUAAGAUCAAAUAAUAAAACAGCAUUACACUCUUAAACAUAAGUUUUCACAAGUACGCAGUAGAUGGUGAGAUAAUGUGUAAUUAAUAGUGUAAUUAAGUAAUGAUGCUUCUUGAUGAGCCAUCAUCAAAUGGGUGAUUUUGACAAAAGUUAUAGAAUUUAUGUAUUUCAGUAUUCUAUAACUUUAUAAUCGUUGUAUAAAUUUGUAUUGACUCUGAUUCUCAUAUAUCAAGGUAGAAGAAUUACUUAAUGUAUUUCAAUAUUCUAUAACUUUAUAAUCGUUGUAUGUAUUUGUACUGACUCUGAUUCUCAUAUAUCAAGGUGGAAGAAUUACUUAAUGUAUUUCAAUAAUCUAUAACUUUAUACUCGUUGUAUGUAUUUGUACUGACUCUGAUUCUCAUAUAUCAAGGUAGAAGAAUUUCAAAAUUGGGAUGAGUUCUCUUUGGACUCUCUGUUUGGUUGUCUGAAGCCAGUCGUCUUUAGUGAAAGGACUGUAAUUAUUCAGGAGGGAGAUCCAAUUAAUGUGAUGACUUUUGUGUUGCAAGGCAAGACUUGGGCCUACUCCAAGAAAUUGUCAAUCACUAGACAGAGACAUCAGGACGAUUGUGAUGUUCGCCGAAAAGAACUCAUAGACUGGGCCAAGAAUGAAAACUCGUACCAGCAGCUCCCUAUAUCAGACAGAACCGUUCGAGCACUUACCGACGUUGAAGCCUUUACUCUUAAGGCUGAUGACGUGAAAUGUGCAUUACUUUUCGGUCCUGUUUCCAAAGAGGCAGCAACUCUCAUACAAUCAGUCUGGCGUUUCAAGAAGCGCAAACAUGCUAAUGACAAGAAUGCAAAGCCAAGAUCAUGCAUGGACCGCUGUUUCAGGACACAGGACAAAGUUGUACUGAAUUAAAUUAACUAUUUGGGAUUGGACUUGGAAGUAUUUAUUACACUACUAUAUCUGUUAUUUAUGUUUUGUGUUUCUGUUUAGGUACCAGAAAUAAAGUACUUCUGUUGAGUGACAAAGUAGACUAUAAUUAUCUGGUACAUGGUUUUCGAUGAAAAUAGUGUAAAUAGCAAUAGAUCACAACCCAUAGAGCACAGUCUAGGGAAGGAACAGAUGCACAAUUCCAGUCAAGUGAAUAAUCACAGGAUAUUUUCAUCCGCUUUUAAUAAAUAUAAAAAUGAAAACUAAACGGAGAAUAUUCUUAAACACAAGUACUGUGAUUGUGAUUAUCAAUAUUAAGCAAUCAACCUCGUACAAUCAUCAACCAGUGAUAAUGUAACAUAUGUGAAUUAAAAAUGAAUAAGUAUGAGGCGGUUAAGAAGUUAGUAAAAGCAAAAGAAUAAGCUGGUGACAGAGGAAACAUAUGCACGUGUAACAGAGAGUGAGAGAGAAGCUGCCAAACCGACCCAACUACAGACCCGAAAACCCGACCCGGGACCCGACACCUUGACCCGGCCAUAUCUCCCAUUUCUGGCCACCGUUUCGGCCGAGCUUGAUACCAAUCUGAAGCUUAGAAGCUGACCGCGUUCCUUGCCAUCCUCGCCGCCGAAAACCAACCGGAACGCCGGCGAUCGAAGCUUGAAAACCCGCGACUGUUUCGCUUUGCUCCGCCGGGAUUUUCGCCGGUUUUGGGUGACACCACCGGCUGUAUUUUGUUCCUCACGACUCCCUCUUCCAUUUCCGACCAUCCAUAGCCACCGGGUGUCACUGUUUUUCCGCCGGUCAAUUGUUGGAAUUCACGGCUGUCGAGCUAGAUUCCGGCGCCGUUGCCGCGCGUUGGAACUCACCGCCGGUACCAUUGAACUCAGCGUGAUUGGAACUUUCAUAUUUGAGCUUCCCGGCCAGCGUUGACCAAAUUCCGGUGACCGUUGACCGGCGAGGGCAUUUCGGUAAUUUCACACUAUAAGGGCAAUUUUGUAAUUUCUGAGCCUGUGGAUAUUUUAGUAAUUCCUGGAAUUGAGGAGUGGGUGUAAUUAUGAUUCCGAGGGUAAUUCGAUGAUUUACGAUUUCGAAGUAUUUUAAUGAUUUACGGACUCGAGGGUAUUUUAGUAAUUUUACCGACACGGGAGUUGUAAAUUAUGGAUAGAUGUUCGUUUCGAGUUUAUUGCAUAAAUUUAGUCGUAAUUCCGAUUUAUAAAAAAAUAAUUAUGUCAUUUCCUUGAUUUAGGAGGAUUCACGAGCGAGAACCGAUCGCGGACGUGGACGAUAACCGAGCGUGAACACCAUCACUGUGAGUGGAAUAUAGAAAACCUAUUUUCCUACUUAAUUAUGAUAUUAAAGCAUGUUUGUGAAAUAAGUAUUUUAAAUGUUCUGAUUUAAUGAUUUCCUCGAAAUGGAUUUUAUACACGCAUUGAUAUUAUAUUAAAAUGUUUUAUUAAUGAUUUUGCGUAUCGACUUUGAAUAAGCAUGAUAGUAUUUUAAAGAUGAAAAAAGUGGAUUCAAAUGUGGUAUGAUUUAAAGUAUGGUUAAAAUGUAUGUGAAUAUUAGUAUAAUGAUUAUUUUUGAAAUCAUUAGACAGUACCCUUACCCUCCAGAUACAAUGAUACAGAUGAGAUGAGAUAUAGGCUUUUGGGGCCGUCUGAACACACAUAGAGGUUUUGGGCCAUGUGUUUGGGCGCUUUUGCCUUUUGGGGGUAUAUACAUGCGGUAUGAUGAUUACAGAGAUACAUAUAUGAGAUAUAGACAUAUAUUGAGAUACAGAUGAUACGAAUGAGAUACAGGUCUUUGGGGCCCGACUGAGUACACACAGAGGCUUUGGGCCGUGUGCGUGGGCGCUUUUGUCCUUUGGGGACUAGAUUAUGCAUGCAUAGAUAUGAUGAGAUAUGAGAUGGUAUUUCCCUGUCUAUCCGUGUAGCUCCGGGGCGUGCGGUACCCAGAUAAUACGUCAUUGCCCAUCCGUUGAGGUCCAGAUAUGACGAGAUUAUUUUCCUGGAUACUUGUUUGGUGAUGAUUUUCAAAUUUGUGUAUUCUAUUUGAUAUUGUGAUAUGAUUUCUAUGGUUAUUGGGUACGAUAUUAUAUAUGUUUUUCAUGGUUAGUAAUAUGAUUUAAAUGUUAAAUGAUUUAUUACUGGUUUCUCGCAUAUGGUUUGAUAAAAUCGUGUUUGGAAAUGAUAUGAUUAUUUCUUUUAAAGUAAGAAUUAAUUUUCAAAAAUUACUAUCCAAUCACUGAUCUCACUGAGUUUUAAACUCACCCUGUUUUUAUUAUAUUUUUCUCCCCACGAGGAGGUUGCAGGUACACUAGACUGACUCAGCGACUGUAAAUAUAUUUUGAGUCUCGGCCACGUGAUGGUGUUAGAAGAUAAAAAUGUUUUUGUUAGGACAUCUUGGUUAUCUCGUUCUUUUGGGAUUGUAUAAUUUUGUUAUAUUAUUCUUUUGGGAUUAAGAAUAAAUUGAGAUAUUAUUAUUAGUUAUAAUAUUAUUUUUUAAGACUCUGGAGAUAUCUUGAGUAAAAUUCAGCAUUUUGGUUGAGGAUAUUGAUAAUUGGAAUUGUUGUAUAUUGAAUUAUAUUGAGAGUGUUAUAUUCAUAUUUGUAGAUUGGGAGUGUUAUAUUUAUAAAGGAGAUUCUGUCGAAUUUUCAGCAGAAUUCUUACUAAUAGAAUUAUUAUCAAGUCCGUUUUGAUGAGACUACAUUGACUCGCCCAGGGGGUUUCGGAGUGGGUCGUUUCAGAUAAACUAUUCAUGCCAGUAACAUGACCAUCUUAUUAAUUUCAGUCCACUGCAAAGUGCAAAAAAAUUACUCACAUCCUCUUCGACUAAAAUUGAAGUUUAUUCCUGGCUCCCUUCAACAAAUUUUCUUUUCUAGUACUCUACCAUUCACAUUCAUCCCAUAAAAGAUCAAUUUAUUAGAAGACGAUAUUCCUCCAUCAAAUUGAAAGAGAAAUUGAAAAUAUCAAAAAGGGAACAGCAAGAUGAUUCUAGUAUCAUGAUAAUAAAUAUAUCUAUAUCUAUCUAUCUAUAUACAUAUCUAUUGGUUUUUGUUUUGUAAAUGGAACAUCAUUUCUUCACUUCGUAAACUAAUGUUGAUAAAACUUUCAGGAAGACAACAACAUGAAACCGAGCCGAGGUGCACAAAAAUGAUGAAGAAAUAUUUCAGCUUCAUCGAUUGUCUCGAAUAAAAACAUCAAUGAUGUGUUAAACAUUUAACUCAGAAAUAGAUUGCUUGCCUUAAAGGUGUGCCCAAAUUAUAAACUUCAGUUUCGACUAUUGACCUUGGUUCGUGACGCGAUAAACUAAUCCGUGGCAUUUCACAUACCCAACAAUCUUGUAAGAAUUGGUUGAACUCUCAAAUCCCAUUCCAUAACAUGCAAAACUCCCUGAUAUUGCCAAUGGCGGUGAUAGGAUUCGUUUAAAGAGUUCCCCUUGUUGCCACGUACCUUUAAAGAACAAUAAACUAUUACCAGUGUUCUCGACACGGUCCCAUCACUCUAAAAAUCGAACGCAUGUGAGCAAAACAAAGGCAGUCAAUUAUGUCACUCCAGUAUUCAGAGACAGAUCGCCGACCCAUAAGUGAUUUAGUGGGCAAUCUAAGAAAGAUGUCGUAGAUGAUACAAUCAGAAAUUUCUUCCUCCAUCAGUUUUUUACAAGUUUUAACAUCCAUCUCAGAUUUUGUUCAAUUAAGAACUUAAUCAGUUCCUGCAUGUAAAAGUUGUUUUGAGUGUCAUAAAACCUGUAGCGAAUUGUGAAGAGAGCUCACUGUGCUGAGUUAAAACAAGAAAGGAAGCCAACAGUCAAGAUUCUUCAGCAAUGCCACGUCAGUGCUGAGUCAGCUGAUUCUGUUAAGGAUUGUUGAAAGCUCACGUGACUAUUAGUUAGUUAAUUAGCUUUUAGUUAGUGAUGCAGGAUUCUGAUUGGUUGAUUAAUUGCAAUGCUUAUUUGAUCAAUUGUAGCUUGGAAAUAAACUGUAUAUAAACAGAGUCUGUAACGAUUGCUUCUAUGAAAAAAUAAAAAAAAUAUUCCAGAGAGUUUAUCUAUUUUCUCAGUAACCAAACAAGCAUUUAGCUUAAUUUGCUAUUAUUUUACAUGGUAUCAGAGCCACAAUAUGGCAAGCUCAAGCAAUCCAAACGGAAAUUCAAACACAAUCACUGCAAAUCAAUCAAUACAAACCACAUUCUCCUUCAUAUCACCAAUCAAGUUAGAUCGAUCUAACAACAUGCUCUGGCGAAAUCAAGUUCUAGCCUCUAUAAGAGGAAACAGACUUGAAGGUUACAUUAAUGGAGAGAAGGUUGCUCCCAAUCAGUUUAUCACAACUGGAGGAUAUGCUGGAGCAGCAGGUAGUUCUACUCAACAGAAUGAAAAUCCAGAAUAUACAGUCUGGAGAUCACAAGAUCAGACAUUACUAAGCUGGCUGUUGAGCUCAGUCACUGAAGGUAUUCUCAGCCUUGUUCAUUCUUGCAAUACUUCAUAUGAUAUAUGGAAAACAUUGGAGAAAAAGUUUGGUGCAAAAUCUGAAGCAAGAGUACUUCAACUUAGAUAUGAAUGAGUGUUUUAAGAAAAGAUUCACUGAAUAUAGAAGAUUAUUGUUUGAAGAUGAAACAAAUAGCAGAUAAACUAGCAUGUGCUGGUAAUCCAGUUUCAGAUAAAGAUUUGCUGCAACAAAUUCUAAAUGGUCUUGGACAAGGAUAUCUUGAUUUAGCUACAUUCAUAACAGCAAGUAAACUUGAUUAUGAUGAUGCAUAUGCACUACUACUUACUCAUGAAACAAGACUUGAACAGAGUAUGAAUGAAAAACAGAUGUUCAAUGCAAAUUUUGCCAAUUUUACUUCUAAUAACAGUGGAUAUGGUAUGAUGAAUGCCUUUUAUGCACAAGCAAGAGGCAAUGCUCGAAGAGGUGGAUAUAAUGGAGGUUUUCACAGUGGAAAUCAAGGUGGAAGAAAUAAUUUUCAUACUGGAAGGGGAAUGUUUGUUAACUCUCAUCCAAGAGGUUUUCCCUCUGGAACUGGAAAUUUUGGUAACAGUCAUGGUAGAGGUCAGAUGAUUGGUAAUAAUAAACAGAUGCAAUUUAUGAGAGGUCAAUACAGUGGUAACUCUGGUAUGCCAAACUCUGAUGGUAAUGAUGAGCAAAGUGUUGUAUGUCAAAUUUGUUUUAAAUCUGGGCAUACAGCAACAGAAUGUUGGCAUAGAUUUGAAGAGAAUUAUGUACCACAAUACAUGAAGAAAGGAAGAAAUUAGAGAUCAGCUUAUAUGGCAUAUUAUGAUGCACCAACUGAAAAUUCAUGGUCAACUGCUUGUUCAGGAAUGCCUCAAAUGCACAAUCCAUCAUUCACCCCAUACAUGUCUGAUUCAGUGAACUUGUCAGGAGCUGGAGCUGGAGCUGCCUAUGUUGCUAAUUUUGAAGGUCCAGCAGAUGAAGGAUGGUAUCUUGACAGUGGGGCUACACAUCAUUUGACAAACAACAUGGCAAACAUGCAUGUCAGAGAUGAAUUCAAUGGUAAUGACAAGCUGAUUAUUGGCAAUGGUAAAGGUCUGUCAAUCACACACAUUGGUAGCACUACUUUUUCAGUUCAAGGUUUUAAGUCACAAGCUGCACGUAAAUGCAUUACACUUAAAGAUAUACUGCUUGUUCCUUCUAUCACAAAGAAUUUAAUAAGUAUUUCUAAACUUACUGCUGAUAAUAACCUAUCUAUUGAAUUCUUUGGAUCUAUCUGUUAUGUGAAGGAUUCACUGAAGGGGAAGGUUCUGCUACAGGGUAUUGCUGAGAAAGGUCUAUACAAAUUGCUGAUCAAAUCAUCUUCAAAAUCAUCACUACAACCUACAUACACCUCUUUUCUUUCUCAAAGCUUAAUAAAUCAACAUUUGUCUAUGUUGUCUCUCUGUCAUUUCAGUUCUGCAACUGAUAAUACUUGUUUUGCAAAUUGUUUUCAUUCAAAUAAAAACUCUUGUACUGAUUCAUCAUCAAAUAAAAUGUCUCUAUUUCACAGAAGAUUUGGUCAUCCCAAUGCUCAAAGUUUCAUUCACUUACUUAAACUUAUGCAUCCUAACUUGUUAUCUACAAAUAUGCUUAAUUAAGUAACAAAGCAUUUUUGUAAAGCAUGUCAGCUGGGCAAAUUUCAUAGACUUCAUUUUCCCAUAACUGAUAUUAAGUCUAAAUCAGCACUAGAACUAAUUCAUACUGAUCUAUGGGGCCCUUCACCAAUAUGUUCUAGAGAAGGUUAUAGAUAUUAUAUUAGUUUUGUGGAUGAUCACACUAGAUACACCUGGAUAUACCUUCUGAAAUUAAAAUCAGAAGCUCUAGAAGUGUUCAAAUUGUUUAAACUUCAAGUUGAAAAUCAGUUUCAAACCACCAUCAAAGUUCUACAAUCUGACUGGGGGGGGGGGGGGAGAGUAUAGACCAUUCACUAUUUUUCUAAAUGAAUGUGGUAUUCUUUUCAGACACUCUUGUCCCUACACACAUCAUCAAAAUGACCUUGUUGAAAGGAAACACAGACGGAUUGUAGAAUUAGGCUUGACACUUCUAGCACAAGCUAAACUUACAUUCCAGUUUUGGUGGGAUGCUUUUCAUACCUCAGUUUAUCAUAUUAACAGACUUCCUACCUCUGCCCUUAAGAUGUCUAUUCCAUAUGAAAAAUUAUACAGACAUAAAGCUGAUUACAACAUGCUGAAAUGCUUUGGUUGUGCUUAUUAUCCAUACUUGAGAGAUUACAAUAAGCAUAAAUUUGAUUAUCAUACAACCAAGUGCAUCUUUCUUGGUUAUAGUCCUUUUCAUAAAGGUUUCAAGUGCUUUCAUCCCUCUGGUCGAGUGUAUAUUGCUAGACAUGUCAAUUUUGAUGAAACUUCAUAUCCAUUCUUUUCAGAUCCUGAUUUUCAUUCUUUGAAUAAAUCUCAGUCCAACUCUUAUGAUUCCAUUACACCUAUACAAGUAUUUCAAUUGUCUACCUUACCUGUCAUAUCAGAUUUUUUGAAUAACAGCAGUGAGUCUCUUUCUCAAGCAUAUACCAGUGGUGAUAACUUUCCUUCAGCAGUAGAUUCAACACAAGUACAUGUCUCAGAUCAAUAACUCUCAAACACAAACAAUGUCUCAGAUCAACAACCAAUUUUACCUGCACCUACAACAUUACCUUCUCCAGAUGAAAUUCCACAAACUCAACAUAUUCUAAACUCACCAUCUCUAAACCACCAUCCCAUGAUUACUAGAGGAAAGGCAGGUAUCUUUAAGCCAAAGCUAUAUACUGUAGCUUUGUUGCACAAAGAACCAGAAACUAUUCAGGAGGCUCUCAAUAAUGAAAGGUGGUUUCAGGCAAUGAAAGCUGAAUAUAAUGCAUUGAUAUCAAAUGGCACUUGGACAUUGGUACCAAGAACAGAAAAUCAUAAGCUUGUUGGCAACAAAUGGGUUUUCAGAAUUAAAACCAAUACUGAUGGAAGUGUUGAGAAAUAUAAGGCAAGAUUGGUUGCUAAAGGAUUUCAGCAGAUUGUGGGUGUUAACUACUUCGAGACUUUCAGUCCAGUGGUAAAAUCAGCAACAGUUAGAGUGAUCUUAAGUUUGGCAGUGAUGAACCAGUGGCAAAUACGACAAGUUGAUGUGAAUAAUGCAUUCUUAAAUGGAGAUCUAACUGAAGAAGUUUAUAUGAGACAGCCAGAAGGAUUUAUUGAUCCACAAAGAUCAGACUUUGUAUGUAAACUGCACAAAGCUCUUUAUGGCCUGAAACAGGCUCCUCGUGCUUGGUUUGACAAACUGAAAAGUAGUCAUAUACAAUGGGGAUUCAAGAAUUCUAAGUCUGACACAUCUCUAUUCUUGAGAAGAACCAAGAGCUCAAUCAUUAUAAUUCUGAUAUAUAAAGAUGAUAUAUUGAUUACAGGAUCAGAUUGUGUUGAGUUGGAAGAGUUUAUUAAGUUGUUCAGCUCCACAUUUGCAUUAAAGGAUCUGGGGAGACUAUCUUACUUUCUGGGUAUAGAAGUAUUAUAUGUUCAUGAUAGUAUAUACCUGUCACAAAAGAAGUAUAUCCGAGACUUGCUUGCAAAAGUUGACAUGCUUGAAUGCAAGGGAACAGACACACCAAUGAGUAGCAGUAAAGAUUACAGAUUGCAGAAGAGUGUUGAGGGAGAAAUGGGCUACUAUAUUGAAGAUCCCACUCAUUACAGAAGCAUAGGUGGAGGACUGCAGUAGUUGGUUUUAACUAGACCUGAGAUAGCUUAUUCUGUUCACAAACUAAGUCAGUAUGUGUCUUCACCAACUCUUCAACAUCUUAUGGCAUGUAAACGAGUGCUGAGAUAUUUGAAGGAAACACAAGAAUAUGGUCUGAGGUUUGUUAGAGAAGGUGACAUGAAGCUUAUAGCAUUUACAGAUGCUGAUUGGGGAAGUGAUCUUAAUGACAGAAGAUCAGUUGGUGCUUAUUGUGUAUACUUGGGAAACAAUUUAAUCUCAUGGUCCUCAAAGAAACAAUCAGUGGUUACCAAGUCAUCAGCUGAAAGUGAAUACAGGGCUCUUGCUGCAGCUAUUUCUGAAAUAACAUGGCUAAAGUCAUUGUUCCUUGAAAUUGGUUUAUGUUGUGAUGAAAAACCAAUCAUAUGGUGUGACAAUGUGAGUGCUGCUGAACUUGCUCGCAAUCCAGUAUUUCACUCAAGAACAAAACACAUAGAAAUUGAUCUACACUUUAUCAGAGACAAGGUUUUGGCUGGGGACUUGAAGAUACUAUAUGUUCCUAGUGCAGAGCAAAUAGCUGACAUAUUAACUAAGCCACUGAACUCUUCUCAAUUCAAUUACCUAAGGCUCAAACUCAAUGUGGAGCUAUGUCCCUUGAGUUUGAGGGGGGCUGUGAAGAGAGCUCACUGUGCUGAGUUAAAACAAGAAAGGAAGCCAACAGUCAAGAUUCUUCAGCAAUGCCACGUCAGUGCUGAAAAAUAUUUGAGAUGCUUGAAUAUGGUGAAAAUAGUAAUUUUUUUUAUUACCUUUACAAUUCUUGAAUUUUACAAAUAUAUAAAGAUGUUCAAGAUGCUGUACAAGGAAAGACAAUAUUUACAAUAAUUAUAAUAAUCAACUAGCCGUUGUGAUGAAUCCACCAUGACAUGUGCUGCUAUAUUUUCCAUCAAUUAUGGCUUAGACGAGAUGUUGGAAAUCCUCUUGCCAUGGCGGUACAAGCUACCAUAUUUGGAAUUGCUAGUGACUUGUCCUUAUCAGCCCCCCUCAAGCUAGGCAGUGACAUGCGAUGAACGCCUAGCUUGGUUCGUAGCGUGAGAAAUUGAUGCUUCCCCAAAGGUUUUGUAAGAGUGUCUGCAAUCUGAAGAUGAGAAGGCACAUAUCGUGUAAAUAAUGACCCUUUAGCAACCUUCUCACGAACAAAAUGCACGUCAAGCUCAAUAUGUUUCAUUCUAGCAUGAAACACUAGGUUCUUAGUCAUAUGAAUUGCACUCAAAUUGUCACAGAGAAGUGUGGGUGCUUUCGGAAUACAGAACCCAAUGUCAUUAAGUAGAUAUGUGAGCCAUGUUAACUCGGCAGCGGCAGAGGCCAUGGACCUAUAUUCGGCUUCGGCACUUGAGCGAGAGACUGUGUGUUGUUUCUUGGAGCUCCAAGAGAUACAAUUGCUUCCAAGAUAAAUGCAAAAUCCUGUUGUACUUCGUCUUGUUAUCGGACAUCCAGCCCAAUCGGAAUCGGAAAAGGCAUAGAGCUUGAGAGAGCUUUGAGACAAAAAUCUAAGGCCAAAGUCAAGGGUACCUUUAAGGUAACGAAGGAUCCUUUUCACGUCCUUGAGGUUGGCUUUUGUUGGCGCUUGGAAGUGUUGAGAGACUCGAUUGACAGCAAAUGUGAUAUCGGGCCUUGUGUAGGUGAGAUAUUGAAGGCUUCCAACAAGGCCUCUAUAUUCGGUCGCAUCCACAGGUUCAUUAUCAUCCGAACACGGUAUUGAUCGUAUAGCCAUCGGCGUGUUGAUAGGAGAACAAUCCUGCAUUCUUGCCUUGGAAAGAAGGUCUUUAGUGUACUUCGCUUGAGAUAGGAAGAUGCCAUGCGUGAAUUGUUGAACUUCAAUGCCUAGGAAGUAAUGUAGGUUGCCAAGAUCUUUUAAAGCAAACUUUGAGCUCAGAUUGUUGAUGAUUGAUUGAAUUUCCUUCUCAUUAUUUCCUGUAAUGAUCACAUCAUCAACAUAAAUUAAUAUAAGUAUAAGAAUGGAUUUGUUAUUAAAUAUAAAUAAAGAGCUAUCAGCUUUGCUACUGGAAAAUCCAAGAGAAAUUAAGGCUUGAGAAAGACACUCGAACCACGCUCUAGGUGCCUGUUUCAGGCCAUAGAGCGAUUUUUGAAGCUUGCAAACAUAUGUUGGAUGACAUGAAUUGCGAAACCCAGGAGGCUGCUCCAUGUAGACAAUCUCCUUUAAUAGUCCAUGAAGAAAAGCAUUGCGAACAUCCAGCUGCUUGAUAAGCCAUUUUGAGCUCACAGCAAUUGCAAGGAUAAGGCGAAUAGUUGUGGCCUUUAUAACGGGACUGAAGGUUUCAUCGAAGUCGACUCCUGGAACCUGUGUGAAUCCCUUGGCAACUAAUCGAGCUUUAUAGCGAUCAAUGGUUCCAUCUUCUCUGUAUUUGAUACGAUAUACCCACUUCGAUCCGAUGACAUUAACAUUGUUAGGCCGCGGCACAAGGACCCAUGUCUGAUUUUGAUGCAAUGCUUGAAGCUCUUCUUCCAUAGCUUGAGUCCAAAGCGGAUUCUUUAAGGCAGUUUUGAGUGUUUUGGGUUCAAUUUCUCUACUGUGGCUGGCUUGAAGGGCUAAUUUAGGAUUUUGUUUGAGUUUAUUGCGUGUCAUCAUGGGAUGAGUAUUUAGGCUUUGCGGUUCUGCAGCUGUGUUUGGUAUCUUAAGUUCCAUAAAUAAGCGAUUGGAUAUGUCAGGAUAAUCUGGUUGUGAAUUUGUGGCAGGGCUGUUGUCCGUAUUUAUGGACAAAUUAGGUGGUUCAGUUGCAUGUGAACUACUAGAAUUUGAAUCAUUUGUUGUCAAAGGUUGCAUUGCAUGUGGAGACUCCAAAAUAUUUGGAAUUGCUUCUGACUUGUCGUGUGGAGUUGCUGAAUUCAAAUUGUCCUCUAAAUUGUCUUGUGGGAAAUCUGAAAUAAUUGGAGAAGUGGCAUUUGAGUUGUUGUCCAAGUUUACGUCCUUGUGGGGCAUGAAUUGCACAUGUGGUGUUGAUAUUGUAGCGCCUUUACAAUUGUUUACUUUGACAGCACGUGAAUCAUUAAGAUUCUCACAAUUGGGAGAAUUCUUUGGGAGCCACUCAUCUUGUUGAGGGAAGGUGGUCAAUGUACUAUGUUCCUGCACAUUAAAAAAUGAUGUUAAUUUUUUGAAUGGUAAAUAAUUUUCAUCAAAUACAACAUGCCUUGAUAUAUAUACACGAUUAGUCUCAGGUUGUAGACAACGAUAUCCUUUAUGGAGGGGACUAUAGCCUAUGAAAACACAUGGAUAUGAUUUUUUAUCAAAUUUUGUUUUACUGUAAUCCCGAAGAUAAGGAAAACAUCUACAACCUAGGACUUUUAACCCUCUAUAGUCCGGUAAUUUUUUGAAAAGAAUUUCAUAAGGGCUUUUAUUUUUUAAAGGUGAAAGAGGCAGCCUGUUAAUGAUAUAAGUGGCUGCAAGAAAAGAAUCCACCCAUAAUUUGAGUGGCAAAGAAGCAUGAAACAUCAUCGUCAAGGCUGUCUCAUUGAUGUGCCUAUGCUUUCUGUCAGCAACACCAUUUUGCUCCGGAGUGUAUGGACAAGAAAUUUAUCUUGUGAUGCCGCAAUUUUCAAGAUGUUUGAUGAAGGCCGUAGAAUUAAAUUCCCCUCCUCCAUCGCUUUGAAAUAUUGUGAUCUUUUUGUCCAAUUGCUUUUCAACUUGUUUCUGAAAUUUCAAGAAGCACUCCAAGAAAUCAGAUUUUUGUUUUAAGGGAUAUAACCAACUAAAACGUGAGUAAUCAUCUACAAAUAAUACAUAGUAACGAAAAUGUUGAGUAGAAGUAAUGGGAGCUGGACCCCAUAUAUCACAAUGCACUUUUUGUAAAGGAAAAUCUGCUUUAUUAUUAGAUAAAUUAAAAGAUUUCCUACAACUCUUGCCUAAUUGGCAAGAAACACAAAUACGGGGUUCUUUAGACCAACUAGAAAAGUCAAUAAAAUUAUUGCGUUUUAAGGCCUCCGAGAUUUUAGGAUUGGCAUGGCCAAGCCUCUUGUGCCAUAAACUAAAACCGCUAGAUUCUCCUUGAAUUGCGUUGAAGGCAGCAUGAAAGUCUCCUUCCAAUGUGUAUAGCUUCCCUUGCUUACUCCCCUUUGCCAGAACCUUGUUUUCCUUGCUCUUCACAAUAAAACCAUCAGUGUUAAAUUCAAAAACACAUUUAAUAUCAUCAAUGAGUUGUCCAACUGAUAAGAGAUUCUUUUUGAGUUUUGGAACAACUAAAAUAUUAUUUAAGUGUAAAGAACCAUGAUUUGUAUUUAAAGAAGCAGAACCAAUAUGUGAAAUAUUUAAAUCUUGACCAUUGCCGACAAUUAUUUUGUCAUUACCUCUAUACGGCCUUACAUGAUCAAGAUUACCUGUGUUAUUUGUCAUGUGUGAUGUUGCUCCAGAGUCCACAUAGAACUGUUGAUCAUUAUUUUCUUGAAGAUUCAUCGCAGCUAGGGCCUGUGGAUCCUCUUCAUUGUCAUAGUCGUAUCUGUACCAACAUUCAGCAGCACUAUGUUUGCGUUUGUGACAGAUUUGGCAAAUAACUUCUUCAUCUGAGGUAUUAUUUUCUUUAUUUGGUUUUUGAGGCUGCUGUUGUGGUUUACGGUUGUUGCCAUUGUUGUAGUUGUUGGGGGUAAUUUCUACCACCUGAGUUGCGUUGAGAUCCUUUGCCUCGGUAUGGAGGUCUUCCACCUCUUUGAUUUCUGCCUCUUCCACGUUGACCAAAGAAGGCUUGGUUUUGAUUUGUGCCAAGUCUAGCUUCUUCAUCUUUUUCUACGAUCACAGUAUGUUCAUGGUUUUGGAGAGCAUUGAUGAAUUGUUUAAGGCUGGGAUAUGGAGGUUUAGUGAGCAUUGCAGUUUUGAAGUCAGCAUAUUUGGGACCUAAGGCUCUUGCAAUUUGAAAAAUCUUGUCAUCAUCGUUCAUUGGUUUUCCAAUGGCUGCCAACUUGUCGCAAAGGCCCUUGAAUUUCUUAAGAAAUUCAUCAAGCUUGGAAGAUCCUUUCUUUAGAGAAUAAAGGCAAUCUUUUAGCCAUGUUUCUUGCUCCUUAGUUGCAGGCAGCAUGUUUUCUUCAACGGUGAGCCAGAUUUCUCGAGCCGUUUGCACGCCGAUAACCAUGCUCAACACGUCUUCGUUCAUCAUACUUCUGAGCCAAGUUGUGAGAAGUCCAUUAUUUUUCCACAUGAGAAAAUCUGGAUUGUUUAUCUCCUUCCCAUCUUGCUCUAUCAUCUUCGGUGGAGUCUUAACAUCAACUAUAUGGUGAUUUAGCCCAAGGGUAAAUAUAAGUGGUUGAACUUGAGAACUCCAAAUAAGAUAAUUUUCAGUGUUGAGUUUUAUUGGAACCAAACUCGAACACUGAUGGAAAGAUUGAAGGGAUAGGGAUGGUUCUGAAUUUGAACUUGAAGCCAUUAGGCUCUGAUACCAUGAAAAAUAUUUGAGAUGCUUGAAUAUGGUGAAAAUAGUAAUUGUUUUUAUUACCUUUACAAUUCUUGAAUUUUACAAAUAUAUAAAGACGUUCAAGAUGCUGUACAAGGAAAGACAAUAUUUACAAUAAUUAUAAUAAUCAACUAGCCGUUGUGAUGAAUCCACCAUGACAUGUGCUGCUAUAUUUUCCAUCAAUUAUGGCUUAGACGAGAUGUUGGAAAUCCUCUUGCCAUGGCGGUACAAGCUACCAUAUUUGGAAUUGCUAGUGACUUGUCCUUAUCAAGUGCUGAGUCAGCUGAUUCUGUUAAGGAUUGUUGAAAGCUCACGUGACUAUUAGUUAGUUAAUUAGCUUUUAGUUAGUGAUGCAGGAUUCUGAUUGGUUGAUUAAUUGCAAUGCUUAUUUGAUCAAUUGUAGCUUGGAAAUAAACUGUAUAAAACAGAGUCUGUAACAAUUGCUUCUAUGAAAAAAAUAAAAAAAUAAAAAAAAUAUUCCAGAGAGUUCAUCUAUUUUCUCAGUAACCAAACAAGCAUUUAGCUUAAUUUGCUAUUAUUUUACACGAAUCUACAUUUUCUGGGAGGAAUUUGAAUAUAAAAAUUAAUAGGAAGCUAAUAAAAAUAUGCAGUUUUUAUUCGAACAAAAUUAAUAUGAAUCAAGAAACAGAGCAUAACAGGGUAGUUGCAACUAAUAACACACAAAUUAACUCGUAAAAGUGACCUAACAAGCAUCAAAAUCUAAGGAUUAAAGCACCAAUCAGAUAUUGUGAACAAAACUUUUGUUUUAUAAUCAUGGAAAUUUGAGAUUACAUCAGCUAUAUGAUCAAUGAAAGAUAAGAAGCUUAUGGAGUAAAAACAACAGAAAUUAAAAUGAGUUUAUGUCAUGCACCGCUGCCAUGCACCGCUUGGAGAAAAAAAAAAAAAAGAAGGGAAGCCAAACGUGGCAAUCUUCAAAAGCAACAGCCAGCUGCAUGUUUUAUCAUUUCAGCUGCCUGCUUCACCUAUUUUCUUCAUUAAUUUAGUCACCAAUCGGCUUAAUCAAUUACCUUGUCAUCUUGCUCAACUCGGUGGCUAUAUAAAGCACAAAUGUUGAGAGUGCUUUCAUUUUAUACAUCUAAAGAAUUGAGAGCAAAACCGAGAGAAGAAAAGAAGUAAAACCGAGAGAAAAGAGAAGAGAAAAGAGAAGGAAAAAAAAGAAAAAGAAACGAAGAAAAGAAAUAGAAAGAAGCUGAGUGUGGGAGAUGAAGUGGAAUUAAGAGGAAAUAUUACGGAAAUUAAAACUGGACAUUUAGAUUUAUAUUAAGUGAGUUAAUGGGUAAUAGAUUUAUGAAAUCUAAGUAGUUACGAUUUAAUUUACGUUAUACGUACAAGUUUUUAUAUUUGUUCUAACUAUUAAUCUUUGAAUCCCGUAUUCUAGGAGAAAUCCACGAGUCCAGAGACUCACAACAGCCCCAACGAACCUCAUAGUGAAACAAGAUCUGUGAGUGGAUAUUAUUAUUACUAUUAUGUGUUCCGUGAAGCAUUUAUGUUUGAUAUUAUGAUUUUAUAUCAUGCUAUGAUUACAUGUACACAUAUUAUAUGUUUGAUUGAGUUAUGAGAUGUGAUUGCUAGUCACCAUAUAUGUACCCUUCCCCAUAGGCUAUGCGCAUGCGUAUUGAGAGUUAUGUUACUCUACCCAUGCGAGAUAGUUUAAUUACGCUGGGUAUUGAGAGGAUUUUCCCCCGCUCUACUCAUGCAAUGAGGAUCCUGGCGAGUAUUGAGAGUUAUUUUUCCUGGGUACUCUUUGGUGCAGUUUUGUGAUGUAUGUAUGUAUGAAUUACAUGUCUGCUAAUGUAUGAUGUUCAGUGUGGAGUUAAAUCACAUAAUUAUGCAUGAGCACCAGUACACUACUUUAUUAUUAUAUUUAUUAUUUUUAAUAUGUAAUUACAUCCACUCACUGAGCCGCAAGCUCACUAUUUUUCUAUUUACCCACUUCCUCCCAGGUUUCUGCAGGAUUUCGUGCAGACCAAUUUCUAGUCAGUUGAGGUUGGGCCACGAGACACAUUGCUGAAUAACUUGCAUUUUGAGCACGUUUAUGUUGCUUAUGUUUAUAUAUGUGUAAUUUUUGUGUGAGUGUGUAUAGUGAGACAUGAACUAUGCAAGUUUUGAAUGUAUAUUUUCGGAUGAGACACAAAGUUUGUUAUAUGUUUAUAUCAGACCACGAGUUUUAGUUAUUAGUCCACAUGAUUCGCCUCAGAUCCGACAUAUAAGUCGGGGCGGGUCGUGUCAGUUUAUGUAGCAUUGACAGGCCUGUAUGGUGUCGCCAGUGCGGUGACGCCAUUGGCGUCAGUGCGAGUGAAUUUUGGGAGACCUCCGGCUCCGGUUCCAUUGACUUUGCAUUAAAUUUGGUAAUUAUAUUUUUUAAUAUAAAGUGUUAAAAUAUUCCAUCUAGCGGAAAAUAGAAAACAAAUUGCGAAUGAAAUUAGAAUCCAAAUUUCAUUGCUAUCAUUUGAUAUAGAGGCAUUUCAAGUAAACUUUGGUCAUUUUUCAUUACCCAUGAGAGUGAGAACAGAGAACUCGAGUUAUCAUAUUGAAAAAUGCUAAAGAGAGUUGACAGAAUUUAAAUGCUUACAAAACAAUAAUUAAUUAAUCGGUGUUAGUUUAUCGUGUUUGCAGCUAUAUUUUAUUGGAAACCUUAAAAAAGAAAUGGAAUCUUUCAGUUCAUAAUGUAUUAUUAUAUUUAUUCCACUCUUGUUUAUGACAAUUUGCAUCUGAGCCAGCUGGAAUGCUAUAGACUGAAAAAAUUAACAAUGUUUUCUGAGGAUGACUGACCAAGUCAAAGUCUUUGAGGCGCACAAUUAAUCUAACCGGGGCGAGCAGAAAUUACUGUAUUUAUAAAAUUUUGAUUCACUAGUUUCAAGUGAAAGAAAUAUUAAAAUAUAUAUCAUUCGCCUAAGAUGAGGGAGCCUCUAACGAUUAUUAAAUCAUUUUAAGCAUUUAUGUAUGACUAUUACAUUUAAUUAAUUGUAUUGCAUAAUUUGCAUAGGCUCCUCCACUUUGAGGCAGUUACUUGGGUUCAAAUUUGCAGUUGCAGAGCACCAAAGUUUGCUUUUUCGAUCUACUUGGAUUUUUCUUUGUUGAUCAUGUAAGUUAUACAUACAGCACUGCAAAAUGCCUCUACAAUAUUGCCAGUUUUCGUAUAACAUGUCCUUAGGAGGACUCUGUGUACAUAAAUAUGUUGUUCGGUUAAUGUCGGUCUCGUUUAAUUGUAAUUCACUGUAGAUCCAAAAUUGUAAACUAUUGUUUCUUUAGCCUGAACUUGUGAACCAACUGAUUUGAUCAUCAGGUCUCAAGACUUGGAAGCAGAGGAAGAUCUUAAAAGAAGGCUUCUGCACGGAGAAGGUAGGCCCAGUGAUGGAAAAAACUCAUCAGUUGUGUCCGUAACCGGAAGAUCCGGAACGCAAGCAGUAAAGACAAGUUUUCUUCAGCUGGAAAAGAUGAGAAAUUAUGCAGCAAAUUACAGAAUCGAUUUACCAUGGUAUGUGAUUUCAAUAUUAUGGGAUCCUUUGUACUUCUACACUCUGGUGAUCAAUGAUGAAAAGCAGUGCAUUGAAAUGGACUUUUCUUUGGCUUCCUUGGUGAUUGAACUCCGCUUCUACUUUGAUUUGGCCAAGUUGAUCCACAGUUCGUUUGUGAUUUGUGUUGAAUAUUUUGAAAAUAGAAAGAUAAGCGUGUGGCUGAUGUUCGCAUGGCUCAUUGACUUUGUGUCCAGUAUAAUAUUUACCCAGGUGCGUAAUAGAUCUGAAUUUAAUUUAUUUAGUUGUCUAAUAUUUCAAUAUCAUUUAUUUGAUUACCACUACUUCAAAUUCAUAAAACAACAUCCAGAUGGUGGUGGGAAUAACGGACAUUCUGUACUCGAGGAAUUUCUUUCUGUUUCAAUAUUUGCUGAAGGUUAUUCGAACCUACCACCUGCUUACAGAAGCAACAGGGUUUCAGGGAUAUUUGGUGAAUCUAGAUGGGCCAUUGUUGCGUUCAAUGUUCUUCUUUACAUGCACGGCAGUUACGUAAGUCAAAAGUACUAUCAUUUAUGUAAGUCAAUUUAUAAUAAAACCCUUCUCAGGCAAAAAGAAAAAUUAUAAUAGAACCAGUACAUAUCUGUGUUCACAUUCAUGCAUCCUGCUUUCUUCCUUCCUAAUUUUGAUAAAUGAAUUCUUUUAGUCCUUAAGAUUCGAGUUAAUUAUUCAGUUACUACUGUCGCAUAUAUUGUCAGACAGAAGUAAUGACAGAGACAUUUUUGUGUAAUUCUUAAAAAUAUGGAGAUUAACUGAAUAAUUAACCCAAGCACUCGUGAAUGAAGGGAAAUUGACACUCGAAGCUUUUCUACUUUCUCAACCGCGCAUGUUUCUAAUCGAGUGGUCCUUUAGGUAUUUGGUGCCUUGUGGUACUUUUUUGCCAUAAACAAAGCGACCGCAUGCUGGAUGGAUACCUGCAUGAAGAAUACUGGUUGCUGGGGCGUCUUAAACAUUGAUGCCUAUUGUGAGGGCCGUUCAGGAGACUAUAAGUUUCUAAACGAUGUUUGAUCUGUAAAGACGGGAAACUCAACAAACAAUUUUUAUGGCUUAUAUGGUGAUGCUUUUCAGUUAGGAAUUGUGGGGUUGACCGAUGUUCCAAUGAAAAUCUUGCAUUGUUUACUAUGGGGACUGCAAAAUCUCAGGUUUGUGCCUUCCAUUGUCGUUACUGUGUGAUGUGAGGUCAGCCGUUAAUAACUUCGAAAAUUGUGAGUUCAUUGAAUUGCUUUUUGCAGUGCUUUUGGUCAGAGCCUCCAACCAAGUAACGAUUUCUGGGAAAUUAUCUUCGCAAUUUGCAUGACCAACUAUGGCAUCGUUCUGUUUGUCUUCUUAAUUGGAAAGAUGCAGGUUCACAUAUAUAAAUUCUAUAUCGUAAUUGUUAUGACAUAUGAUGAUAUAAUAAAUUAUCAUGUGUUAAUUAAUGACCGGCAUCUUACCAUCUCGCUGUUACAUAAAGAAAUAUUUUAGGGCUGUGAGAAUGCCAUGUCAAUUAGAAUUAAUACAAAUUUUGUAUCCCAAUUCCUUAUAAAAUUAGCGUUACUCAUAAUUUUCUGUUUACGUCUAUAGAUUUGAAGAUUGAUGCACAAUUCAAUUAUUGACUCUGUUUCAUUUGAAAUAUCGGAUACAUAAAUAUAUAUGCAGUCUGACACAGAAAGAUCACAAAAGAUCAAACAGAUGUGGGAGGAGAUAAAGCAAUGGCAGCACUUUAAGGAUAUAUCUAAUAAAGUUCAAGAUCAAAUAAGGAAAGACAAGCGCAACAACUGGGAAGAAACCAAAGGAGUUGACAUAGAUAAUUUGGUGAAUAAUCUCCCUAAGGACACUGGAAAAAAAAUAAAACGCGAUCUCGGCCGAAAGCUGCUCAAGAAUGUGAGUUCUCAUCAUCCCUCUUUAUAAUUAUAAUAAUUGAUCACUUUUCUAUCCUGCCCGCUCUGAAGUUCAAAUGUUUCAAUGUUUCAAUCAUUUUCAUUCUUAACCUGAUCGGGCGAGCCAAAUUAAUCCUUCGUUACAUUAAAAUUACAGAUUCGUCUUAUUUUUUUCCCUCUUUGAUUGGUACUCCUUCUGAAUCCAAGCAUCGAACCUAAGUCAUACCUCAUUGAAUUUCAUGGGCUUAACUAACACAUGGUCAAAAGCUAGCUAGUUCGUAGUCAGGUUGAGAUUUGCCUCAAGGUUAAAUACUUUAUUCAUGAUUUACUCUUAGCUGACAUGCAAUGUUUUACAUACACAGAGAGAUAGAGAUAGUCAUUCUCAAAUGCACGCCCUCAUUUUUUUUAAUAUGAAUACUCUGUUAACAGAGUUAAUUUUCAAUAAAUUGUAAACCCAUAAUAUUAAAAAUUGACUUUAUUAAAUUGCAUAGUUUAAAUAUGUGUCCGUAAGAAAAAAAAAAAAAAGAAAGCACCCGCACUUAAGAAUUAUUAAUAUAUAAUAUGGACGCCCUCAUUUUUUUAACAAAGACUCUGCCUGUAUAGUCGUGAUUACUCUGUUUUCUGGAUGGGGCACUGUUUUAUUUCAAGGAGUGGGUGUUUUAAGCAAUCCUUGGAGUACUGUCAGAAUUUUUGUAGUUUGUCUCAGAGCUAAGUAGCUUUGUUUUUUGGGCUUUCCAGCAUUUGCAGCAAAAUUAUCCUUGGCCCAGCAGUCCAGUACUCCUCCACUCACAGCUUGCAUAUUGGCUGGCUGUUUCUUCUCCUUUAUUAUCAUUUUUAUUUGCCUCGACCUUACUUAGGUUUGAUCUAUAUUGAUAAUCUUGCUAAGGAUAUGAUAUGACUAGGUGUGGUUUAAGUAUAAGUGAAUAAGACAGUCACCUAAGACCCUAUUGUGAGAAGGCCUCAUUUUUUGAGUAUUUAAUCAAUAAUUCUUUAACUAAUAAAUAUUUUUUUAAAUUACGUAUUAUAGAAAAGUCUAUUAGACAUCUUUUUAAUUAAUAAUUAUCACAUAAUUAAGAUUUAUUUAUUUUAAUAGAAAAUCUAUAUUUGGUAACCUUAUUGUUAAAGAGAUAUAAUUAAUAAUAUUGUCUAACCAUUAAUUCAUUUAUUAUUAGUUUUGCAAGAAAAAUAAAUAAAUUCUUUUCCUUUUUAGUUUCUAAAAAAAAAAACUUAAUUAUUUAAUGUUAGAAUCUUUGACUUUGAGUAUUCCUUUUAAUUUCUAUUAAAAACCUUAUAAUCUAAAAAAUUAUAGAUGAAAAAGUUUCUGGCUCUCUUCUCUACAAAGAAAAUUAUUGUAUGCGUUAGUUCAUUUAAAAAGAAAAAAUAAGUUUCCUGAAAUAGAAUGUUCAUAUCCAUUAUGUGAUCUUUAAUUCACCAUCUCAAUCGUCUAUAUACUAUUCUAAAUAUUCUAUUUGAAAAUAAUAUUGUUCUUAUUUACUUGUUUGUUAAAUUCUAAUGGAAGUAAACUUUUACGUUCUAUUUUUGAAAUAAUUUAGGAUGUUCUUGAUUAUUGUUGAAAUUUAAAAACUAAAGAUGAAAUGGUUUUGAGCUCUUUUAUUAUUAUUAUUUUUUCAGUAUUGAAGUUGCUAAAUAAAAAGAGACCUCUUAAAAAUGUUCACCUAAGGCCUUAGAUAUUCUAAAGCCAGCCUUGGUUCUGAUCCACUUGAGAAUGAUUAAUAUAUAAUAUGGACGCCCUCAUUUUUUUAAUAAGAAUAUGCUCUUAAACCGUGCAGUUUAAGAGAGUUAAAAACUAUAUGCUCUUAAACUGUGCAGUUUAAGAGAGUUAAAAUCUAACUCUCUUAAACCUCAUGAUUUAAAAGCGUUUUUGUAUGAAAAAAAUGAGUGCGCUCACACUAGAGAAGAACUCUUGGGUGUGUGUGUGUAUAACUUUUUAUAAAUGUAUUUUUAAGGUCACAUGACGAGGUGGGCUUUCAUUCUUAUAGCUAAUCUUUGUUAUCUCGAUUUACCCAUGUAAUGGUUGGAUAUAUUUAUACUCUAAUUCUCAUUCUUGGAUAUGUGUAAAUAUAUAUGAAGGUAAAAGAGUUUCAAAAUUGGAGCGAAACAUCAUUAGAGGAACUAUGUGAUUGUCUGAAGCCAGUGUUCUUUAUUGAACGUACUCGAAUAAUUCGAGUAGGUGAUCCAAUUGAUGAGAUGCUCUUCGUGUUGAAUGGCAAGCUUUGGACUUACUCAUAUGACUUCAUGAAUGUAACAACAACUGCCUCUAUGUUGAUCCAUCGUCGUAGCCGGGAGAAUCUUCUAGAAGAUGGUGAUUUUUGCGGACAAGAACUUAUAGCUUGGUCUCAAAAUGAAAGCUCAUCACCCCACCUCCCUAUCUCAACCAGAACCAUUCAGGCGCUUACUAACGUUGAAGCUUUUACUCUUAUGGCCGACGACUUGAAACGUGUAUCAUUACUUCGACAUUUUGAUCGGGCAGCUCUUUUGUUACAAUCACGCUGGCGUUUCAAAAGGUUGUUGCGUGCUAGAAGGAAUCCAGAGAAACGAUCACGCCUGGAAUCACUAAUGUAUAAAUUUAUAUAGAGAUACAUAUAUACGUUUGUUGCAGCAUUAUAAUUAGUCCCGAUUAUGUAAAAGCAAGUACAGAAAGCCAUUUAAAUAUGGGAAACCAAGUAAAACGUAAAAAGGAUUAAAUAAAUGACACCAAUCCCCGGCAACGGCGCCAAAAUUUGAUGGUUGUCGAAGCCAACAAAAAUAAAUUCCUACUCUAAAUAAAUUGUGUAUAGUAAUUGAGCAGGGUCGUGUCCACAGAGAUCGGUAAUUAUUUAAAUCCUUUUGAAACGUAAAACGUAAAAUGGGGGAAUUGUUGACAAUAAUAAAAAUCAAAUUAAAAAUAACAAGAAUGCAAAUUAAAGUUGUAAUUCAAAUUGGAGAAAGCUCUGGUUGAAGGAAUUAACUCAGCUUGAUUCGACUACUGAUCAUUGAUUCAAAUAUAGAUUAUUAUUACUUAUGAAUAGACCGGUUAUAGCUAUUGAGACCCUCUAAUAGCCAAUCUCUCCUUAACUAGUCGAUAACCAAGGUACGACCGUUGGAUAUUUCCCUAAUCAAUAGACAACCCUAGAUACGAUCAUAGGAUUUAAUCAAUUGACAGCCUGAAAAACUAAAGAGACCCAAAUCCUAAUCAACACAUAUGAUAAUUCAUUUAAAUUAGAUUGUUUAUUCUCACAACACAACUCUCUGCUAUGUUAUUUGUCACAAACAUUAAAUUCUUCAUACGAUGAAUCCUUUAAUUGACAAUAGAUUAAGUUGAUAAUUAAAUAGUGGCCAAUUACCUAAUUAACAAACAUUAUCAUGAAACUAAUUCAGAGAAUAAACAAAUACCCAAAAAGUAAUAAAACAAUUAAAGCAUAAGAAAGAUCUCACAGUAGUGAUGAAUCAAAGCUUCAUUAACCUUCAACCAGAAAAAUAAGUUUAGUUCUUCAUAGAGAGAAGAGAAAAAUUAGAUCUAGGGUUUCUUUCUUUUUCUCCAAUCAAAAUCCCCCUUUUUCACAAUAGAUUCCUCCCUUAAAUACUUUCUCUCUCUUCUCUUUUAGAGUUCUAUUUAAAAUAAAAUACUAAUAUUUGAAAUAUUAAAUUCGUAAUUAAAAAAAUAGCCAAAAAUACAAAACACGUUAAACUAAAAACUACAGGUCCGCAGUUGACAGCACGCGCCCACGCCUUAUCAAAAAAGUUCUUCUGCCGCUCAUAAUUUCUCCAAGAGAACAAUCAUCCUUAAACAUCAUCUUAUAGCUCAAUUUUAUCACCAAUCAAUAGAAUUGCACAGGUCCGCAGUUGACAGCACGCGCCCACGCCUUAUCAAAAAAGUUCUUCUGCCGCUCAUAAUUUCUCCAAGAGAACAAUCAUCCUUAAACAUCAUCUUAUAGCUCAAUUUUAUCACCAAUCAAUAGAAUUGCACCUACAAUAGUAAAACACAAGUAAAUCAUCAUUAUUAAGUGCAAAACAUCGAUAUUAAGGGAAGUAAAUAAUGCAAAACUAGUGCAUAAAUUGCACUCUAACAAAUUCCCCCACACCAAGAUGAUGCUUGUCCUCAAGCAUAUAACUCAAGACUAAUCCAAAAUCUCCACUCAAUUCUCAUCUCAGCUCAUCCAAAAAUAAUUUUAAGCAAGCAUACCUCAAGAAAUUAAGUCGAUUAACAUUCGAGAGACAAAGAUUUUAAAGCAUAGAAUCUCAUAAGAUAGAAUAAGAACAUUCAACCACCAAGAAGAUCCAUUCAAAAUUCAAGUGCAACAAGAUUUAAUAGCCCUCUCAAUGACUUCACUCCAUGCACUCAAAGUGUUUAGGGUAUCAUUUAUGCACUCAAAUCAAAUCAAAGAAUGCUAUUACCAUAAGCUUGCUCAUAUAUCACAUCUCAAUCCACAAAACAUGAAUAAAAUGCAAAAAUCUAAGGGUCUUAAAAGGGUUGUAAUGGGGUUAAAUAGGUUAAAUGAAAAAGAAAGGUCUAUGAAAGAAAAAGAGAUCAAAAUGAGAAGAAUGAACUCAUUGAACGAACUUUAUGAUAUCGAAACGCUUAUUUCUACUCAAGUCACCAAGAAUGUAAACAUUUUUUUUUCUUCUUUUUCUCUUUUUUUUUUUGAUUUUUCUUUUUCUUUUUUUUUUCUUUUUCCUUUUUUUUUAUUUUUUUUUUUUGUUUUUUGUUUUUUGUUUUUGAAUCAAACAAAAGAAACGAACCUUGCACAAUUUAAUUCAAGCAUAAUGCUUGUUGAUCUAAUUGAGAAACUUUAAUACAAGGUAGAAAAAGCAACAAAAUAUAUCCACACAAUGAGUCCAAAAAUCUCCUUAAAUUGAGGCUCAAAAAGAAGAAAAAUGGUUAAGUAGACGGAGAGAAUUAGAUGGGUAAUGGUUAAGUAGACGGAGAGAAUUAGAUGGGUAAUGGUUAAGGCUCAAACAAAGGUAGCAAAUAAAGGUCUUCGGGUAGAGAAAAAGGAAAAUGCGAGAAUAGAAAAAUGGUAAAUGGUUUGCCUUUAUCAUUUUAAUGCAUAAAAUCCCGUAAUGUGGCUUCAACAUGCAUAACAAAGCAAGUUCUAGAAUAAACAAACUAGGAUUGAUAUUCACAUAACAAAAAUAAUUAGAGCAAAGUGGUUGCUCAUAGGCUCAAAUCCUCACAAAGUUGGUAAAUUUGCCAUCAAAUCAUGUACACUCUUCAAAUGAAUCAACCAUCAAUAGUGGUGUAGAAUGAGAAGAAGGUAUGAGUGAGAUAUAAAAGGAAAGGUAAAAAGGAUAAUAAGGGAGAAAGAUGUAUGUAUUAAAAAAAUGAAAGAUAAAAUGUGAGUGAUGAAAGAGUAUGAUAGAGAAAAAAAAAUAGAUGUAAAUAAUUUGAGAUAGAUGGGAAAAGAGUAGUGAGAGAGAAAGGAAAAGAAAAUUAAUAAUAUAUGAAGCAUACUAACUCCAAAAUCAUUUAAGGAUGAGUAGAGUGAAAAUAGAUGAGCAGAGUGAAAAUAAUAAUUCCAGACAUCAAUAAUGCAAAAAUCCCUCCCCCACACCAAGAACUUACAUUGUCCCCAAUGUAAGAUAAUCAAAACUCACAUAAAAAUUAAAUCGUAAGGAUAAAAGAUUAAAGGCAAAAACUUCCCUGAAUUGUGAGCUUUGAUCCUCAUAACGUCUAUGGGCUUGGCGGAAAUGGUGAGAUAGUUGCGCACAGGCUGCUCGGUGAAGGCUAGAGCGGCUGUUGCUGCCAAAAAAAUGUUUUUUUUUUUUUUUUUUUUUUUUUUUUUUUAGUGAUGAAUCACUUGAGACACUAAAACUUUCAGAAGUACUUUUCUAAUAAGCACGUAGGCACGCCUUAAAACCAUUUUACUUUAAAAAUCACAGAAGUACUUAUUAGUUAAGACGUGGGCACGCCUUAUCAAAAAUUUUCUUCUGACCAAAAUAAGCAAACACAUUAUUUAAAAAAAUAUGAAUCAAAAUUAAAAGAAGAUAUAACAAAAACCAAAAUAAAUAAAUCAUUUGGGUUGCCUCCCAAAAAGCGCCUUUGUUUUAUGUCUUUGGCUAGACACAUUUAUGCAUCAAUCUCCAUAAUUGGGACUCUCGAGAGCCACAUCCUCCACAAUAUUCACCAAAAAACCUUCAUAAAAAGGUUUUAAGCGAUGACCAUUAACCUUAAAAACUUUGUCAGAGGUCGGACUCCGAAUCUCAACUGCACCAUGAGGAAAAACAUUAGUAACAAUAAAAGGUCCAACCCAGCAAGAACGUAAUUUACCCGGAAAAAGUUUAAGCUUAGAAUGAAAAAGAAGAACUUUUUGACCAACAGAGAACUCAUUUCUCAAAAUCAUUCUAUCAUGACAUGUCUUCGUUUUUUCCUUGUAAAUAACUUCCUGCACUAUAGGGUUAAUAACAUCCACAGAAAAUACCGAAUGUUCCUCACUAGGAUAUUUCAUGGCAUCAUUCAUAUUGAAUUCUAUAACCUCUCCAUCAAACUCCAUAGUAAGAGUCUCUUUAUGUACAUCCAUUUUAGUCCUAGCAGUCUUAAGAAAAGGUCUUCCUAGCAAAAUUGGGACAGAAUUAGAGAAGUUAUCCUCUUCCAUAUCAAGUACAUAAAAAUCAGCAGGAAAAACCAACUCAUUAACUUGUACUAGGACAUCUUCUAAUACCCCAUCAGGAUAUGCAUUAGACCUAUCAGCUAGUUGAAUUAUCACGCCAGUUUCUUUUAAUGGACCAACAUUCAAAGAUGAAUAAAUGGAACGAGGCAUGACAUUAAUAGAAGCUCCUAGAUCUAACAUAGCCUUUUCAACUUUGACAUUACCAAUUUUGCAAGGGAUAGUAAACAUACCUGGAUCCUUGCACUUAGGAGGUAGUUUCUUUUGGAGAACUGCUGAAACAUUCUCCCCCAUAUGAACCUUUUCAUCUCCUCUUAAUUUUCUCUUAGAGGUGCAAGGUGGUGACUUUUUUGGAGAAGAACUUAUUGGUUGGGCUGAGAGUGAGCACUCUUCCAAUUUGCCUAGCUCAACCAGAACUAUUCAAGCGCUUAGUGAGGUUGAAGCCUUUGUUCUUAUGGCAGAUGACUUGAAACAUGUAUUCUUACUUAGACAUUGUGACCGGGCAGCUCUUUUGUUACAAUCACGCUGGCGUUUCAGAAAGCUUUUGCGUGAUAGGAGGGCUAAGCAAAAAUCAAUCUUGAGAAGAAUGCGGAAUUGCGCAGCAGUACUACAGACUAUAGAAUAACAAUUUGAGACUGGAUUUGAAAUUAUUAUUUGUAUGAAUACUACCAAAAUGAAAAUAGGUGGUAAAAGCUGAAAAAUUAAGGGGAAAAUUGUCGAUCUCCCUUGUUCGAUUAUGCAGUCAACAAGAUCAGAAACAGUAAUCGCCAAGUUCGAUUUGGAAAUCUUAUCCAACCAAUGGUACCUUUUUCUUUUUUCUUUUUUUCCCUGAAUCAAGGACUUCACGCUUCGUUGAUGGGGAUACCAUUCCUAAAAUUAAAAGAUAUUGACCAUUACUAUCUCAAACAACAAUUAAUUAUACAUUGCCAGCACGCAAAAAUGAGCGACAAACUUCUUCAUUAACUAAUCUAUUUGAACAACUGCAUUUCUAAGCAUAUAUAUGAUCAUUUCAGAUGAAAAUAGUUUAAAGUGGUUAUAGAAGAACCGGUAGAUCACAGUUGAGAGAGUGAAGCAGAUCAUCAGGGGGCAAUCUUAAGUGUGUCACGCGGGUAGAGUGAUGUUUUGCGAAUGUUGUUGAGAUCGCAGAAAAGCAUCACCACACUCUUCAAUCCCACUUCACAUCCACUAUGUCUCGAAAGGAAUCCAAUGAUAACAUAAAGCUAACAGUUUUUAGAGGACCACACUGUUUUUCUAUUUGCGUACAAAUGGACAGUGGUUUCAGAAUAACCUUAGCAUUGUCAAGUUUAACCAGAGAGCAUGGAAACCAAAGCUAGAUCAAAAUUCAAAACCACUAUGGAGGAUGUGCAUGGAUUAAUGUAAAAUACUAUAUUCAAUUUGAACGAUAAACACAGUACAAAUAAAAAUUAUUAGAUUCCAUCUUCUAUUCUAUAAUUUUUAAUUCUUGCACUUCUUUUUCUGGGAAUCAGAUUUUUCUGAUACAGAACGUGAACCAACAAAAGCCAAAUUUUAUGAUAUUUGAUAAAAGCAACUUCCAAAAUAUACCAUAACCAUACCCAAUUAUUUUUUGUAUAAUAAUAUUUAAGCUUUUAUAGACACAGAUCGAGCUGUUAUGCUCUCAGCAUAAUAGGCUUGCGGCACUUGAUCAAACGAGAAAAAUCAGGGUAACAAUACCUGAAAUAUUCAAAGAUAUUUUCUUUACAUCAAUGCCACCUGCCUGUGCACGCUCCACCAAGAACCCGGUGUUGUGCGCGGAAUGCGGAAUCAAGCGCACCAAAAAUUACUGAAAAAUAAAGGACACAAGAAUUUACGUGGUUCGGUAAUUAAACCUACAUCCACGGAGGCAAGAAAGAAUAAUUGUUUAUUUAACAAUUAAUAGAAUACAAUAUUUGAGUAACGAAUCUCACUUCCCAGAAACCCAAAUAUACCCAGUACUCUCACACUCUGCAGGAAAGAUAAAUUCCCCAGACACACUUCUCUCACUUCUCUCAAAAGUUUAGAAACUUAUAAGCUUAACAAUUUUGGGAUGAUUUCAAAUGAAUGAAAUCCUAAGCUAUUUAUAGGAAAAAUGUUGGCACUAUGCAAAGAAUAAAAUAAUUGAAAAUAUAAUAAAUAAUUAUUAUUAUUUUCAAUACAUCCCCUUUUUCCAUUCUUUCUUUUCGGCUAACAAAAACCAAAUUGGAUUUUGCUUCUCCAAAGCCUUCAUGCUAACAAUUGCAAAGUUGGCAUUUGCUUCUGACUUUUCAACAAUUCUCCACCUCGGCGAAAAUUUAUCCAAAUAUGAGCCGAUUGACAAUGAUCCGCCAAACUUCAUCCCUCACAUGAUCCUCAAAAGGAUCCACAUUGGCUGCAUCUAUCCGACUGCCUACGUACCCAAAAUUUGGGAUCAAGCCAACCGUAGUUCAAAACAUCCCCCACAUGAUCCUCAAAAGGAUCCACAUUGGCUGCAUCUAUCCGACUGCCUACGUACCCAAAAUUUGGGAUCAAGCCAACCGUAGUUCAUAAUUCCCGAAGGACAUAUCUUAACACAAUCGAAGGAUUUGAAUUAAUUUCAAGCAAUGUUGAAACUUAACUCCAAAAACUACCUUCGUCAACAUAUCUGAUGGAUUAUCUUUGGUAUCGAUCUUUCUCAACAACACAACACCGCUCUCGAUAAUCUCUCUCACAUAAUGAUAUUUCACAUCUAUGUGCUUCGUCCGAGCGUGAUAUAUUUGAUUCUUCGCAAGGAAUAUCGCACUUUGAUUAUCACAGAAGACCGCAAUGUUCUCCUGGAUUACUCCCAAAUCACCUAACAAGCCUUUCAACCAGAUAGCUUCCUUUACAGCUUCAGUUGCUGCCAUGUACUCUGCUUCCGUAGUGGACAGAGCAAUUGUCGAUUGCAAAAUUGACCUCCAGCUAACCGGACCUCCACCCAAUGUGAAUACGUAGCCCGUUGUUGAUCUUCGCUUGUCAAGGUCUCCAGCGAAAUCAGAAUCACAAUACCCAACACAUUGUUGACCACAAUCCUUCUUGAACAAUAACCCAACAUCAACUGUCCCAUACAGAUAUCGGAAAAUCCACUUUACCGCAAGCCAUUGAUUUUUACCCGGAUUGUGCAUGUAUCUACUAACCAUGCUCACUGCUUGAGAUAUAUCGGGCCUUGUGCAUACCAUAGCAUACAUAAGACUACCCACAGCACUAGCAUAUGGAACACGAGCCAUGUAAUCGCGCUCCUCUUGAGAUCUAGGACAUGAAGAAGAGCUUAAUUUGAAAUGAGGAGCUAGAGGUGUACAUACCGGCUUAGUUUUGUUAUCCAUACCGAAUCUUUCUAGCACUUUCUUCAAAUAAGACUUUUGAGUCAACCAUACGCUCCCAUUCUUCUUGUCUCUAUGAAUCUCCAUCCCAAGUAUUCUUUGUGCAUCACCCAAGUCUUUCAUCUCGAACUCAGAAGUCAGCUGCUUCUUUAAUCUUUCGAUCUCAUCUCUAUUCUUCGAAGCUAUAAGCAUAUCGUCGACAUAGAGUAACAAAUAGAUGAAAGCUCCAUCUGGUAGUCUUCUAAAGUAAACACAAUGAUCGUGUUCACUUCUGGUGAAUUUCUGCCCUUGUAUAAAUUGAUCAAAUCUUUUGUACCACUGCCUUGGCGAUUGCUUCAGUCCGUACAAAGAUUUAAUCAACCUACACACAUGAUUCUCCUUUUCAGUAACUCUGAAACCACAAGGCUGAAUCAUAUAGAUUUCCUCCUCCAAAUCUCCAUGUAAGAACGCCGUCUUAACAUCCAACUGAGCCAACUCUAACUCAUAUUCUGCAACUAAGGCAAGUAGGAUACGAAUGGAAGUAUGUUUUACAACUGGAGAGAAAACUUCAUUGUAGUCAAUACUUUCCUUUUGAGCAAAACCUUUUGCCACGAGCCUUGCCUUGUAUCGAGGAGUUGUUUGAUUUGGAGAUCCUUGCUUUUUUGUGUAGACCCAUUUAUUGCCAAUAGCCCUUUUCCCCUUUGGUAAAUUUACAAGUUCCCAAGUCUGGUUUUGAUGGAGAGAUUUCAUCUCUUCCUCCAUGGCUAGCUUCCACUGAUCACUUUCAUUGCUGCGUAAUGCUUCACCGAAAGUAUUGGGGAUGUCAUCAUCAAUAACUGGAAGUGCAUAGGCUACCACCAUAUAUUUAGUAAGCCAUCCGGGUUUCUUUAUCUCUCUUAUUGGCCUCCUUGUUGCUAUAAAAUCAUCAUCAUCUACAUCAUCAAUUGUUUCUUCAUUUUGUGGGACGUCAGAAGAAACAACCUUUUCUUCAACUUUAGGUGUCACCUCCAUAGUUGAACCAUUCUUUGAUGUAGAACUAACUGGUACAUAUGGAGUUGCAUCAAACUCCACCCGCUGCAAUACCUCUGUGGUCUUGUUCUCCACCUGCUGAGAACUUGAAGCUUUUAUCAUUGAAGCUUCAUCAAAUGUGACAUCUCUGCUACACACAAACUUUUUGUCUUCGAGAUCCCAAAGCUUGAAGCCCUUUACUCCACCUUUGAAUCCCACAAAGAUAGAUUUUCUAGCACGAGGAUCCAGUUUACCAUCUUUGACAUGAUAAUAAGCUGGACACCCGAAUACACGAAGGGAAUCAUAGUCUUGUGCAUGCUUUCCAGACCACAUUUCCAUAGGAGUUUUACCUCCAAUUGCAGCAGAAAGCAACCGAUUUACCAAGUGACUUGCGUAGCUCACAGUUUCAGCCCAAAACUUUUUAUCUAAACCAGCAUUAGAUAACAUACAUCGUACCUUCUCCAGUAAAGUACGAUUCAUACGCUCAGCCACACCGUUCUGUUGCGGAGUAUGUCUCACCGUGAAAUGUCUUUUAAUACCCUCGUUCUGGCAUACUUGCAAGAAUGGAUCAGAAGUAUAUUCACCCCCAUUAUUAGAUCGUAAUACUUUGAUCUUUCUGCCAGUUUGAGUCUCCACCAAUUUCUUCCACUUCACGAAAAUCUCUAGAACCUCAUCCUUUGCUCGCAUGGUGUACACCCAUACACGUCUAGAGAAAUCAUCAACAAAUAUAACAAAAUAAUGGCUUCCACCAAUUGAUGCAGUCUUGGUUGGUCCCCAUACAUCACUAUGAACAUAUUCAAGGAUCUCACGAGUAUCGUGAUUAGCUGUACCAAACUUGACCCUUGUUUUCUUGCCUACUACACAAUGCUCACAGAAAUUUAAUUUACAGGUUUUGGUACCUUUUAAGAGUCCAUGCCUCAUCAGAGUUUGCAAAGACUUCUCUCCUGCAUGUCCCAGUCGUACAUGCCAUAGCUUGGUGGUGUCACUGUGCGCCUCAACAACAUUUGCUUCAUCAGUUGUACCUCCCUUCAAAUAGUACAGAUUGUGACGCCGAACCUCUUGCAGAAUCACCAUAGCCCCAUGUGUAAACUUCAUUAUACCAUCUUCAAUGGUAACCUUGUAACCUUUAGCUUCCAAAACACCCACAGAAAUUAGAUUUUUCUUUAAAGCUGGAACAAAUCUAACCUCUUUGAGUUCUCUGACCAUUCCAUCAAACAUUUUGAGCCGAAUUAUUCAUAUCCCCAUUGUGCGACAAGGUUGAUCAUUCCCCAUCACAACUGCACCGGAUUCCAGAUUACGAAAAUCCGUAAACCAUUCCUUAAUAGGACACAAAUGAUAGGUUGCUCCAGUAUCAAGUAUCCACUCGCUCGAACUAGCCACGUAUGCUGCAGGAGUAAUACUUAGUGAAUAAUCAGAGCCCUCAUCUUUCCAUGCCAUGUUUGCUGCUGCUGGUUUCUUCCCAUCUCUCUUUUGAGCCUUUGGACAAUCUUUCCUCCAAUGGCCCUUUUCAUGACAAAAGGCACACUCGUCUCGAGCUAUAUUUCUGCUUCUCGAUUUGGAUCGAGAAUUCUUUCCACCACGCUUUUUCUUUUUCUCCAUCGCCCAAUCUCUGCUCACCAAAGCUUCAGACGAUGCUCGUUCAGAAUUUUUAUUAUUAUUCUGAAUCUCCAAAUUAGUCAAUGCUGUGCAAACAUCUUUGAAGAUGAUCACACUUUUUCCAUAUAUCAAGGUAGUCACAAAAUGGCUAUAUUCCUCUGGUAGUGAGUGUAACAAAAUCAUAGCCUUGACUUCAUCCUUAAUAUCUUCAUCAAGAUUCUUCAAAUCAGCAAGUAACUUUUCAAAUCUUGAAACAUGAUCGUGCAUUGACACCCCAGACUUCAUUCGAAAGCCAUAUACUUGGCUCAUUGCAUGAAGACGAUUUUCAGGACUUUUCACCAGGUACUUCUCUUCCAAUGUACGCCACAAAGUCACUGCACACUCCUCAUCUUUCACCAAGUAUUUCACCUCCUUGGUCAAACAAGAUCUGAUCUGACCACAGGCUUUCUCGUUCAUACGAUCCCAAAUUUCUUCAUCAUACAAGUGUCUUUUAUUUUUCAGGACAACAUCGAGAUCGAUUUGAAUAAGGGCAUCCAUAACUUCGCGCCUCCACAUGCCGAAGUUGAUUUUCCCAUCAAACUUUUCAACAUCGAUCUUCUGGCCUCCUAUAACAGGUGCUGAAUAGCGAUUUGACAAAUCUCGCCUCCCACCUGAAGUGUCUCCUGAAAUAGUCUCGGUAGAUCUCUCCCCAAUUCUGGAAGUUUCACCUUCUACCAUUUUUUCAACGAACUAUUUCCACUUGAAAAACAGCCUCUAUGAUGUUAAUUUCGCGUGAAUAAAUGCACCAGGAAAGUUCCCAGGAAACUGGACGGGAACUCGGUCCCAAUUAAAAACCAGAAUCCUUAGACUCUUAUCGCCUUUGUUGACAGAACUUUCCUAGACAUGCAAAAAUACACACUACUUACAAUAGACUGUCUCCCAAGUACAAAUGGCCGUCUCCACCGUAUUCGUGAACAGUACCGUAUGUGAACACUACCGUAUACGGGAAUAGUACCGUAUACGUGAACAGUACCGUAUCCCCCCAAGUACGAACCGUCGGCUCUGAUACCACUUGUUGUGCGCGGAAUGCGGAAUCAAGCGCACCAAAAAUUACUGAAAAAUAAAGGACACAAGAAUUUACGUGGUUCGGUAAUUAAACCUACAUCCACGGAGGCAAGAAAGAAUAAUUGUUUAUUUAACAAUUAAUAGAAUACAAUAUUUGAGUAACGAAUCUCACUUCCCAGAAACCCAAAUAUACCCAGUACUCUCACACUCUGCAGGAAAGAUAAAUUCCCCAGACACACUUCUCUCACUUCUCUCAAAAGCUUAGAAACUUAUAAGCUUAACAAUUUUGGGAUGAUUUCAAAUGAAUGAAAUCCUAAGCUAUUUAUAGGAAAAAUGUUGGCACUAUGCAAAGAAUAAAAUAAUUGAAAAUAUAAUAAAUAAUAAUUAUUAUUUUCAAUACAUCCCCUUUUUCCAUUCUUUCUUUUCGGCUAACAAAAACCAAAUUGGAUUUUGCUUCUCCAAAGCCUUCAUGCUAACAGUUGCAAAGUUGGCAUUUGCUUCUGACUUUUCAACACCCUGGCAUAUCAAUACGUUGAGCACCCGAAAUUAUCUCUUCACCUAAAGAGGAGGAAGAGAUGCUCAAAAAUCCGGUCAAAUGAACAAUCACAUGAUAUUUUCAUCCAACAAGUAUGAAUGUUUGCAAUGAAAAGAAAAAUGAAAACCCGACAGAAAAUUCUUCAACACAAGGAUUUUGAAUGUGGUUAUCAUUAUAAUUAAGCAGUCAACCUAAUACAACCUUCAACCAGAGGUGAAUUCAUUUACGCCAGUCACAUGACCACUCCUAUCAACACCACUGCAAAAAAAGCACAUCCUCUUCAUUAAUAAAUGAAGUUUUGUUCCUGCUUUACUUCACCAUUCAUUUUCAUCUCAUAAAAGAGCAAUUUAUUGGAAUGCAACAUACCUCGAUUAAACUGAAAGAGGAUUAAGAUAAUUUAAAAAAUGAAAACUGCGAGACAAUGCGAGUAGUAUCAUGAUAAACUUAACUCCAGACGGACAUCCAUUUUUUAAUCGUAAUUAAUGAAACAAAUGUAGAUCGAGAUUUCCCCAAAACAACACCACAAAUACAAGUAUAUGUGCAUCCAAAAUGAAGAAGAAAUGUUUCAGCUUCAUACAUUACCUCGAAUAAAGACAUCAAAUUAGUUUCUGUAAAGAGCAUUGUCAGGAGGGGGCGCCAAACAGCCCAAGGAUAACGAUGGAGUAUAUAAAAUUCGGCGCCAUACCUGCAAUAGGAAGCAACAAUCAGGCACGUAUUGAUGAUAUACAUAGAAAUUUAGGCUUAAAAAUGAGAAAACACUUGUCAUGAGCUAAGAGCAAUGAGGCUCUUAAUUGUUUCAAAAUUUGAAACUAAUAAUAGAUGUAUGUUAUACAAACAAAUUCAUACUUCAAUACUUGUAACAAAAAUCAAGUCAGUAAAUAUGGAACCUACUUAUCUUCGUUCCAUAGGUUUGGUUGUCUUUUUUUUUUUUAAUUAAUGUUCAGAAUCGAUUAAAAAGUUUUUUAAUUCGAGUUCUUGCUAAUUUCAUUUUUUGAUUCCAUUGUGAAAUUCAAUUUUCUUAUUUAAUUUUAUUCCGAUCCUAUCUACCCAUUCGAAUUUUGGUUGCUUAAUUGUUCAGGAUGUUGGAGUUGAGAAUGAUCCUCUUGAAGACUUGAAUACUGAGGCAGAGAGGAAUUUGAUCCAACUAUUUUCCUACGAUUCUUGGGAACAGUAGAUACUACUUUUAAAGUAUUCAACCUACUAAAUGAUUCCUCCACACUUCUGUUACCCUUAAAAAUCAUCUAAUUAUUUAUUCAUACACUAAUCUAAAUAAUGGCGUGAUAAAUCAGAAACCUUUCUUCAUGAAACAUGAACUGAGGGGAUGAAAGAAAUUAAGUUACCUUGAGCAUUUGAAUCCCUUUUCCGAAUGUAAGACAAAGAGUCUUUGCCUUGUACUGCAACAUUUAGAAAAUGCCACAAUCAGGUUCAAGAAUAGAGAAAAGCUGAGGUGAUAUAUAAUUUUCCAUAUUCCAAAUAUAUCUAAACUAUACAAGAACUUCAAAAAUUAUUAUGAUAAUAGAAUUUUACGAACAAUUCAAAAUAAAUAAUGACCUUCAGAGGUUCAAACGGACACUGAUUCGCCACAUAUUCAACUUCCUUUUUGCACCUCUCAUUCUGUUAGGAAAUUGAGUUUCCUCCCAAGAUCUCUCCAAGCAAUUUAUCAAGCAACAAAUUAAUAAGAAAAAUUAAAUAAAGAAUAUACCAACCACAUAACACAAGAUUUACGUGGAAAACUCCAAAUCCGGAGAAAAACCACGGCCGUUGUCAAAAAGACAACCAGAGAAAAAAUAUUCACUAUGUGGAAAAUUAUUACAACCACACUCUCAAAAAUAAUUUUCUCUCACCUAAGCCCCAAAUACACCCCAAAGAAAUACUCUCUGAAUGAAGAAAAGAAACCGAGGAUUAGAUGCAAAAACCAAAAAAUGGGGAGCUUCCUUUAUAUAGCCAAAAUUGGCUAUUAUUUUAUUAUUUUUACCACCGUCUUCAUUCUUCUAUUUUCUUCUUUCUUCUUUUUCUUCAUUCCAAAUUUGCUGCUGCCAAAUUCUUCUUCUUCUUCUUUGAACAACAUGGAUGCUGACCAUCUAGAUGGCUGCUUCAAACCAUCUAGAUGGCUGGCUGCUUUUGACAUUUCUCCCACUUGGAGAUUUGAUUGAGAAUCAAUCAAUCUCCACACUAACCUUAAUAUUUUCCUCACCAUAGAGAAUUAUCAUACCCCACCAUAAAAGAGUAUACCACUUAGAAUUAAUUACCAAUUCUAAGAAUUUUACAUCGGCUCAUGUCGAAAUAUCCUGCUGAAAUUUAUGGUGCAACUUCCAUGUUGGCCUUCCUGGAAGUUUGUCAGCCAUCGACAUAAAUUCCACCACACACCCUGCAUCAAUGCCAACCAUGCCUUGUGUGUAAAUCUUGUGGACCCGCUAGUAGUAACAUAUCUCCUUUCAUGGUACUAGCGAUAUACCAUGAGGAUGUCAUCAUCAUCCAUUUUACAAGGGAUCAUCGUCUCCCACGAUGAUGAGAGACUUACCACUAGCAAUACUAUCAGUAUCUGAUCUGGAGCCACUUGCCGAUCCUGCUCCAUUUCUACUAUGACAAUCUCUUUUUAAGUGCCCCAAUUGUCCACACCCCCAGCAAACUCCUUUCUUCUUAGAUUUAUCUUUCUGCCAAUUCCCUACAACUGCCAAAGCCGAGACAUCUGUAGUUUUAGUACUUUCACCACCCAGUCUCCUUUCUUCUGAGAGUAAAGUACUAGUAACUUCUUCAAGAUCUAUUGUCUCAUUCCCGUACAUCAAAGUAGGUAACAAGUGUUUGUAGGAAGUUGGAAGUGACCAUAGUAACCUAAGCGCCUUGUCCUCAUCUUCAAUUUUAACUCCAAUGGCUUCUAGUUCUGACACAAUACCAUUGAGAACACUGAGGUGAUCGGAAAUUUUUGUACCUUCAGCCAUUCGCAGUGUGUGAAAUCGCUCCUUCAGGUACAAUCGAUUUGAGAUGCUCUUUGUCUGAUACAACUUUUCUAGCUUCUCCCAAAGUUCUUUCGCUGUAGGAAUUUUUCCUACAUUUGCAAGAACAUUCUUUGCUAGACACAGUCGUAUGGCACUUGCAGCUCUAUCAUCUAAUUCUUCCCAAUCUUCAUCACUUAUACUAGUUUUUCCAGAGCCACUACUGGAAGCAGGGGAUGGCUUCCCCUUCAAUGCCUUGUGUAACCCAGAUUGAAUCAACACAUCUUUGACUUGAACUUGCCACAAGCCAAAGUUAAUUCUCCCAUCGAAUUUUUCUAUUUCAAAUUUCACCGGACUUGAAAAUUUCAAUCCUGACAUAUUUGCUUUGCAGAUAAGCUUUUACUCUUCACCACGGACUGUUUGGAUUGGCUCCCACUGCUUCACGUGAAUAGUACUGUAUACGUGAACAGUACCGUAUACGUGAACAGUACUGUAUACGUGAACAAUGCCCCAACACCAAAACUUCAAUCAAUGGCUCUGAUACCACUGUUAGGAAAUUGAGUUUCCUCCCAAGAUCUCUCCAAGCAAUUUAUCAAGCAACAAAUUAAUAAGAAAAAUUAAAUAAAGAAUAUACCAACCACAUAACACAAGAUUUACGUGGAAAACUCCAAAUCCGGAGAAAAACCACGGCCGUUGUCAAAAAGACAACCAGAGAAAAAAUAUUCACUAUGUGGAAAAUUAUUACAACCACACUCUCAAAAAUAAUUUUCUCUCACCUAAGCCCCAAAUACACCCCAAAGAAAUACUCUCUGAAUGAAGAAAAGAAACCGAGGAUUAGAUGCAAAAACCAAAAAAUGGGGAGCUUCCUUUAUAUAGCCAAAAUUGGCUAUUAUUUUAUUAUUUUUACCACCGUCUUCAUUCUUCUAUUUUCUUCUUUCUUCUUUUUCUUCAUUCCAAAUUUGCUGCUGCCAAAUUCUUCUUCUUCUUCUUUGAACAACAUGGAUGCUGACCAUCUAGAUGGCUGCUUCAAACCAUCUAGAUGGCUGGCUGCUUUUGACAUUUCUCCCACUUGGAGAUUUGAUUGAGAAUCAAUCAAUCUCCACACUAACCUUAAUAUUUUCCUCACCAUAGAGAAUUAUCAUACCCCACCAUAAAAGAGUAUACCACUUAGAAUUAAUUACCAAUUCUAAGAAUUUUACAUCGGCUCAUGUCGAAAUAUCCUGCUGAAAUUUAUGGUGCAACUUCCAUGUUGGCCUUCCUGGAAGUUUGUCAGCCAUCGACAUAAAUUCCACCACACACCCUGCAUCAAUGCCAACCAUGCCUUGUGUGUAAAUCUUGUGGACCCGCUAGUAGUAACAUAUCUCCUUUCAUGGUACUAGCGAUAUACCAUGAGGAUGUCAUCAUCAUCCAUUUUACAAGGGAUCAUCGUCUCCCACGAUGAUGAGAGACUUACCACUAGCAAUACUAUCAGUAUCUGAUCUGGAGCCACUUGCCGAUCCUGCUCCAUUUCUACUAUGACAAUCUCUUUUUAAGUGCCCCAAUUGUCCACACCCCCAGCAAACUCCUUUCUUCUUAGAUUUAUCUUUCUGCCAAUUCCCUACAACUGCCAAAGCCGAGACAUCUGUAGUUUUAGUACUUUCACCACCCAGUCUCCUUUCUUCUGAGAGUAAAGUACUAGUAACUUCUUCAAGAUCUAUUGUCUCAUUCCCGUACAUCAAAGUAGGUAACAAGUGUUUGUAGGAAGUUGGAAGUGACCAUAGUAACCUAAGCGCCUUGUCCUCAUCUUCAAUUUUAACUCCAAUGGCUUCUAGUUCUGACACAAUACCAUUGAGAACACUGAGGUGAUCGGAAAUUUUUGUACCUUCAGCCAUUCGCAGUGUGUGAAAUCGCUCCUUCAGGUACAAUCGAUUUGAGAUGCUCUUUGUCUGAUACAACUUUUCUAGCUUCUCCCAAAGUUCUUUCGCUGUAGGAAUUUUUCCUACAUUUGCAAGAACAUUCUUUGCUAGACACAGUCGUAUGGCACUUGCAGCUCUAUCAUCUAAUUCUUCCCAAUCUUCAUCACUUAUACUAGUUUUUCCAGAGCCACUACUGGAAGCAGGGGAUGGCUUCCCCUUCAAUGCCUUGUGUAACCCAGAUUGAAUCAACACAUCUUUGACUUGAACUUGCCACAAGCCAAAGUUAAUUCUCCCAUCGAAUUUUUCUAUUUCAAAUUUCACCGGACUUGAAAAUUUCAAUCCUGACAUAUUUGCUUUGCAGAUAAGCUUUUACUCUUCACCACGGACUGUUUGGAUUGGCUCCCACUGCUUCACGUGAAUAGUACUGUAUACGUGAACAGUACCGUAUACGUGAACAGUACUGUAUACGUGAACAAUGCCCCAACACCAAAACUUCAAUCAAUGGCUCUGAUACCACUGUUAGGAAAUUGAGUUUCCUCCCAAGAUCUCUCCAAGCAAUUUAUCAAGCAACAAAUUAAUAAGAAAAAUUAAAUAAAGAAUAUACCAACCACAUAACACAAGAUUUACGUGGAAAACUCCAAAUCCGGAGAAAAACCACGGCCGUUGUCAAAAAGACAACCAGAGAAAAAAUAUUCACUAUGUGGAAAAUUAUUACAACCACACUCUCAAAAAUAAUUUUCUCUCACCUAAGCCCCAAAUACACCCCAAAGAAAUACUCUCUGAAUGAAGAAAAGAAACCGAGGAUUAGAUGCAAAAACCAAAAAAUGGGGAGCUUCCUUUAUAUAGCCAAAAUUGGCUAUUAUUUUAUUAUUUUUACCACCGUCUUCAUUCUUCUAUUUUCUUCUUUCUUCUUUUUCUUCAUUCCAAAUUUGCUGCUGCCAAAUUCUUCUUCUUCUUCUUUGAACAACAUGGAUGCUGACCAUCUAGAUGGCUGCUUCAAACCAUCUAGAUGGCUGGCUGCUUUUGACAUUUCUCCCACUUGGAGAUUUGAUUGAGAAUCAAUCAAUCUCCACACUAACCUUAAUAUUUUCCUCACCAUAGAGAAUUAUCAUACCCCACCAUAAAAGAGUAUACCACUUAGAAUUAAUUACCAAUUCUAAGAAUUUUACAUCGGCUCAUGUCGAAAUAUCCUGCUGAAAUUUAUGGUGCAACUUCCAUGUUGGCCUUCCUGGAAGUUUGUCAGCCAUCGACAUAAAUUCCACCACACACCCUGCAUCAAUGCCAACCAUGCCUUGUGUGUAAAUCUUGUGGACCCGCUAGUAGUAACAUAUCUCCUUUCAUGGUACUAGCGAUAUACCAUGAGGAUGUCAUCAUCAUCCAUUUUACAAGGGAUCAUCGUCUCCCACGAUGAUGAGAGACUUACCACUAGCAAUACUAUCAGUAUCUGAUCUGGAGCCACUUGCCGAUCCUGCUCCAUUUCUACUAUGACAAUCUCUUUUUAAGUGCCCCAAUUGUCCACACCCCCAGCAAACUCCUUUCUUCUUAGAUUUAUCUUUCUGCCAAUUCCCUACAACUGCCAAAGCCGAGACAUCUGUAGUUUUAGUACUUUCACCACCCAGUCUCCUUUCUUCUGAGAGUAAAGUACUAGUAACUUCUUCAAGAUCUAUUGUCUCAUUCCCGUACAUCAAAGUAGGUAACAAGUGUUUGUAGGAAGUUGGAAGUGACCAUAGUAACCUAAGCGCCUUGUCCUCAUCUUCAAUUUUAACUCCAAUGGCUUCUAGUUCUGACACAAUACCAUUGAGAACACUGAGGUGAUCGGAAAUUUUUGUACCUUCAGCCAUUCGCAGUGUGUGAAAUCGCUCCUUCAGGUACAAUCGAUUUGAGAUGCUCUUUGUCUGAUACAACUUUUCUAGCUUCUCCCAAAGUUCUUUCGCUGUAGGAAUUUUUCCUACAUUUGCAAGAACAUUCUUUGCUAGACACAGUCGUAUGGCACUUGCAGCUCUAUCAUCUAAUUCUUCCCAAUCUUCAUCACUUAUACUAGUUUUUCCAGAGCCACUACUGGAAGCAGGGGAUGGCUUCCCCUUCAAUGCCUUGUGUAACCCAGAUUGAAUCAACACAUCUUUGACUUGAACUUGCCACAAGCCAAAGUUAAUUCUCCCAUCGAAUUUUUCUAUUUCAAAUUUCACCGGACUUGAAAAUUUCAAUCCUGACAUAUUUGCUUUGCAGAUAAGCUUUUACUCUUCACCACGGACUGUUUGGAUUGGCUCCCACUGCUUCACGUGAAUAGUACUGUAUACGUGAACAGUACCGUAUACGUGAACAGUACUGUAUACGUGAACAAUGCCCCAACACCAAAACUUCAAUCAAUGGCUCUGAUACCACUGUUAGGAAAUUGAGUUUCCUCCCAAGAUCUCUCCAAGCAAUUUAUCAAGCAACAAAUUAAUAAGAAAAAUUAAAUAAAGAAUAUACCAACCACAUAACACAAGAUUUACGUGGAAAACUCCAAAUCCGGAGAAAAACCACGGCCGUUGUCAAAAAGACAACCAGAGAAAAAAUAUUCACUAUGUGGAAAAUUAUUACAACCACACUCUCAAAAAUAAUUUUCUCUCACCUAAGCCCCAAAUACACCCCAAAGAAAUACUCUCUGAAUGAAGAAAAGAAACCGAGGAUUAGAUGCAAAAACCAAAAAAUGGGGAGCUUCCUUUAUAUAGCCAAAAUUGGCUAUUGUUUUAUUAUUUUUACCACCGUCUUCAUUCUUCUAUUUUCUUCUUUCUUCUUUUUCUUCAUUCCAAAUUUACUGCUGCCAAAUUCUUCUUCUUCUUCUUUGAACAACAUGGAUGCUGACCAUCUAGAUGGCUGCUUCAAACCAUCUAGAUGGCUGGCUGCUUUUGACACAUUCAAAUCAUCAAAAAUUGUGACAAAUAAGCGGUCCACAAUAUCCAUCACCUGUAUUCAGGUGUCAUUGAAAAAUUAACCAAUAAACCCCUCCAGCUAUACCUCCGAAUAAUGCUUCUUAAUCUCCAUUUCAACAUCAAGACCGGUAAAUUAACUCACACAAAUGCCUAUGAGUGUACGAGUCCUCUGGUCUAAAAACAGAACCGGUCUCAAAAACCCGCCCAAAAUCACCGCAUAUCGAUAUUUGCUUGUGACCUUCACUUGAACCAGCUAUCAGUUUUGGCAUGUGGAUCUCAACAAAAUCCUCAGAAAACAAGAAUUGUCUGAAUAUCUGUACAUUGAUGCAAUCAUUAAGGACCAACUCAAGGCCUUACUCAUAUUCCAAUCCAAGCUGGUUAAUGGGUUAAGGUUACUUAAACAUUUUAUAUUUUUGUCUAUUCUAAGAUAAUGUUGAAUAUUAUAUAUAUAAGAAAUUUUUUGUCUAUUCUUAGACAAAUUCUUGGCGGGAAUUUAACAAACUUCAAGCCUAAUAACACUUUGCAUAACAACAUGACAGCUUGGCAGUUGACUAAGCACUCUGCUUACAUGGCAAUCUGACUCAGCAGUUUACAUAGCAAUUUGGCUCAACAUAUAUACUCUUAACAGAACCAAAUAAAUAUUAACACGCGUCUCGACGCAUACCUUGCAUAUCAUCACAUUUAUAUAUGUACGAUGAUAUCACCGCCACCUAAAUUUCUCAUUUAUUAUAUUUGAUUAUUUUCUUUUUUAUUUCAUUGAUUUUCUCGUAUAAAAGUAGAUUUACUACGAUUUACCAUUUUGUUGUUGUGCAAUGGUCACCCUUUUUGUUUGAGCUGCCUAUUGAUGUAUUGCUUUUAGAAAAACUCUCAGAAUAGCUUUACAUUAUACUUUUCUAAUUUGCAAUGAAUGCAUCCAGGAGUAUAGGAAAGAAAGAAAUAAAGGGGGAAAAAAAAAAAGAAAGAAAGAAAUACUCCCCGUGUAUCACCUAAACUAGUUUUAAAACUUCUUGAAUUGGACAAGAAUAAGUUGGCUGACAAGCUUUCCUAACUUCUCACAACUUUUAUUAUUGUUACCUUAUAUUUUCAUAAUCGUUAGAUUUUUAUACUUGAAUUGGUACCAAUCUCUCUUUUAUCAAAUUUAAACAGAGAUAAUUGAUUGAAUGAUUCAGUCUCCGUCGUCCAAAAGAAUUUUUCUUAUCUACAACGUUCUUAUUUGCUCAAACAGAUGGAAUCCAGAAAACUCAUCCAUUUGAUUCUCUUCAAUUGAAAACUCAUCACUUCCUGCAUGUAAGAGCAAUUUGAGUGCCAUAAAGCCUGUAGUGAAUCUACCUAUUUAGGGAAUAAUUUAAAUAGAAAAGUUAACAUGAAGCUCAUACCCUAAUAAAAAGCUACUCUUAAAAUAACAUGAAUCAAGAAACAGAGCAAAACAGAGUAGCUACUAAGAAGAACACCCAAAUUAACUCCUAAAAUUGACCAAACAUAACAAGCAUCAAAUCAAAGCAUUAAAGCACUAAUCAGAGACUUCACACUAAAUUGUUUUUUUUUAAAUAAUGGGAUUUCAAGAUUAUACUUAAAAAGACCUCUUUUUUUUUUUUGGGGAAGAGAAAAAUCAUCUGCAUGGUUGAAGGAUCAAAAGCUCAUGGAUGGAAUAAAAGAGAAAUUAAAGUAAACAAUGUAACUAACCGGUUCCUUGAAGAAGUUGGUUAUCGACGGAGGCCCAGUGACUUUGUCGGAGUGGUGGCAUCGCUGGGUUAGGCCUGAGUGAAGAGUGAAUAUUGGGAGAUCUCUGGCUUCGGUUCUUUGACCUUACGUUAUUUUAUUUAUUCAUUAUUUUUUUUUCUAGUAUAUGCAGAUGCUCCGCUCACUUUAAACUCUGGUGGAUGCAGUGUGGCAACUGAAGUGAUCAGUUGCUGCCCAAGAUCACAAACCAAAUCUGCCAAGAUGCUUCCAAGAUCAAACUGAUUUGAAGCUUAAUUGAUAUGUGUAAAGAAUAUAUUUCAGAAUUGAAUUUCUUGCCCCCCUUCAUUCACAAACUCAUGCACGUAUAUAUACAGAUUACAUUCCUAUAAUUAAGGGGAUAAUAUUCCUACGUAUCCCUAUAGUCUAGCAGUUGUCAUUGUUUGUUUACAACUAAUAUUCCAAUACCCCCCCUCAAGUUGGAGCAUGCAAGUCUUGAAUGCCCAACUUGCGAAUGAAGAACUCAAACCGUUGUCUACCCAAUGCCUUCGUAAAUAUAUCAGCCAGUUGUGCAUGGGUCGAGACAUAAGCUGGUUGAAUGUUACCAAAGCGAACCUCAUCACGAACAAAAUGACAGUCUAUCUCAAUAUGUUUGGUCCGCUCAUGAAACACUGGAUUUGCUGCAAAGUGUAAGGCUGCCUGAUUGUCACAGUAUACCUUCAUUGGAUUUGGAUGCUCCACGCCAAGAGUCAAUAGUAGCUCUUUUAACCAUUUUAAUUCGCAAGUGGUUGCUGCCAUAGAUCGAUAUUCUGCCUCAGCCGACGACCGAGAGACAGUAUGUUGCUUCUUCGUCUUCCAAGAGACUGGUGAAUCGCCAAGUAGAAUGAACCAUCCAGUCAAAGAACAACGAGUUAAUGGACAACUUGCCCAAUCUGAGUCACACCAAGCUGAUAGUUGCAGGUCACAGUCUGAUCGUAGCAUUAUUCCUUGACCAGGAUUCCCUUUCAAGUAACGCACAAUGCGUAAAGCAGCCGCCCAAUGUUCUUCUCGUGGUUGUUGCAUGAAUUGUGCCAACACAUGCACACUGUAAGAUAACUCGGGACGUGUAACAGAGAGAUAAAUAAGUCGGCCCACCAAACGUCUGUAACUCUCAGGUUUAGAUAAGAAAACGCCAUCGGCCAAAGCCAAAUUAUGGUUGUGCUCUAGCGGGAAAGAUGCAGGUUUAGCUCCGAGUAGACCAACCUCAGAGAUAAUAUCCAGCGCAUAUUUACGUUGGCACAAGAAAAUUCCUGUAGGACUUCGGGCUACUUCGAUUCCGAGGAAAUAUUUCAACAUUCCUAAAUCCCUCAUAUGAAAACAUUUGCUCAAAUAUUCCUUGAAAACUUUAAUGGCUGCAUGAUCAUUACCUGUCACAACAAUGUCAUCAACAUAUACAAGGACAUUGAUUUGUACCUUGCCUUGGCUCAAAGUAAAAAGAGAGGAGUCCGAGUAUGAUUGUUCGAAACCAUAACUCUUCAGAGCAGUAACCAAUUUCGCAAACCAACAUCGGGGAGCUUGUCGUAAUCCAUACAAAGACUUCUUCAAAUGACAUACCUUCCCUGGGUUCUCUGAAUGAAAACCAGGAGGCAUACGCAUGUACACUUCUUCUUCCAAAUCGCCGUGUAAGAACGCGUUAUGCACGUCCAUUUGAUGAAGUUCCCAGUGCUUAGCAGCUGCCACUGCCAAAAGAGCUCGAACUGUAACCAUUUUUGCCACUGGAGCAAACGUCUCAUUGUAGUCAAUCCCUGCAACUUACUUGUUCCCGAGAAUUACCAAUCGAGCCUUAUAGCGCUCAAUGGUUCCAUCAGCAUUAUAUUUGAUCUUGUAUACCCAUUUACAAUUUAUAGCUCGUUUUCCUGGUGGUAAGGAUUCUACAGUCCAUGUCUCAUUAUCUUCCCGUGCUUGUAUCUCUUUCUUCAUUGCAUCUCUCCAUUUUUCAUCUUUGACCGCUUCAGUAAAAGAACUGGGCUCAACACCUGCAGUGACAGCUGCCAAGAAAGCACGAUGUCGCAAUGAAAACUUAUCAUAGUUCACAUAAUGUGUUAUCGGAUAAAGACUACCUGAGGAAUGCGUGUGGCCAGGUGAGCGUGCAGAGGGGCUCGAGGAGGAGCUCAACCGUUGUACUGUGUGUAAGACACAAUCUCGCAAUCUGGUGGAUUGUUGUCGUUGCCUGCAACCACGCCCUAGCACAAUUUCAGAUUGCUCAUCGUCCAUAGUCUCAUUGGCACCCCCCCUUGCUACAGAUAUUCCUUGAUCUUGUUCAACAUAUAUAGGUGUUUCAAUAGAUUGCCCAUAAUCUAUAUCCCUUAUACCUUCUUGAUCCUCUUGGUGUGGCAUCCUAGAGUGGUGCUCCAUGUCCAAGUUAUCACUCACAGCAGCUCCCUGCAUAAUUUCCUCUUCGGCAACCAAGCUAUCUAACUCAUUAUUUUUCGUUUUGCCUUGCUCACUAGUGCCUUUGUUCUCAUAAGGAAACACAUGUUCUUUGAAUACAACAUCCCUUGAGACAAAGAGCUCACCCGAGUUCAUAUCAUACAAGCUCCAACCUUUCUUUCCAUAAGGAUACCCAAUAAAAAUGCAUUUCCUACUUCGACUGGCAAAUUUAUCUCCUCCAUGCCUUUGAUUAUGAGCAUAAGCCAAACAUCCAAACACUCGGAUAUUUUUAUACGAAGGGGUUUCACCAAACAAUAUUUCAUAAGGUGUUUUCCCUUGUAACAAGUCGGAUGGAGUUCGAUUGAUUAAGUAUGCAGCUGUCAAUAUACACUCUCCCCAAAAUUCAAUGGGCAAAUUUGCUUGGAAACGCAAUGCCCGUGCUACAUUGAGUAUAUGACGAUGUUUCCGUUCUACUCUCCCAUUUUGUUGAGGGGUCCCAACGCACGAGGUUUGAUGUAUUACACCUUUCUCCACAAAAUAACCAUCCAAGCAGAUGAACUCAGUUCCAUUAUCACUACGCACUAUUUUCACAUGUCUAUUAAAUUGCCUAUGAACCAUAGCAAAGAAAUUCUGAAUCGUUCGUGCCACCUCGGUUUUAUUAUUUAAUAAAUAAAUCCACACUGCUCUAGAGUAAUCAUCAACAAUAGUAAAAAAAAUAGUAUGAACCGCAAAAAGUUGGAGUUCUAUAAGGACCCCAUAAAUCACAAUGAAUCUUCUAAAAAACAUUAGAUGCCUUAUUAUCACUUGAUACAAACUCUUCUCGACAAUGUUUUGCUCGGACACAGACUUCACAUUCAUCAGUGCACUUAUUAUUAUUUCUAUUAACGAUGGGCAACAACCUAAUGACCUUGUUGGAAGGAUGGCCCAACCUUCGAUGCCAAAGAUCUACUGAGUCGUUUUCUGCUACUUUCAUAACUUUGACUGAUGUUAAGCUCCGAAAGUAGUAGAGCCCCUCGCGCUGCUCACCCGCACCAAUCAGCAUCCUCGAAUUGUGGUCUUGUAUAACACAAAAUUUAUUAGUGAACUGGACUAUACAAUUCGACUCCUUAAUCAACUGUGCUACUGAAAUUAAGUUACACUUUAAAUUAGGCACAUAUAACACAUUAUUUAGUUUUAGAUGUUUAUCCAAAACUAUGGUUCCUUCUUUCUCCGCUAUUGUUUCCUUCCCAUCUGGUAGCCUAACAGGACAUGAGAGGAUUUUCUUCACAUCACUUAUUGACUUAAGGCUUCCUGUCAUAUGAUGAGAGGCCCCGCUAUCAAUUAUCCACUCCAUUAUUUUAUGCUUACCGUUCAAUCUUCCUUGAUUCCCUUCUUUUUGCCCAUUUAAUAUAUUAAGCAAUAAAUUCCAUUGUUCGUUGCUUAGUCCAUUCAAUCCACUUUGUCUCCUUCGACUCUUUGUUCUUGAGCCGUGCUUCCCUGUGUUGUUACCUGCGCUGCGUUGGCCCGAAUCUGUCCACCUCGUCAUCUUCCUCCAUAUGCAGCAGGCUGCUUCUGUCCUCUUUGUCCACGACCUGUUCCACGUCCACCUCCUCCUCGAUGUCUAUCUCCCCACCAAUCGGGGUACCCAAUUAGCUGGAAACAUGAUUCUGCGACGUGUCCUGUUCUCUUGCAAUUUAAGCAUAGCACGGUUUUGUCCUUGCUCUCAGUCCGUCCUUUCAAGCUUGUUGCUGUUUGAACUGCAAAAGCCAUGGCCUCGACUUGCUGUUCCUUCCCGCGGGUUAUACUACAAACUCGCUCUUCCUGGAUAAUCAUAGCAUAUGCUCGAUUCAAGGUUGGCAAUGGUUCAGUGCUCAAGAUAUUGGACCGCACCGUCCCAUAAGUUGAGUCAUCCAAGCCCAUCAAAAACUGAUGUAGCCUUUCCUCUUCACGUCUCUUAUCUAAUUCCGCACCGAUGUUGCAUGCGCAUCCUCCACAUCGGCAUGUCGGGUAUUGCUCAUAGUUUCCCAAUUCUUCCCAGAUCAUCUUUAAUUUGCCAUAGUAACUCAUAACAGUUAUGCCUGGCUGUUUACAUUCAGCCAACUCAGAUUUAAGUUGAUGAACAGGUGGUCCGUUUUCUGCCGAGAACCGUUCCUUGAUAUCAUCCCAAAGUUCCUUUGCAACUUCCCUGUAAGUUAUAGUUGAGCGCAACGUUGGUUCAAUUGUGUUCAAGAUCCAUGAUAUCAGCAUGGAGUUAACUGUCCACCAAUCUUCUUGUGUCAUAGAAUCAUCCGAAGGCUGUAUCACGGAACCAUCGAUGAAGCCAAAUUUUUUCUUGGCCCGCAACGCCGUUCUCAUUGCUCGUGCCCAUUCAUCAUAAUUGUCACCCUUCAAUUGAACUUGCGUGAUGAUGUUCCCUGGAUUGUCGUUGGCCGAGAGAAAAUACGGUGAUGUUGCGCUCUUCGACGGCCCAUCAUCGCUGCCGUUCCUAGCCAUAUUUGUGUGGCUCUGAUACCAAUACUUUCGGUGAAGCAUUACGCAGCAGUGAAAGUGAUCAAUGGAAGUUAGCCAUGGAGGAAGAGAUGAAAUCUCUCUAUCAAAACCAAACUUGGGAACUUGUAAAGUUACCAAAGGAGAAAAGUGCUAUUGGCAAUAAAUGGGUCUACACCAAAAAGUAAGGAUCUCCGAAUCAAACAACUCCUCGAUACAAGGCAAGGCUCGUGGCAAAAGGUUUUGCUCAAAAGGAAGGUAUUGACUACAAUGAAGUUUUCUCUCCAGUUGUAAAACAUACUUCCAUUCGUAUCCUACUUGCCUUAGUUGCAGAAUAUGAGUUAGAGUUGGCUCAGUUGGAUGUUAAGACGGCGUUCUUACAUGGAGAUUUGGAGGAGGAAAUCUAUAUGAUUCAGCCUUGUGGUUUCAGAGUUGCUGGAAAGGAGAAUCAUGUGUGUAGGUUGAUUAAAUCUUUGUACGGACUGAAGCAAUCGCCAAGGCAGUGGUACAAAAGAUUUGAUCAAUUUAUACAAGGGUAGAAUUCACCAGAAGUGAACACGAUCAUUGUGUUUACUUUAGAAGACUACCAGAUAGAGCUUUCAUCUAUUUGCUACUCUAUGUCGACGAUAUGCUUAUAGCUUCGAAAAAUAGAGAUGAGAUCGAAAGAUUAAAGAAGCAGCUGGCUUUUGAGUUUGAGAUGAAAGACUUGGGUGAUGCACAGAAAAUACUUGGGAUGGAGAUUUGUAGAGACAAGAAGAAUGGGAGCGUAUGGUUGACUCAAAAGUCUUAUUUGAAGAAAGUGCUAGAAAGAUUCGGUAUGGAUGACAAAACUAAAUCGGUAUGUACACCUCUAGCUCCUCAUUUCAAAUUAGGCUCUUCUUCAUGUCCUAAAUCUCAAGAGGAGCGCGAUUACAUGGCUCGUGUUCCAUAUGCUAGUGCUGUGGGUAGUCUUAUGUAUGCUAUGGUAUGUACAAGGCCUGAUAUAUCUCAAGCAGUAAGCAUGGUUAGUAGAUACAUGCACGAUCCGGGUAAAAGUCACUGGCUUGCAGUAAAGUGGAUUCUUCGAUAUCUGUAUGGGACAGUUGAUGUUGGGUUAUUGUUCAAGAAGGAUUGUGGUUAACAAUGUGUUGGGUAUUGUGAUUCUGAUUUCGCUGGAGACCUUGACAAGCGAAGAUCAACAACGGGCUACGUAUUCACAUUGGGUGGAGGCCCGGUUAGUUGGAGGUCAAUUUUACAAUCGACAAUUGCUCUGUCCACUACGGAAGCAGAGUACAUGGCAGCAACUGAAGCUGUAAAGGAAGCUAUCUGGUUGAAAGGCUUGUUAGGUGAUUUGGGAGUAAUCCAGGAGAACAUUACGGUCUUCUGUGAUAAUCAAAGUGCGAUAUUCCUUGCGAAGAAUCAAACAUAUCACGCUCGGACGAAACACAUAGAUGUGAAAUAUCAUUAUGUGAGAGAGAUUAUCGAGAGCGGUGUUGUGUUGUUGAGAAAGAUCGAUACCAAAGAUAAUCCAUCAGAUAUGUUGACGAAGGUAGUUUCUGGAGUUAAGUUUCAACAUUGCUUGAAAUUAAUUCAAAUCCUUCGAUUGUGUUAAAGAUAUGUCCUUCGGGAAUUUUGAACUACGGUUGGCUUGAUCCCAAAUUUUGGGUACGUAGGCAAUCGAAACGACACAGCCAUUCUGGAUCCUUAUUGAAGGAUCACUUUGGGGAUGAGGGUUCGUUGGUAGUCGGCUCAGAUUUGGACAAAUUUUCGCCGAGGUGGAGAAUUGUUGAAAAGUCAUGCACGUGACAUUGAAAUUCAAAAAUGAAUGCAAAAUUUCAAAUGGCUACCAAACAUUUGAAGAAAAAAUGGAAAGUUGGCAAAUUUGUCAAAUUUGCCAAAUGGACACCAUUGACUAUUGGCUUAGGUUAGGUGGAAUAGUAAAGGGGUUGGUGCAAUAGUGCCAUUAUUUUCCCUAUAAAUAGAUGGCACUUCUUCCAUUCUAUAUCAUCCCAAAAUUGUUAAGCUUAUAAGUUUCUAAGCUUUUGAGAGAAGUGAGAGAAGUCAGAAGUGUGUCUGAGGAAUUUAUCUUUCCUGCAGAGUGUGAGAGUACUGGGUAUAUUUGGGUUUCUGGGAAGUGAGAUUCGUUACUCAAAUAUUGUACUCUAUUAAUUGUUAAAUAAACAAUUAUUCUUUCUUGCCUCCGUGGAUGUAGGUUUAAUUACCGAACCACGUAAUUCUUGUGUCCUUUAUUUUUCUAUAAUUAUUUGGUGCGCUUGAUUCCUCAUUCCGCGUACAACAGCUAGCAGGUCAUGUAAGUUGAUAAAGCACCAUUCAUGUAAGUCUAUUUAUAUUGACUUAUAUGCACAAGCCUAUAAUACAAACAGCAUUAUUGUAAUACAAAUUUGUUUCGGAAUUCAUGGCCUAUAAUACGCCAUUUAUGUCCUAGACUUACUUGUCAACCUUGCAAAAUUUUUGUGCUUGGCAAUUGGUUUUGUUGAUGCCGAAAUCCGGAUGAAUUGGUUAGUGACUCGAUCUCAUAUUCCUGCAUCAACAUUAAAUUUAUUUGGUGGGAAGCUGUUGGUUGAUCUCUAAGAAAAUCCUCCGACUAUGAGCAGAACAUUCAUGAGCUGUUGAUCAGUGAGCACCGAGAGCAGAUAAUUGAUGAGCAGAUGACCAAUGAGCAGAUGAUCCAUGAGUAGAUAAUCCGCGAGCCUGCGAGCACAAAAAAUAGUCAGGGGGUGCCGGAAGUUUUUCCGACGUAAACCCUCUGACACUCAAGUCAGCGAUUUGGGUCUACUUGGAAAAACUCAUACCACAAUUCACAUGGUUUAACUAUGAUUGUUUUAAACAAAAAGAUUUUAAAAAAAUUUAAAGGAAAAUAAUUGAAAAUAAUCAAUCUUAAAGAAAUCAUAAGCGAAAGAGAAAUUUUCCAGUGGUAGAGAGAGAAAAAGAUUCAAUGGAUUCAGUCACCCAAAGGGACAGAAGAAAAAGAAUCCCCCAUUUUCCCAUGGGUUUUAUAAGAAAUUAUAGCGGUUUUUAUCCUCUUCCCUAGAAUUCUCAAGAAAAUUACUAAUUUUGAGCCCACUAAAAACAUGGUUUCUAAUAUUUCAAAGAACAUAAGUGAGAUUUGUUUUGACUGAGUCGUGUUUUCUAAUAACAUCUUGGUCGAGGUGAUGUGGUCAAGAUAACCAAAUAACAUCCUGAUCGAGGUGUUGCUCAUUUUUUACUUAGAGGAGAGCACAAUAAUGUAUAAACAAACAUUUUAUCUUGGUCACCUUAUUAUAUUCCCCAAACAGGUUUGUCGGUCCUCCAGGUAUUUGGAGCCUUAUGAUACCUUUUUGCCAUGGAAAAAGUUAGAGGAUGUCAGGAAGGAAGCCCGCAUAAUUAAUUGAGCUGGAUGCAAACACAGUUCGUUUUACUGUGAAGACAGAGUUUAGGAGACGACAGAAAAUUUCUAAAUGACUUGUGCGGCAUAAAUAAUUUUGGAUAAUGUAAUGAUGCUCUUGAGUCUGGCAUUGUGGAGGUGACUGAUUUUUCAAAGAAAUUGUUACAUUGUUUACAAUGGGGCCUGCAAAAUUUCAGGUUAAUUUGCUCAUACAACAAUAUAUUUUCCUUGCGUGUGUUGCAUAAUACGAUUAAUUCUUGCGUUACAGGUUCUUCAUUUUGGAAAAUUGAGUUAAAGAAGUAAUGCUAACAGUACAUUAUAUCUCUUUUAGAUAUUUAAUAACACUUAGGGGCAAAAAUUUUAACUGAUAGUUGUGUUAACGGCACAAUCAAUUUUUUUGAAUGUCAAAGGUAGUCAAGGGCUUGAGUGAUAAGUUUUUUCUACAGAGGAUGUAAGUGAGGAAUUUAUGAAACAUUUUGAUAAAAAGAAUUAUCUAGGAUAAGCAAUUGAGCAGAAUUCUUUUACAGUGCAUUUUUGCAAUUCACAUAACCAACGUAGGGGUGGUGCUGUUUGUGUUUUUAAUCGGCAAGAUGCAGUUUGACUCAGCAAGAUCACAGAAGAUAAGACAGAAGUGGAAGGAGAUGAAGCAGUGGCCAAAUUUUGAGUAUAUUUCUUCUGAUGUGCGGGGGGCAGUUAAGGAAAUACAAGCUAUACAAAUGGCAAGAAACCAAACGUGUUCGUGUUGAUAAUUUGGUGAAUGAUCUUCCUGACGAACUUGGCAACGAAAUGAAAUGUCUGCAUUAAAGUGCUCAAGAAUGUGACGUUGAACUAUUCAAUCACUCAGUGAGGUUGAAGCCAUUACUCUUAUGGCUGAUAACUUUAAACAUGUAUUAUCUACCAUUCACACAUUCCAAUCGGCCCGCUCUUUUGUUACAAUCAUACCGGCGUUUUGGGAAGCUUUUACUUUGAUAGAAGGAAGGCUAAACAAAGAAAAUAAACAAAGUGGGACAUGUAACAACGACACAAUACAAGAAAAUUUAACGGUACUUGUGACUAAAUCAUUGAUGACAAACUGUUUAUUCUUUAUAUUUACAUGUGAAACCGCAGAAAAGGGCCAAAAUUGUAGUUUGAAAUUUUACAAUUGAUUUUGUCGUCAAUUGAUGAGCUCAUAGCGACAUUAAUUUAUUGAAUGAUAAAAUAAUAAUUUUAUAUUCAGUAAACAUAUGAAAUAUUACUUAAAUUGAAAAUUUGAGAUCUUAAUACAUUGGAGUUACAUUGAGUUGGGAGACGAACUUUGACUCUGAAUGAGACAGCACUUAAUGUGUCAUUUAUUUAUUAAAUUUGUUAAUGGUAUGAUAUUAUCUCAUUACGCAGAAAUAUUAAAUUGCAAUGAGUCUAGUCAAUUGGGAAAACAUUUUUUGCGCGAGUAUCUCAAUUUCCAAUAUAAAAAUUACAAGACAAAAUUAAAAAGGAGAAUGAUACUUUAUACCUGUUUAGAAGCCAUUGGUUAUUUGGUCAUAUUCAAAACCUAUUUUAACCACGUAAGUCCAUGAUAAAAGUUACAAGAGAAAAAGAAGAAUGAUACUUUAUAGUUUAUACCUGUUUAGAAGCCAUUGGAUAUUUUGAUCAUAUUUGAUAAAAGUUACGGGACAAAAUUAAAAAGAAGAAUGAUACUUUAUACCUGUUUAGAAGCCAUUGGAUAUUUUGAUCAUAUUUGAUAAAAGUUACGGGACAAAAUUAAAAAGAAGAAUGAUACUUUAUACCUGUUUAGAAGCCAUUGGAUAUUUUUAUCAUAUUUGAUCAAAGUUACAAGACAAAAUUAAAAAGAAGAAUGAUACUUUAUACCUGUUUAGAAGCCAUCGGAUAUAUUGGUCAUAUUCAAAACCUGUUUUAACCACGUAUGUCCAUGAUAAAAGUUUAAAAUACCUUUUGUGGAAAGGAUAAGUAUGAUAUUUUUUAAUAAAUAAAUAAAUUUAUUUAGUCAAUAGAUUAGGUGAAUAAUUUAGUGAGUUUAAAUAAUUUCGAUUAAUUUAUACGCGAAGAGUGAAGCUAAUGGCACCCUUCAUUAUUUUUAUAAAUCUCCACUUUAAAUAAAAUUAUAUUUAAGGACAAAUAAGAAUUAAACACAUUUAAGAAUUUUCACAAUAAAUUACUUUCAUAAUCAAUUCUUUUUUUUUUUUGCAUUCAUAAUCAAUUCUUUUUUUUUAUUUUCUACUUGCCACUUCUCUCUAAUCAAAAUAAAUUACAAAAAUUUAUAAUAAUUUAUUUUUCUUUUCUUAUUUCUUAAUAAUUGAGUAUUUUUAUACCUAUUACUUUCAAAUUAUAAUUUAAAAUGUGUCAUAUCUAUAACAUAAUAAUGUUUUGAGUUUUAAUAAUAUACAAAUUCAAUUAAAAAACAAAAUAAUGUAUUUAAAAGGGAAAAAAGGACGUUUUUGAAAUUAAAUACAAAUAUUCCAAUUGUUACUGUGAAAAUGUGAUAUUUUCAGCACUAGAGCUACCACUUUAUUGCAUAUCCGACCCGAGAGGAACUGAUGUGGUCCAACAGUGCUCGGAUCGGAUCGGUUGCCGUCAUAAUCUGAUCACAUUUAGGUAACUUUUCAGUUUUGUCCAGGAGAAAGGCUAUCGAUUAUGUCUCCCUAAGAAACACGUCACAUAGAUGAUGUAAUCAGAUUUUAUCAUGCGUUUGUUCCCCUUCAAACGUCACAUAGAUGAUGUAAUCAAAUUUUAUCAUGCGUUUGUUCCUCUUAAAUCGAGUACUUGUCACAUCCUGAGUGUUUGUGAAUCUACAUUAUUUUUUAAGGGUAUGUUUAUAUUGGAACCGUUCUAAGAUAAAAUAUCUUUUAUAACUACAUAAUUAAAAUAUAUAUAUAUUAAUUUCAGAUUUAAAACAAAUGAAGUCUUUGUUUUUAUUUGCAAGACUUUUAUAACACAUUAAUAUGUAACACUUCAAAUUUCACGGUAGAUUAGAUACAAAUUUUUUAUCCUUAUACUAGACACGUGAAGAGUAGUAAGAAACAAGUUAAAAAACAAAAAAAACACACUCUGAUGUAGUUAUUUUUAUCUUAAAGUAUUAAAAUCUAUAUUUCUUUUAAUCUUUUAACUUGUUUUUUACGAUAUUAAAAUAAGAAAAUCCUUUGAAAAUAAGAAAAUCCUUACUAAAAGUAAAAGGGGACUUGCAUGUCAUGUGCACAGUGUACAAUAUGUUUCAAAUGUUACUUGAUAGAAAUUACUGAAAGCAUUGUAUCAUUGGAAAACUCUUGCUGCAUGCUACUAAUUUGACAGUUUAUCAAAUAUUUUUUGCUGCUUGCUACUUAUGAAUCACGUUUAGUCCCCUUUGAAUUGUGUGCAUCCACCAUCUGUUAAAUUUAUCUUUGAACCCAAGCACGUUCAAAUCCCCGAGUUGUAAAAUUUACAAGAUGCAAAAAUCUCGUAGAAACCUCAGCUGAUGAACUCUGUAAAGAAUAUCGUCAUUCAUUCAGCUAACCCGUUGAACCAAAAUGCAAAAUCAUCCUCAAUAAGUACAAGAAACAAAAACUUUACAGGAAUAACUUGUGAAACUUGAUAAAUUUCUGCGGAGACUACAACGUCAUUUCAAUUUGUGAGGUAAUUAUUUGAUGCCAUGAUGCUGACUGAAUCUCAUUAAAUUAAUGAACAUAAUACAACAAGUGGUACGAUAACUCCAAAUCAGCUAUCACAUUAUGUAACCACUCGGGCAGUAGCCCGAGUGGCCAGGGCUGCUGCCCUCCAACUUGGAGGGCAGCAGUUCGAACCCCCACAAAAGCAUUGUGGGGGUAUUUCCUUCUUCAAUUAAUUUGAGUGAAGGUAGUCUUCUCCCUUACCCAUGAGUGAGGAGUAGACAUCCCUCGAAUAUUUGUGAGGGUUAAAAUCUGGGCAGAGCUCCAUUAGCAUUGAUGUCAGUUGGUCCCAGUAAUAGUCUAAUUUGUAAAUAUCAGUAAUAGUCUCAUGUAUAUGAGUUGUAAUCUGAGCAAUAGUCUCAUGUAAUCAAAAAAAAAAAAAAAAAAAAAAAGCUAUCACAUUAUGUAUUUGAUUCAAAUAAGAGAACAAAAUUUGCAUUAUUGAUAGAUAUUAUAUUGUUUCUUGUAACUGUCUCUUGACAAAUCGCCCAUUAAUGCAGUCAUUUCACCAAGAUAGCAAGCUGAUAGAGAAAUCUGACAAUGCAAUGCAUGUCAUCCUCACACUUCAUUUUAAUCGAAAAUGGGUGAGCCAUUUUGUUCAACUUUCACCUCCGGAAGUCGAAAAGGACAUGAAUGCAAUUAUGCAAGUCCUUAUCAAAGAUGCAAUGAAUGACGCCUAAACUCCUAUAGAGCAGAGUUAAGCUAUUAAUCACUGCACCGAUACAUCAAAAAUUAAGUAUAUGGAUCAAAGACAUCUUCAUUCAAGAAUCUCGAAAUUUCAAAGCAAUGCUUGUCAUUUACAUAUCAAGCAAAGGGACCAAAGAUGGUGGUGCUCUAAUAUUUGGUAAUUAUUUGAUGCCAUGAUGCUGACUGAAUCUCAUUAAAUUAAUGAACAUAAUACAACAAGUGGUACGAUAACUCCAAAUCAGCUAUCACAUUAUGUAUUUGAUUCAAAUAAGAGAACAAAAUUUGCAUUAUUGAUAGGUAUUAUAUUGUUUCUUGAAACUGUCUCUUGACAAAUCGCCCAUUAAUGCAGUCAUUGCCGACAAAACAACUUUGUGAAAAAGUUCACCAAGAUAGCAAGCUGAUAGAGAAAUCUGACAAUGCAAUGCAUGCCAUCCUCACACUUCAAUUUCAUCGAAAAUGGAUGAGCCAUUUUGUUCAACUUUCACCUCCGGAAGUUGAAAAGGACAUGAAUGCAAUUAUCCAAGUCCUUAUCAAAGAUGCAAUGAAUGACGCCUAAACUCCAAUAGAGUAGAGUUAAGCUAUUAAUCACUGCACCGAUACAUCAAAAAUUAAGUAUAUGGAUCAAAGACAUCUUCAUUCAAGAAUCUCGAAAUUUCAAAGCAAUGCUUGUCAUUUACAUAUCAAGCAAAGGGACCAAAGAUGGUGGUGCUCUAAUAUUUUGUCUAGUCAGAUUUCAGAUUUACCUUGUUCAUGUCUUUUUCUUUGGUGCAGAAGUUCCCCGCGGCCUAUUUCAACAUCAUUCGUCAUCCUCUCAAUCUCCUCCUUUUUCACUGGCAGAACCAAAAAUAUCUUGCACCUCAGUGAAAUAUCAUUGGAGACAAAAAAGUUUCUCCAGCUUAUUCAACAACCAAAACCAGCCAAAUAUCAUCUCCAGCCACAAAGCAAUGAGCCAAGUGAUUAAAUUUCCUUGAUGCAGGCUGAGGAAAGCCAAUAAGCAAUCAAAGGAGAUGGAAGAAUAGCACUAUUAAUUCAAGACCAACAAAGUUUGCAGCAAAACUGAUAGUAUUUAAGAUUUUGCAAAAGUCAAUCUUGUCUGGUUAUCAACACUGCAAUUAUAGCUUUUGUGCACCUCAGUUAGCCUUAAAUUGUGAAAGUUUCAGCCAAACCAACAAUUUCUAACCUACAUCUCAUGGUUAUACAAGCUAACUGCUAGCAUCUGCUUCACUGCAUUAUGCUUCAAAAACAAUCAUACUAAAUGUCACAAUUCUGGUAUAUAAAAGUUCAGCCGUCUACGCCAUUCAAGUUGAGCAUUUGACUGCAUCUCUAUGGGUACUAUUAAGGGAUGGCAAUAAUCAGUUAUGAUACGAAUAAUUGACAUCCGUAAUCCGAUAUAUCCGUCCGCACCCAUGUCUAAUUUUAGAGGUUUGAUAUGGAUAUUGAUUUUUGUUUAUAUGGAUAUUGAUAGGCAUAGAUAUUCGGGAAAAAAAAUUCUACUUAACACUAUAACGAAUAGGAUACUUCUUUUAUUAGAGCGUUGUCAUGCUGAUGAUGUGCAAGAUAUCAUAAAUAAAGGGGAUCGUAGGGAACGAAAUGAAAGAAGUUUAAAGAAUUUGAAAGAAACUGAUUAUUCUCUUAUUCAACAACUCGGUGUGCAAUUACAUUUUACACGAGGUCCAUGUAAUUAUAUUUGUCAUUAAGAAUGAGCAUUUGCCAAAAGAAGAGACACAUGUCAUGACAAUGAGUGAUUGACAAGUGACAAAAUUGAUAGACACCCGCCGAAUAUGUCAUAACACAAACUUCUUACUGCCUGAAACAACAUGGCUGGAGCAGAGAUUUUUCUAUCAAAGCGUGUCCAGGAAAUGGUCCUCAAUGGUGAAGAACCGCCAGCACCACAUAUUUGUAGAGAUGGUGAUUCAAUUCAAGAGGUUUCUGCUCCAUUAUCUCCGGUUCCGAUCAUUGACCUCAAUCUGCUCUCAUCUUCAACACCAUACGCCAAGCAAGAAGAAGAACUGCAGAAAUUAAGAUCAUUGACCUCAGUCUCAUCUUUAACACCAUACGCCGGUUCCGAUCAUUGAUCAUUGACCUCAGUCACUCCUUCAUGACCACAUAAUAAGGAGUGGCUAUUAAUUUAAAAUAUGAAGUGGAAAAUUGAAUUAAUUUAUUUGAAAUAGAAAUGGUCACAUGAAAAAUUUGAAUUAAUUUCUUGAAACAGGAUCCUACAAAUGAAGUGUUUUAAUUUCGUAAUUUAAUAUUAUUAUUGUUAUUUUGUUUUUAAAUAUUAAAAAAAGAAAAGAAAAAUUGGGUUGUCUUUAGUUUCUAGCGGACAUCAGAUUCAUCAUAAUAAGCGUACCCUUGUCCAUGUAUAAAUUGCAUUUGCCUCUGAAUUCUUCAAUAACUAGAAAAUAGAAUCGUGCUUCAUGCGGCUUUGAAAAAUGAAUUUAGUAUUAUCUUUUUUCUUAGUUUACACUUGAUGAAACUGAUAAAAAAUAUGAAUUGAUUUUUUUUUAAGAUGAGGUAGCCGUAUAAAAAACAAAAAAAAAAAACUAUUAGUCAGCAACACAAAUAAAGAAGCAACGCAAGAUAAAGAAUACAAUGAGAGAAUAUAUUAUAGAGUGAUUUUAUUCAUUCCAAUUGUGUGUGUACAAAACAAAAAGAUGAGCUCUCCUUUUAUAGUUACAUAAUCACUCUAUGAAAGUAAUGAAAAAUUAUGGAUCAUAAUUCCUUAUGAGAUAGUGGGAGUUAUAGGGAAGUUAAAGGUUGCUAAUGGGAGAUAGUAAGGAGACUAAGAGAUAUAUGUUAUAAACAUCUAUAUUUAUUUUAAUAAAUUCAUAACACUCUCCCUUGGAUGUUUAUUACAAAGAAUAUGUCUCAUUAAAAUCUUUACAUAAUUGUUAUUGUAUAAUAACAAUCAAAUUAAUUAUGAGAAGAUAAAAAGCCAAAUUUAAAAGAAAAUUUAUCUAUUUAUUAGAUAAUAGAGAAUAGAGAAUAUACAAAGAUGAGAAAUAGUGAUGCCACAUCACCUCCUCAAGUCCCAACUUUAUAUAUAUAUAUAUAUAUAUUGAAAAAGAUGGGUGCUCGUGGGACACUCUCAUUUAUGAUACAAUUUAGGAAUAAGAACUUAAUGACGCAACCAUCACCAGCAGCCUCUUUUUUGGAGGUACUCGGAUGGCCAUUAUUGCCAUUUAAAAGAUAACAUAAAUAUUAUAGAUUGCCAGCUAUGGCCGAGCUUUUAAAUUUUAAUUAUUUUUUUUUAGAGAAGAAGAAAAAUAGCCAUUCAAAAGAUAACAUAAAUUUUCUAGAUAGCUAGUUAAGUUUGAGUUUUCAAAAUUUUUUGAGAAAAAAGAUACUUAUGUCUUUGAAAUUUAGAAAAAUGAUCACACAAAUUCUCAAAUUUUUAAUAAGAUAAAUCAAGACCCCAUUUUAUUAUAAUAUCUUUUAAUUCUAUAACUAAAAAAAUUGACUAUAAUAUUUUAUAAUAAAAAAAUAACUGAAAUGACUCGCCCCGAAUCCCUGGACGAGUCUAUCUAAUAUUGCCAAUUGAAUUAAUAAUAAUCUAAUAUUUAGAAUUUUACCAAAAAUUCGGCAGAGUCUCCUAUAUAAUUAUGACAUUCCCAAACCUACAAUUUAUAAAAUUUAACACUCCUAAAAAAUGAUACAAUAUUCAAUCAACCUCCACAACCAACUUCUUCAAUCAAAUACCAAUAUCCUUCAAACAUAUAAUGUCAAGAAUACAAUAAUUUAUCUUUAAUCACAAAUAAGUAAUAAAUUAUAAAAUUCAAAAUAUCCCAACAAAACAUCUAUGAUUCCUAACAUCAUCAUAUGAUCAUAAUUCUAAAUUUAACUAUCGUUGUUGGGUCGACUGAUGUACCUACAUAUCUCUUGUGGAGAGGGGUGUAUAUAAUAAAAAAAAGAUGAGUAUAAAAUUCAGUGAGCUCAGUUGAGUAUAGUGUGAAAAAAAUAAAUUUACUUCAAAUAAUCUAAUCUUUCCCAAAUCAAUAUCAUCAAAAUAUUAUAAGAACUUAAAUAAACUUAUUUAAUUUAAAUCAUGUUUUGAUAUAACAAUAAUACAUAAUACGUCAUGAAAUCAAGGAAAACGUGAUACUUAUAAUAGCAAACACCAAAUACCGAAUCUAUCACCAAAUAAGUACCCAGGGGAAUAUCUCACCAUAUCCAGACCUCGACGGAUCUGUAAUCAGGGAACCAUCAUGGCCCGAAGCUACACGGAUAGACAAGGAGUAUUAUCUCAUAUCUCAUCAUAUCUGUGCAUGCAUAAUCUAGUCUCCAAAGGACAAGGCGCCCGAGAACACGGUCCAAAGCUUCUGUGUGUACUUAGAGGGGCCCCAAAGACCUAUAUUUCAUCUGUAUCAUCAUAUCUCAUAUGUAUCAUCUGUAUCUCAAUAUCUGUAUCUCUGUAAUCAUCAGACUGCAUGCAUAUGCCCCUAAAAGGCAAAAACGUCCAAACACACGGCCUAAAACCUCUAUGUGUGUUCAAGCGGGCCCCAAAGGCCUCUCAUCUCAUAUGUAUCACUGUAUCUAGAGGGAAAGGCUACUGUCUAAUGAUUUUAAAAACAACAUCUUAUACACAUAUACAUAAACAUAAAAUGACACUUAAAUCUCAUUUCUUUUUCAUGUAACAUACUUUAAAUCUAUUUUAUUCUCUUUAAAACCAUUACCAUGCAUUUACUCAAAAAUGAUAAUAAAAUCAUGAAUCAAACUCAUUUUUAAUAAUAAUAAAUAUCAGCAUGUAGACAAAAAUCCAUUUUCUAGAAAGUUAUUAAACUCGAGUAUUAAAUACUUAUUUAUCAAACAUGUUGUACUGUAUCGUAAAAUCAUAAUAUAUUAUGAAAAUAUGUUUUGUAUAUUCCACUCACAGUGACGAUGUUCGAGCUCGGUAUCGUCAACGUCUGUGGGUUGAUUCUCAUUCAUGGAUCCUCCUAAUAUAAAGAAAUAACAUAAUCAUUCUCCGUAAAUAUGAAAUACAACUAAUUUUACGCGAUAAAUCUCGAAACGAAUAUCUAUCUGUAAUAAACUAUUCCCUUAUGCAUAAAAUUACCAAAAUACCCCCUGCAUGCUAAAAUUACCAAAAUGCUCCCGAUAUCAAUAUUUACCAAAUUAUCCUCAUAAUCCUAAAUUACCAAGCUGAUGUUACGAAAUUACUCUUAGAGUGUAAAAUUACCAAUAUGCCCUUAAUAACAUAAAUUACUGAAUUACCCCUAAAAUCUCAAAUUACCUAACUGCCCUAGUCCAAAAUUACUAAAGUAUCCACCAAUUUUGAAAAUCACAAAAUUAUGCCCCACAGUUUUGUAAAUUACCGAACUACUCCUGCCGGUUAACGGUGACCGGACUUCAGUCAACGGUGACGAGAAGCUCAAAUAUGAUAGUUCUAAUCUCAGUGAGUCCAAUGGCGCCGGCGAUGACCACCCACGCUCGGCGACGGCGGUAGAUCGAGCUUCUCUAGCUGCCAGCUUUCCGAUGGUCGAUCGGUGGAAUUCCAGCCGUUUCAGGCAGCGAGUUUGGUUGGAAAAUGAUGAGGGUGAGCUGAGGAACAAGAUCCAUGCAGUGGCGUGGCCUAAUUCUGGCGAAAUCAACAUUGAUGAAAACGAGUUGAGCUGCGGGUUUUUCAAGCUUGAUUGCCGGCAUUCUACCCAUUUUUCGAUGAGGUGGUCGGAAUCGGUGGCUGGAGUUGGGUCGGGUUGCGCGAGUUCGGGUCGAGUAAGGUCAAACUCGGUCAGCUUCUCUCUUUCUCUCUCUCCCUCUCCCUUUCUCAAUUUAUGCAACCAAUUCUCUUUUUUUUUUCAAAGCUUAAUACAAAUUAAGCUAAUACCGAAUCCAUAUUGAAAAUAUAAUCCGACUACCUGACCUUUUAAUCGCGCUCGAUUUGUCUUGAUUUAUUGUCGUGACAAAUUUAAAAUAAUCUAAACACAAUAUAUAUUAAUAAAUAUGUAACAUUUAACAACCAUCCCCCAUAAUAUUCGAAAAAAAUUGAGUUGCAUCAACUUCACUGUAAAAAUUCGUAACAAGUCUGCUAAAUUUAAAAUUAAUGCCGAAGGAGAAAAAUUAAAUGAUACACUUAAUUAGCAAAUUUAAAGCACAUAUAUUACAAUAACAUUAAAAUAAAUGAAAUAAUAUGUACAUUUAAAAAUUAUUUUUAUAUUUACAAUCUAUUAGAUAUAUUUUAUUCUAUUAAAGAAAAUUUUUAAUGAUAAAUAGAAACUUAAUAUUGAAUAUUUUGUACAAUUUUAACAUUAUUAAUGAAGAGAUUUUGUUAAUUUUAAAAUCUAUUUAACUCAAAUAUUUAUUUAAAAUCUUUGUAAUAAAUCCAAAUAUAUUAUUAAAUUUAAUAAUUUUAAAUGUAAAAAAUAAUUUAAUAUUACUACUCUACUAGAUAUAUUUUAUUAUUUUAUAUUAUUUUUGUAUUAAUUAAAAAUAUAUAAAGUCAAUUUUUUUAGUUACUAUAUUCAAAGUGUAUUAUGAUUAAAAAAGGAUCCUAAAGUAUAUAUAAUCAUUUUUCAAAAUUUUAGGAGUGUAAGUGUCGAUUUUUCUUUUUUUUUAUAAUUCUUUUCGUACAAAAAUUAUGUUCACGUUCUUUUAACUUCUCAUUAAUGCAUUUUCAUUGCCAGGGUUUCUGCGUUUUCAAUCAAAAAUCUAGUGAAGAAACUGGAAAAUGUUGGAGGAAACGCUAAUGCAUUAUACGUACAACCUAAUAAACAAAUUGUUGGAGCGUACGGCUAUAGCAAUUUGUUUAUGGUCAUCUGUGCUUGUGUAUACUAUUAGUAAAUCUAUUUUGAAAUGAACCCAAAUAAUCAAAUUGUCCAGUGGCACUUACGGUCCAUGGAUCUAAUAAUUUUUGCUUCUUUUUAUUUAUUUAUUUAUUGCAUAUCAUAACCUGUCAGUCUCAUAAUAUUGUCCAACAAGAUUGCCUUUUUGAAAAAUUUCAAAUAAAUCGGACACGGGUGAUUAUGUUAUCCUUUCUUUUUUCUAACAAAUAUAAUUUUCACUGUCAUUUUGUGUUUUGGACAGCUGGAAUGACAGUGACCUGACUAAAAAAUAUUUUAUCUGGACGACGAACGACCAAGUCAAAGUCUUUUAAGUGUACAGUCCAACUCCUUUUAAAUAGCAAUUGAAUUCUGCACUUUAAGCAAUAAGUCACUCGGCCAAAUUUGCAGAAAUAUUUCAAAGUUUAAUUCUGCACUUGGAUUUUUCAUUGCUGAUCAUGUAAGUUAGUUAGUUAUUAUUAUUAUUAUUUUUUUCACCACGGUAACUCUUGUGCUUACACUUUUCGCGGAGCUAGUUCUAUUUUCUUAAUGUUCUAAUUUUCAAUGAAUAUAUUUGGACAAAGCCACGAACUUGUCUUUUAGAGGGCUUAACUUGUAUUAAUAUUGCUGAUAUAUUCCUUAUAAAUCAAAAAGAGCAAACAAAGUUCUUAUAAAGGAAUCUCUAAUCUGCCGAAAUGACUUUAUACACAUUUGUAGAAAUCAAUUUCUUGAUUAUUGCUUGUCAAUUAUAUGUAAGUUAUACCAUCUGUUAGUUUUUUAGUUGGCAUUUUUGAUAUUUUUCAACCAAAAUUCACCUUGAUUGGGAAAAUAAACCAUUUCCUACUCAUGUUUUUUAAUCCUACUCCAAAAUUCUCAUCUUAUUUGGUGAAAAUUUUCUUGAUGUUAACAAACUUAUGUUAACUGUCAACUAUUGUAAAAAUUAAGUCAAUUUGUUUUUCAACUAUCGGACCGGAAAAGAGUACCUAAUAACAUGUAACGUUAGGAGAGUUUUGGUGAGGUUUAAAGCAUGAAAGGAAAUGGCUAAUUGCCUAAUUCCAAUAAGAAGGGAGAUUUAGUAAUUUUCUCCUUUAUCAAUGUAUGCAAAUCCACAACGGCCACCCUGCGCCUCCUCCCCUUAUUUUUUAAGGAACUGCAAGCAACUGUAAUAUGUUGGACUUCCGCAAUAGGCUUGUUUCUACUGUACGGAUAUUUAUGUAUUAAAAAAAAAAAAUUUAUGACAAAACCUUGACUUGCAUUUCGAUCAUAUCAGGUCUCAGGAUCCAGAGAAAGGUUCAAAACAUGAACAACCUGAAGUGCAUUAUAAUGGAACGAACUCGGCCGAUAAAAAACGAACAACAUGCUUAGGUUGGGUUAAAAAAUUUCUCGGUAUCAUACUUCUGUGUGCAGCGCUAUUAUGCCUGCCAGCAUAUAGUGGGGUAAUGCUAGUGGCAUGCCUGUUGAUUAUAAUAAUUACAAUAAUUGUGUUAUAUCGUAAAGCGAUAGCGGCUGCAAUCGAGAAUAAAAGAUAUCUUCUACUGAAUGUGACUGCAAUUUUCCUUGAUCCUUUUUUCUUCUACAUUCCGGACCUGAAUGAUCGAAUGAAACGCAACGAUGCCGUGGGGAUUACCGCUACUGUCAUCCGUUCCAUCCUCGAUUUCCUUAAGCUACUACAUAUUAGCUCUGAGCUUUGUGAGGCAGAUAAAAAAGAGAACCAAAGAAAAAAAUUUAAACAUUUAUGGCAGCAAUUAAAAAAUUUCAAGGUAUAAUUUACUUUGGCUAACUAGUUGUUUCUUCAACUUCCAUAAUUUAUAUAAAUAUAGUCUCCGUUAUCUUCUUUGCUCCGUACGAAGUAUUGAUUCUUUUUUUUUUUUUUUGCCUUAAAAGGGAGGAAGAGAAUUACUUGAAGAUCCAAUGGUACGUAUGUGGAUGCUCUUCCUCAUUGAUGGUUUGGUCAUCCUUCCCAUCCCCCAGGUAAAGGCACUGUCUAAUUUACUAUUACGUAUAUAUUGUUUAUUGAUUUCUUAUGUAGUUUAACCCUUCCCAUCCCCCAUGUGCAUAUCGUAGUAGUCUGCUUGAUUCUUCUCAAAUGUACAUCGCAUAGUGGUUUUGAUUGUGAUAAAGAUAGAUCUUUAUAUGAUUCAUGUCAAGAAUAAUGAUUUUAAUGUCAUUUUUCCCUUUUCUUUGAUUAAAGUUGUAUUUACACGUAAGAACCUAAAUGUUUUGCAUUGAUAGUAAUUUUGGUUAGUGUGUAGUGUUAAAUUUCAGCCAUAUGAAUUCGAUAUUUUUAUUGAACUUGUUUAAUAAUUUCAAACACUAACUCAACCUGUCUAUUAAUAAUUAUGUCACAUGCUUAAUAUGCUUUAAAAAUAUAUUUUUAAAAUUUGACUUGUUUACAUGGGUUUAAUGUAUUUGUUUAAAUAUUUAGAGUACUACCUCUCAAAUUCAAAUCAAUUCUAGUCUUAGCAUAACUGGAUAAUCUUGAAAUAUAUACAAAUAUAAUUAAACUCGGUUCAAUCGCAUCCAAAAUCUAGUCAAUGCAACAUCAUUAUUAAUCAAAUUGUUAAUUAUGUCAUAAUUAAAUAGGUUCACGUGACGGGAACUUUAAACUCACAAGAUACUAAUUUGUGUCUCUUUUCACCAACCUGAACAAACUAUUAUUUUCAUGCCAUUAGCAUCAGUUUCGCGGGUUGUUUCAAAAAUUGCCACCCCCCCCCUAUAUCAUCAUUUUGCGCAAAAUAAAUAAUCAAUUUUGUUCAUAUUCAAUAUCAUUCAAAAUAUUUAUUUACAUUAAUUAUUCCAUAUCAUCUAAUAGGACUUCAAUUAAUAUCGUUCAGGUUUUGGUGAUUUUCCCAAUAAGUGACACAGGAUUCUCGACGGCAAUGACCUUCUUUGUUUUACAAUAUUUGCUAAGGGUUAUUCGAACGUAUUUCCUGUUCACAGAUGCUAUAGAGGUUUCAGGGGUGAUUGCCGAUGCUACAUGGGCCAUUUUUGCCUUCUAUGUUCUUCUUUACCUGCAAAGCGGUCAUGUAAGUUCAAAAUAUCAUCAUUUUACCGACAUAUGUUUAGGGAGAUUACAAAUUUUCCACCCUACAGAUGGCAAAAAUUUCAAACUUACCAUUUUUAUGCCAGAAGUUUUCAAGAUACCAUUUUUAUAUUCAAUUUUUGGAAUCAGAAAAGCAUGAAUUAUGAUAUUCACUAUUUUGUAAUUUAGAAAAGCAUAUUCUAGUAAAACUAGAAUUUUAGCAGCCAUCAGUUAAUACACAUAUAUACGCACACUCAAUUAGUUUUUUUGGAUGUAAAUUUUAGAUAUUGGAAUCGUCGAUGUACGAUUUUCCCUCUCCUUUGCAAAUUAAUUUUUCUGAUAAGUUAUCUUUCAGAUGUUUGGAGCCCUAUGGUACUAUUACGCCAC